rnacentral:lncRNA from 1 species
CAACAGUCACUCUUGUGUUAGCAAUACUGUCUCUAAGCUUGCCAUCUCAAAUCUCAGCUGAUACCUACUUGUACUCAUCACCUCCUCCUCCCAAGAAGCCCUAUUAUUAUCACUCUCCUCCACCACCUUCACCUCCUCCACCUAAGCCAUACUACUAUCAUUCACCACCACCACCUUCACCUCCUCCACCCAAGCCAUACUACUAUCACUCACCACCACCACCUUCACCUCCUCCACCUAAACCAUACUACUAUCACUCACCACCACCACCUUCACCUCCUCCACCUAAACCAUACUACUAUCACUCACCACCACCACCUUCACCUCCUCCACCUAAACCAUACUACUAUCACUCACCACCACCACCUUCACCUCCUCCACCUAAGUCAUAUUACUAUCACUCACCACCACCACCACCCAAAAAGAAGCCAUACUACUACCAUUCUCCCCCACCACCUUCACCACCUCCUCCUAAGCCAUACUACUAUCACUCUCCCCCACCGCCUUCACCUCCUCCACCUACGCCAUACUACUAUCAUUCUCCCCCACCACCCUCACCACCUCCACCUAAGCCAUACUACUACCAUUCACCACCACCCCCACCGAAGAAGAAGCCUUACUACUACCACUCUCCACCACCACCUUCACCUCCUCCUCCAAAGAAGCCAUACUACUACCACUCCCCACCUCCUCCCAAGAAGCCCUACAAAUAUUCAUCUCCCCCACCUCCAGUGCACCCUUACCCUCAUCCUCACCCCCAUCCCCAUCCACACCCCCACCCUCACCCUCCCUACGUUUACAAAUCUCCUCCCCCACCCCCUAAGAAGCCAUACAAGUACCCAUCCCCACCACCUCCAGUCCACGUUUACCCUCACCCUCACCCGCAUCCACACCCUCACCCUCAACCUCACCCCCAUCCACAACCCCACCCUCCCUACAUUUAUCAGUCUCCUCCACCACCCCCUAAGAAGCCUUACAAGUACCCAUCGCCUCCACCUCCCGUCCACCCAUACCCCCAUCCCCACCCUCUUCCUCAUCCCCACCCUCACCCUCUUCCACAUCCCCACCCUCUUCCCCAUCCUCACCCUCUUCCUCAUCCCCACCCUCUUCCCCAUCCUCACCCCCUCCCUCCUUACACUCCUCAUCCAAUCUAUCACUCUCCAUCACCACCACCACCUUACAAGAAGCCUUACAAGUACAAGUCCCCUCCACCACCUCCACACUACAUCUACGCAUCACCUCCACCUCCUUACCACUCUUAGACAGUGGUCAACUAGCAUAGUUCUAUGGUAACCUUCUUCAUACCUACGUACAUGCUACAUUAUUAUAAUUUCUCAUUAAUGGUUCCGCAUUUUUUUACAUCUAUACUUGUUCCCAAAAAAUGAAUACCAAACCCUCGUGAUCCCUGUCAAGGUUUUUAACUUGAUACGGAAAAUGAUUUUUCUGGUUUGGUUUUAUAGGGACCACGUACCCCUCACUGAAAUUGACAGACACUAUAAUAAUAUGUGCAUGUGUUCUAAUGUUUUGUAGGAUGUGAAGAAUAUAUGCGACAAAUAAAGAAAGAGAUGGAAAGAAGGGCACGAAAGAGAAAAAUGGAAGCAAAGUUUCCGCGUUUUGUCUUUCAUAAAAAAACUUUAAAUUAUUUUCUAUCAUAGGGUUCGUUUCUGCUAUUUUUCUUUGUUUAUGAAUUUGGGUGUAUUUUAACAGUUGUAAAGCACUGCGCUCUGCUGCAUCAUCUGUCGUAACAGUACAACCUAGCAUGCUCUGUAGUUUUCAACCAUCUGCGUUUGCAGGGGUCGUAAAACUAUUCAUAUAUAAUUAAAUAAAUUAUAUUCUCUUCUCGCAAUAUCUUACCUUAUUUAGCUGAAAUUAUUCAUCAAUUUUUUGGUUCAUCUUAUUUUAAUUUUGUUAUGUUUGAUGUUGUCUACGUCAAAGUUAUGUGCAUUACAGCAAGUAACUUUUCAUUGAAUUGUCUGGUGUGACACAGAAUUCCGACAGAGAAAGUCACACUCAGGCUCCCUCCUCCGUACACACACUCCAUUACCAUAAUAUUAUUACUUACCAAUGUACUCUUUAACUUAUAAUUCAUCUCCAAAGAGUGAAAGUAAGAAUUUAUGUUGAAAUAUUUUCACAAAAUUAAUUUGUAUUAGUUAUAAUAUAAUAUUUUAUAUAUUUAAAAAUUGUUAUUUUUUUUAUGAAAGUGAGUGAUUUGGCACGUGGUUAUAGCGUGGUGCAUGGAUGGCAAAGUUAGAGCAUGUUGUGAGCCAAUCCAACUUGAAGGCAUUUGUUGAGAAUAUUUUCCCAAUGUUCAUGACACGGGAAGCUUGAUAGAAACAAACGUGGGUUAGUCUUUGUAGCUUUUGAAAAAAGUAAGUGUUUAAAAUGGAGAGGUACGGUCGUUUUGCAAAGAAAUACUGACAAAUUUACUGAACCGGAAUUAUAACCCAAAAAAAUUAGGGGCUGAAUUGAAAUCUAAACACUAAAUUUAUCUCCAUAAUCUCAUUAAAUGUUUAUCUAAGCAUUAGUGAACUUUCAAAUGGAACUUAAUUGUUUAUUAAAAGGUUUUAUUUAUAAAAACAAUUUUUUAACUAACUUUCAAUUGAAAAUCUAAUAAACAGUUGACAAGUCAUGUUAUAAGUCAUUUAGAGAGUGGAAAAUGUUAAAUUGAAGUAAUAAAUGGUUUCAUCAGACAGUUUUGAACUACAAGACAAUUUAAUAUCUUUAAACGGUCUAAUGUCUCUAGACGGUUUAGGAAGCUUCGAACAUAAAUUUUACUAAACUAAAUUUUUAUAAAUUUUCACUUUUGUUUAGCACAAAUCUUCUUAGUGAUAAAACACUCACUUUCUUUAAGUUCAUUAGAGACUUAAUCACCUAUAAGAUGGAUUAGAUUGAAGCAAUGGAGAUUUUGAUCAUAUUAGAGAGACUAUGAUUCGUUUAGAUCUUCGUCAUCUUCACAGAUCCUCGAACAAUCUUUUCUCUCACAAAAUCCAGUUUCACAUCAAUGUGUUUUGUUCUUUCAUGGUAGACUCAAUUAUUUGAAAGUUGUAUCACACUACUAUUGUCAAAGUAGACUAUUAUAACUUGGUCCUUCAUUUUCAACUCCUUGGCUAGACCCUUAAGCCACAAGACUUCUUUCACAGCUUAUGUCAUGACAAUAUAAUUUGUCUUAGUGAUUGACAAAGUCAUUACCUUAUAGAGACUAGCUUUCCAACUAGAGUAAUAUCAUAAGCAUUAAACUCAUAGCUAGUGAAAGAUAUUUUAGUUUCCAAACGCCCAUCAAUGUCUAACUCAACAAACCCUUCUAAAGGAACUUCUUCGAUAGAUCAUCUAGAUCCACCAUAAACUGAAACUCUUAUAAGUAAUCCUUUCAAGUAAAAAAGGAUUCACUUAAGAGAUCAUCAAUAUGCUAUUCCAGGGUUAGACAUAAACAUGCUUACAACACUCUCAACAUAAGCUAUGUUAGGACAUGUGUUAUCAUAACAUACAUCACAGUACCAACGAGGCUAACUUAUGGAAGACCAUCCAUAUAACAUUGUUCUUCCACGGUCUCAGGACAUUGUUCAUCUCACUCAAUUUGUAAUGGGAAGCAUGAGGUGUGUAGAUAGGUUUUAAGUUUUUCAUGUCAAACUUAUUAAGAAUUUUUCUCAAUGUCAGCCUUCUUAACAUCGCUACUAUCCAUCGGCUUACAUUCAUAAACUUCUCGCUUGUAAGCCAUUUUAGUUUCGUCAAAGACAACAUGUCUACUAAUGAUACAAUAUCUCUUCACUCCUUUUGGAUACCCAAGAAACAUGCGUUUUACAACAUGACCAUCCAAUUUAUCUUGCCUAAUAUGAGCAUAGGCAACACCACAAAAAAUUCUCAGAUGAUCAAGGUUGGGAGGUUGUCCUGACUAGACUUCCUCAAGGGUUUUCAUUUCCAAUGCAAUUGAAGGACAUUUUUUUAUUAGAUAUGCAACAGUGGUAAUAACAUCAACCCAAAAAUUAUUUGCAACUUUAGCACUCAAUGUCAUGUACCUCGCUCAUACCAGAUGAUGAACAUAAUUUUAUUUACACUUAUUAACUUUAAUUAUAAAUUAUUGCAAUGAAAUAAUAUAUAAAUCCAUUAUUUAAAUUAAUGUUCAUCUAAUUGGGUUUAUUUGGGCCUUAAUUAUUAUUUCUGUUAAUUUUGUAUUUUUAACAUAAGUUACUUCUUUUGGAUCAAAACAUGAAACAAAAUCUGAAAUAAAGAAUUAGAGAAUUAAAUAUGCAAAUAUAUGAGAAAAGGAAUUGAAUGCAAAUUCUUACCGGGAUAUUCUCUAAAAAUUAUGCAAUUAAAAUUUCUCUACAAAAUCCUUCAAAAAUAGAGAAAAUAUACUUUGAAGAUAUUAUUCAAGAAAAUCUUCUGCAAUGUCUCUCACAUCAAUGUUGGAAUCAAUUACAAUCAAUGCACAAAUCUGAUGAAAUUUGGAAACAAUAUUUCUGGAAGAGAAGCAAGAAUAAAAUUGGAAACUAUUUGGGAAUGAAGAUAUAUGUUUAAUAAUUUGAAACAGGAAAUGAAACAUUUGAUAAUUGUAAAACAAUAUGAUAAGGCAGAUUUUAAUCCGAUUUUGUGCAAGGAAAAGAAGAUUAUAAAAGAGACUUCAGAGGAAGGAAGAGAGAGCUUUUUGGAUCAUGUUUUAGAGGAGAAAACACGUUCUAGACCUAGUUUUCUUUUCUUCUUUGUAAUUUUUUUUGUUUUGUUUCCGCAUGGAAGGAUAAACCUUUUUGGUUGAUUUCUUUGCAAUUCCCCAUUGAAUUCCGAGGUUUUGAUCAAUAAAAGUUUCGAUUUUUAAUUCCUUAUAGCAUAUAUUUUAAUAUUCUAAUCUCCUGGAAAAUUGGUUUUUGUGAGAGGUUGUACUUGAAUGCAUGAUUGAGAGUUUUACUUAUCUUAAACUUUGGUUUCUUAGUUAGUUCACAUUGUUCUAAUUAAUUUCUUGGGCACAUGAUUCAAGAGAGAGGAGAUAAGCAUUCCCAUGGAGUAUACACAUGGAACAAAGUGGGUAUUGAUUAAACCAAUAGACGCAUGUUUUACUUGUGAACUUCACUUGAAUAAGAUUGACGCGUGUUCAAUUUGGUUUAGCUCCGUUGGAGGAUUGAGAAAAGAAUAAUUUUUAGAGAACUUGUGAAGAAUUCAAUGGUGGGAGAACUUGGGGAUCAACUGCUUUUUAAUUGCUAUUUUAAUCUCUUUUAUAUUUUCUGCACAACUAUCUCAACCCCCUUCUCUUUAUUGUUAUUGCUAACUUUUAUUGCUUGCGUAUAGAUUCUAAACACUGAUAUACUAAUUUCACUAUUGGAUUCGUUGGGAGACGACUUGGGGUCAUCUGACCACAAUUAUACUAUCAUCUCUCUAGCGUUAGGUCUAUGUUGGAAUCAUAUUUAAUUUGACUGCUAAACGACAACUAUCACCAGAAUAGUCCUAUUGAAUCUCUUUACUUGGCCAUUUUGUUGAGGAGUCCAUGCAAUCGUCUGGUGCCUUGCUAUGCCAUGCUCUUUGCAGAAGGUGUUCAAUAGUUCGAGACAGAACAAAAGACCAUUAUCGAUUCUUAGUCGCUUGAUUGUAUUACCAUUAUGAUUUUUUACUAGACUCUUCCAACCUUUAAAGUUCUCAACUGCUUCGUCUUCUUAGGAUAAACUCAUAAUGUACUUAAAUUAUCAUCAACAGUUGACAAUAAGUAUCUGACUUCAGAGUGUGAUGGAAUAAGAGAUGGACCUCAUAGAUCAACAUGAACAUAAUCAAAGGUCCCCUUUAUCCUCUACUGACUCAUUCUGAAAUGAAUUUUAUAGACUUUCCCCUAGACGUAAUGUUCACAUAAUGCCAACUAGUCAAUUUUAUCAGUCCCAAACAAGCCUUGUUUGUCCAACUCCAUUAAGCCUUUCUCGCUUACAUGACCCAACCUUUUGUGUCAUACACUACUAGAAAAUUAUUAAAUAAAAACCAAUUUUAGAGACAAAAAAUAAUUAGUUACUAUAUUGACUAAAUUAUAUAUUAUUUUAGACACUAACAAAUUUAUUAGUAUCUAAAUUAGUUUCUAUGUUAUUGAUAAAAAAAAGUUUAUAAAUUGAUAUCUAAUUAGCUAACUAGGUUUUAGCUACCAAUUAUUUAGAAUCUACAUUUGUUUUUAAAAUAUUGGUAGUCAAUUAGAUACCGAUUUAGAAACUAUUUAUCAAUAAUAGAAACUAAUUUAGAUACCAAUAAUUUUUUUAGUCUCUAAAAUAGUAUCUAAUUUAGUCAAUAUAACACCUAAUUAUUUUGUCUCUAAAAUUGAUUUUUAUUUAAUGAUUUUUUGAUAGUGAUAACUCUCUUUUGGAGUAGACAUUUUUUUAAGCAAAUGCUGACCCAGAUAUUACAACACCUUCCAAAGCAUACAAGUCAUUCUUUCCCACAACCUUUAUGACUACCAUAGCCCCUUCAACACCCCUCUCUCACCUUUGAAUACAUAACACUUAUUUUCAAGUUCAUUAAGGAUAUAGGUUUUGUUUCAAGCUAGAUACAUACUAACAAAUUCACUACACCAUCUAGUAUACAAACGCUAGGCGAUAACAGAAAAACUGCAGGAACGAAGAAGGUUUCUUUUUUAUCGACAAUAAGCAAUUAAAUUAAACCAGCCCACUUAAGGGGUGGUCAAACCCUCAUACAGAGAAUAAAAGAUAAAAGUUCCUUUUCACCUUCGUAUCUAAAAUCCACAAAUUAAUCCUCUACUUCCUUUCUAACACUAAUAACUGAAGAAUAAAACAACGCACCAACAUUAAAUCGAGUACAUACAUACCAAGGGUUUAAGACGCCAUUAAGAGAACGAGAAACUCACUGACGGUAUCUUUGAGUUGAUCUAAGACCAAACUUUGACAUGUGCUAGAGAAAAUACUUCAAUAUGAUCUACCACUUCUCCUUUAAACAAACAAUUAUUCUUGUAUCUCUAAAUCAAGAACAAAAUAAACAAAGAAUCACACAUAGAAAUUUACGUGGUUCAACUAAAACCUAGUCUACGUCCAUGGUUAAAAUUUCACUAAAACAAAAAAAUCUAAGAUUACAACACAAAGUUUAUUUCAUAAGUCUCAUAAGUGAACUUUCAACUCUAAGUUAAAAAUAAUUGUUCAUUACAAGAUCCUAUUUAUACAAACAAAAUUGUCUAACUAAGUUCCAUUAAAAAAUACACCAAAUAAUUUACAAGUCACAUGCAUAAUAAUUUGACUAGGAAUGGAAAACUCCAACUAAUACUGAAAAUCAACCUGAAUUAGUAAAAAAUAUGCUUAAAAAGCUAUGAUUCAGAAUAAACAAUCUAAUACCUUUAGAAGCUCAAAUAAACAAUAUAAUUUCUCUAAACAUUCUUAUACCUCUAUAUGAUCUACUGACUCUAAAUGAUCUAUGAAACUUCGAACAUAGAUUUUAAUAAUAAGCAAAAUCUUCACAUGUAUAAAAAUGUGAAUUAAGCAUGUGGCUAUGUUUCCAUAACAAGUAUGUUUUGAUAGUCCUCUUACAUAGUCUCCACAAACAUCUCUUUUAUUACUUCUAUUCAAGAGCAUUCAAAUUAUUUGUUACUCAAAAUUUAACAGAAUCCAACGUUUUCUAUUUAUCGAUAUAUUUAUACUAUUUAUUAAAUCUAGUUAUAUUAAUUUUUAAAUUAUAAAUUUUUAUCAAGUUGUGGUCCUGAACAGAGUCUAGGUAGCCAUAGUCUACCACUGCAAAUUUUAUAGGAUACCAAAUUUUAUUUAUAUAUUAAAACUUAAAAUUUACAAUAAUUAUUAAUAUUAAUAUAUAUUUCCACUCAUUAAGACAAACACUAUUAACAUGUAUAAGGCCAAAAAAAUAUUUUGUAUAAUAAAAAAUUAAGAGACACAUCACACCUAUACUUCUAUUGUUAACCUUAAAUAAACCUUUAAUUUUCUGUUUUCUCCAUCUCUACAUAAGAUUAAUUUAUUUUCAAAUAAAUUUAAUUCUAGAUAUUUUAAUUGAAAACAUAAAUCUAUAAAAUUAAUUUCUUAAUAAAUUUUAAUUGUUUAAUUUUAAAAAACAUAUUAAAAUAAAAAUUAAUAACAAGGAGUGUAUAUCCACCUAGUUAACAAGAAGAUAGUCCAAAUAUUGAUGCUUACUACUUAUAGAUAUUCAUUAAAAGCAUUUAUUUUUUAUGCAUUGGCAUAAGAAAAAAAUGGAAAGAAGAAAGUGCAAUAAAUAGGGUUGAUGAGAAAUGUGAAUUAAAGAAAGAGUUGGAAUAAUUAAUAAAUUGUGAGUAUGGGAUUGCUCUAUUCUUCCUAACACCUUUGGACACUUCUCAUCCCAAAAGGUUAGUAUGAGUGAGACCCUACCCUACUAACUAAGGUAUCAUUUUUUUAGUAUGCCACUUGACCUGUUAGGGAUGCUGAGACUGGUGUUUUGUCAUUUCUUCUUUUCCAUUUUUAUAUGAAUCUGAUUGUGAAUUAACUUUCCUCUAUGACCCCGGGACAAGUUGAUGUGACAUAUACACCUCAAGAAUAUCCAAAUUAAUGAAUUUGAUAAAGAAAACCACCACAGAUAUAGAAAAGCUUCUAUUGCAUUAAGAUUUUUUUAUAAUUUUUAAAAAGUUGGAAUACUUUUACUUUAAAUGGUUUUUUAUUUAAAUUAUUCUUUUAAAUGUUUUGUUUAGAAGAAGAUUAUUUAUUACAUUUUUUCGGAUAGAGUAUUUUGAUUUUCAUUAAAUGUAAACAUUUAUUUUUAAAUUACAAUAUAUUUAUUUAACUGGCAAAAAAUAUGCAUAGGCAAUCUUUUUUUACUUAUAACAAUAAAUAAAAAAUUAGUUGACAUAACUUGAAAACUAAUUUCUCAAUAUUGAUUGAGAAAAUCAUUGAUUAAUGAAGAUGAAGAAAUUAUUGACACUUUUAUUAAUUUGUGCAAUUUUAUCUCUUAAUUACUAAAAUUGAUUAAAUUUUAAAAAAUUAUCAAAACGGGUAAGUCGUGCAACCUUGACACGAUUUUAGAUAAAAUUUGAUUAUAUUCAAGUUGUGUCAUCUUGGCACGACUUUAGUUCAAAUAUACUAAAGUAGUAUUUGUUGGACAUUUCAAGGAUUCUCACUUCAGUGUUUGAUGAAGUCAUGUUUGAAGACUUGCUGCCUUAUGUGUCUAGUUAGCUUAUGUUUUAAUUUGUUUGUCUUGAUUUAUCUUUUGUCUUUAGGAAUGAUGAAGGAUCAAAUAACAAAAUAUUUUUCAAAUAGUUAGAAAGGUUUUCAACUUGUUUUAAUUUUUUUUUUCUAGAAAGUUACAAUUUCUCAAUCUGUUAUCUUUUAAAUCAAUUGAUUGAAAAUACUGAAAUGUUUUAGAUUUUUCUGUAAUAUGUUUUAUAUACUAAAAACCAUAUUUUUAUAUGUAAGAUAAGAAUUGUUUUCAGUUUAAGUACAUUCUAUUUUAGAAAAAUUAGUUUAAUACAAACUACAAUUUUUAAGUAAAAUCAACAAAUUAUUUUGAUUUUUAACUGGUUGAUUUUACUUACUGCAUCAUUUUCUGUUUUAAAACCGUUUAUGUUAAAAACUCUAUAAAAGGGUGUGUUUGUUUUUAGAAAAAGUUUUUUUUUACUUGCACAAUUUAUACUUUUACAAUUAGUGAGAACCUAAGUGUGAGUAGAUUAUGAAAGAGUGAGUCUUUGAUAGAUCUUUGAGAGUUCUUAGUGCCUAAUCUUCAUCAUCUAGAUAGAGGUCAAAGAUUCUUCAAGUGUUGUUGUGAAUUGGAAGGUCCUGUUGCAUUUAUUGAUUCACAGUCAAGAUGUUUUCGUUCCCUUACCUAUUGUUUUGUAAUUUUGUGUUUGUUGGGGCUAAGAUAGGGUUUCUUGGUGAGAAUCAUAGUUGUGACAAAGUGUUGUAGUGAGUGAUUUGGUUCUUGUAGUGUUAAAGAACUGUUGUUGUAAAAUAAUUGUGUUGAUUUAGUGAAUUCUGUCUUAAUGUGAGGUGAGACUGUGUGUGAGUGAAAAGUAUAAAAUCUUGUUCUGGUUUAUCACUGCAUUUUAAUUUUUCUGCUCAAUAUCUUGUUCUGGUUUAAUCAAUUGAUUGUUUGUAAAAAUCAAUCUGUUGUUUUGUUCUGUACAAAUAUGUGAUAAGUGUCAAAUUUCAAUAAUAUUUCAUAUUAAAAUAUAGGUACAUAUGGGUAUUAAUUGCUAAAAUAAGUAUAAAAUAACCCCUAAUUUAUUAAAUUAUACCUUUUUACAUAUUUUGUUAUUUUAAUUUAAAUAUGAACGAUUUAUUCCCAAAUUUAUGUUAAUUUUAGGAUUCUAGGGUAGAAUGAAGAUAACUGAGCAAAAUGAGAAUAUACAAAGCUAAAAAGAGAAAGUUGGAAUGCACUAACAUCAGCUGCCCCCAAACUCACAAAAAACCAAAACGCCAUCAGUGGAUCUCGCUUAAGCGAGCUCAUUCUCGCUUGAGCGAGAUUACUCUAGUAACGUUGGACCUUUUUAUGUUUUACUCGUCCAAGCGAGUCCAUUAGCACCCAAGCGAUAAGUCACUUAAGCCCAAUAAAAUUAGGUUAAAUAAGAGGCUUGAGGCACAACCCUAGACGUGCAAGAUUGAGAGGAAAAAACCAUUGAGUGAAUUGUAACCCAAUUGAGAGAAUAAAAUAUGUUAAAAAAAUCUUAGAGGAGGUAGCCAUGAAGGAGAAAAAUUUGGAAUCUUCUUUUCUUGCUCUCCCUGCUUGUAAUGACCAUCAUGUGUGGCUGGUUCUACCCUUUGGGAUUGGGAAUAAUCUCAUCAAAAUCCUAUGUAUUGAGGUGAUAUCUAAACACAAUAUUAUGUUGUUGAUUGAUGAUGGAUAUUAUUGUUUUGUUUGUAAUGUUUAGUUUACCAUGAUCUAGAAUCUUAAAUUUGAUUGGAAAGUACUUCUAAGAUUUUGAUCUAAAUGAUAAUACUUAACAUAUUUGAAUGUUAGGAAUAGAUUUGAAAUGUUAAUUGCUAUCAACAUUUGAUCUUAAGGAUAAGUUGUUUUUAUAAAUAUACAUGAAAGCUUUUUAUUAAAAAAAAAGUUGUUUUUAUAAAUAUGUGAUGAAUCGAUAUUUACAAAGCAUCUUAAUAAUUUUAUAUGCGAGGAAUCAAUAUAAAUGUUUUUUUAUAUGGGCAUCAAUAUCAAUCAAAGGACACAAUAUUGCCAUGUUAAUCAAAAUACAAAAGAGUGAGAAAGAUGAACCCCAAUCCCUAUUUUUCCAAUUGAAGCAAUAAACUCUUUAACUUGUUUUCUUAUUAAGCAUUGUCAUCAUAACAAAUCUCAACACACUUUUAUUAUUCUGUUUUAUAUUUAGUGAUCUUUUACUUGAUUGUUCAACUGUUCCUUGUGAGUUUGAUAUCCGUUUUUACGGACAAAUUAUUACUUAUGACAAUGCGGUGCACUUGCUGUUAAAAGUCAUCAGUGCUGUUUUUUUUUCUUCUUCUAAAAUAACCAAAACAAAUGUGUUAAAAAAUAGAGUGUUACAUUGUGAAUUGAUUAUGUUUUUAUUCAUUAAAAUUUAUUACUCUUUAAACAAGUUAAUUUGAAUCAAAGAGUUUCUUAAAAAACUUUUUGAUGCAUUUUCUGCACGUCUCUUGAAAUCUACAAAAUCUCUUUUCUGUCAUUGUUAAUGAGAAAAAAAAUAUAUGUUAUUUUCAAAUAUAAUUUGUUCAAAAUAAUUCAAAAUUUUAUUUCUUAAACAGAUUCAAAUCUUUUCAAACUAUGAUUGUGAUUGACAAGAUUGUGCUUUAAGAUUUGUGUUAAAAAUUUAAUCAAUUGUUUUUUAAAUCAUGGUUUGAGUGGUUUGAAAAUGAAAAGAAAAAAACUCAACAUGAUUUUGUGGCAAAACUAUUAUUACAUCUGCUUUGGAUAUGGAUGAAUUCUUCAGGGUUUCUGAGUGCAGUUCUUCCAAGGAGAUGUGAGACAUCUUAGAGGUCACACACUAAAUAAUUGAUUAUGUGAAAAGAGCAAGAAAACAUACUCUUACUCAGGAGUAUGAACUGUUCAGGAUGAGCAAGAAGAAAUCAUAGCAUAUGUACAUAAAAGGUUCACACACAUAUUGAAUCACUUGACAAAUUGGGGCAAAGUCUUUGACAAUGAAAAGCUGAAUAUCAAAGUGCUGAAGUGCUUGGAUAAAAGCUAGCAAUCAAAGGUUACAACAAUCUUAAAAUCCAAGGAUUUGUCAAGACUAUCUACAUCAAAUUUGUUUGAAAAGUUGAGAGCACGAUGUAGAGCUGAACAAACUAAAAAAGAAAAAAACUUCUGAAAAGAAAGUGCAUAGCAUAAUUUUCAAGACCAAUACACAAAGGAAGAGUGAGAAUGAAAAUGAUUCAGAUCAGGAUGAAAUCUUAAAUCUAUUCACAAUAAAUUUAACAAAUUUCUAAAUAAAAAAAAUCGUGAAAAAAGGUAUAAGUAUUUGAUUUGAAAUGUAAAUAAUUUGAAUGUUAAUAAAUUAUACGUUAAAAUUUAAAAUGUUUUAAAAAAAUGAGGGUCAACUUAUCAAGUGUUACAUUUAAAAACGAGACAUACUUAAGUCAUUCUUUGUGCCUAAUAUCAAAGGAUUUUAAUGUUUCUUUUAGUGAAUUAAUGAAAUCAUGACUUUGCGUGGUUGUUUGAUGGGACGUUAGGCUUUUCUUGUAUGGUUAGCGAUAAUGGGUGUUAGGUAGGUGUUCUGUGUCAAUCUCUGGGUAUUGUUUUAUGUAUAAGGGUUGAACCACCUCUGAAGUGAUUCACAUUUUAUAUUUAAUUGUUAUUAUCGAUAAAAAUAAAUAAAAAUGACUUGCGCGAUUUAUUAUCCAUCCGAUCUAAUUCUAAUAAAUUACCUUUCUCUUAUUUAUUUUACUUAGUUUUAUCUCUUUCUUAUUAAAAGGUUUUAUUUGAUCUUUAAUUUUUAAAAUCAGUGGAAUGUUUCUCCUUCUGUUCAAUCUAGGUUGCCGCCUUUGGUUAAAAGUAUAUGACAGUAAAGAAUUGAUAUUUUGUAGAAAUAAAUUUAAUGAAUAAAAAAUAUUAGAUGCAUAUUUUUAUUUUACUAAAUUUCAUGCUUUUAAAUUUUUAGUUUCUUUGAUUUUUUUUUUUAAAUAACCAAAAUAUUGUUAUAUAGUGAGAUUGCAUAUUUUAAGAGGUAACAAUUGAUAAUCAAAUAUAGUCGAUGAGAUUUUUUUUAUCUUAAUAAGUGUCUUAUUUAUAUAUAUAUAUAUAUAUAUAUAUAUAUAUAAAUAUAAUANNNNNNNNNNNNNNNNNNNNNNNNNNNNNNNNNNNNNNNNNNNNNNNNNNNNNNNNNNNNNNNNNNNNNNNNNNNNNNNNNNNNNNNNNNNNNNNNNNNNNNNNNNNNNNNNNNNNNNNNNNNNNNNNNNNNNNNNNNNNNNNNNNNNNNNNNNNNNNNNNNNNNNNNNNNNNNNNNNNNNNNNNNNNNNNNNNNNNNNNNNNNNNNNNNNNNNNNNNNNNNNNNNNNNNNNNNNNNNNNNNNNNNNNNNNNNNNNNNNNCCAUAAUGAAAAAUUCAUUCUGGAUUCGCCAAUCCGUAAUUCAAAAUAUGCAUUCUAUAUUCAGAAAUCCAUAAUUGAAAAAAAUCAUAUAUUUCAAUAAAACUCUAAAAAUCAAUACUAAUUAAAGUUGUCUUUAAAUUACACCAGCUUUUAAAUAUUAUUUUUGAACUAUAUCUAUAUUAAAGUACGUUUGUUUUCAUAAACAUCUCCUUGCAUUAAAAUCAUAUAACAUUAAUACAAUUACUUUCAAAUUUCAAGUAAAGUUGUGUUAUCAAAAUACAAAUUAUCCACAUUUUUUUUUUAUGUGAUUCAACCCUUAUAAAAAAAAAUAUGAGCAGCUUAACUACAUAACAUUUUUAAAACAUCUAAAAAAUAAAACAGCUCUCGAAACAGUUCCUGACAUAACUUGACAGAAACUUCAUCCGUCAUUCCACUAAAACAAAUCAAAAUGACGAGAUACCAACAAAUUACCAACAUUAAUAAUUGUUUUUUUCCUAUUUAGUAAAAUCCAAAAUGAAUUGCACCAUUUUAUGCAAUAGCCCAAUUUAGCUGUAUAGAUAAUAUUAAUUAAAAUCAUCUGAUAAGAUUACUCUUUUUAAAAUGUUUGCAUGUAGGGGCUGGUAGCUUUCAUUAAACAUCACAAUACUGUAGUCGGAUUUCUCACUUUCAAGUUGUCUAGUUGGACCCGAUUGAUGGAAUCUUUAUUCCAAAUUUGAAUAUUAGAACUUCAAACAACUUUAUAAACAUCAAAUAAAAUACUAGAUUUGCCACCCACCCUGCAGAUUUUUUGUUUGUUAAUUGGAGCAUAAAUAAUUUCACAAAAUAAAUUAACAACAUACCUUUAUAUUUGUUUUAGUAUUAGGUAGAAUUUCGUUCUGAUUUUAUCAAAAUGACAGUGAAUAUAAUGAAGUUAAUUUGAAAAAUUUGCAUGUAAAAUUAACUUAAAUAUAAACCUCAAAAUUGUUAAUCUUAUUCCAAAAUUAGGUAAACAUAUAGAUCUUAAGAUGGUGAAGAGAUUGAAAGGAGUGACUUUCCAUCAUUCAAUGAUCUAGACAAAUGAUGCUUUACAUAAGGUGCAUUCAAUAAAGCAAGUAGUUAUUGCCACUUUUUUCUUUAAUGUUUUGUUUGAUAUCAAAAUAUAAUAAUUAAUUAGAGAUCGAGAAAUGGAAACACAUUCCACUUACAUAUUAAACCUAAUUAACAAUAAUUAGUAUUAUUUUGUUGAAUGUUUGUUGAUUUAAGUGAUAUUUAGUUUAAUUUUGUUGAAUAUAUGUUUUAUAUAUGAAAAAAAAGUUAAUUUUUUUAAUUUAGUUUCGACAUACCCAAUUCAAAUUUAGACUGGGUGAGGAUUUGAAUGGUAUGUGUCGGGUCAUAAAUUCAAUCACAGUGAAUUUAAUUGAGUCAAAGAAACACCAGGAGUCUUACCUAUAAUAUAACAGAAUCUUCACUCUCUUUGGAGUGAGUGAAGUAAAAAAAUAUUUUAAAUGUACAUAAAUUAGAUUUUAAUUUCUCAUUAUUUUUUAAUUAUAUAUACAAAACAGGAAAUAUAUGGUUAGAAUAUAUUUUUCUUUAUUUUUACUGAUGAUAAGAAAAAAGAAUUAAUAAAAGAGAAAUAAAAAGAGAUUAUAUGAGAAAGAAGAGAAGCAAAAGAUGAUCUGAUAAAGUAGGGUCCAGGGGUUCCAAAUAAUGUUGAAAUAUGAACCUACUACAAUUUAUAUAUGGGACCCUUCAUUAAACUCAAAAUCUGACCUAUGAUUAUUUUAUGUAUGUGUGGAGCACAUAUUUUAAAAUUGUUUUUUUAUCUUAUUGUUCUGUCCUUCCGUUCCUACCUUCAAUGCUCCAACUCUGGAGCAGACAUGAUCACGUGUAAAUAGUAGGAACAUGGAAAUUUUCAUUUAGAACAUGUUUGGUUUACUUGUUAGAAUCAUAUAUAUUUAAAAUAUUAUAAAAUAAAGCUAACUAUUUAUUAUUUCGACUUUGAAGUUAGAAAUAAAAUAAAAAAUGCAAAGACAUAUGCAUGUAACAUUCAUAUAUUUCAGUUCUUUAGUAUAAUGGAGAAAGAAAACAAAGAAGAGAUCAUAAAUUUUACUUAUAUAUAAUAAAAUAAAAGACACGUUAACAUAUACUAUUAUCUAAUAUUUUAUCUUAAAAUAUAUCAUUUUUUAGGGAUUUUAAUAUAUACACAAAAUAUUACAAACAAAACAUUCUGAAUAAAGACAUUUGUUUCUCUAGUUGCUCACUGAGGAGUUCUAUCACCUACAACUUCAUUUGUUCCCGUGUAAAGUAACACGAUCAUCACAGAUUAAAGAAAACAAACACAAAACAAAGCAAAGGGUAAGCUAGCUAUAUAAUUUUUUUUAUAUAAUUUCAAUUUCAAGUUAAUAAACAUAAUUCAUCAAGUUUCAUACAAUUUCUCAAAUCAUCAGGUGUCUAUUAAAAUUCAUAAUUCAUAUUUCACAUGUCAGACUUCUACUGAUUCACAACACAUAGACAUUUGACUAUACUUCCAUAAGACUCGUGCCUUGACUUAGACUCAGAGAUCUACACCUGUCAUACUAUAUCACUGUGAAAUCCAUACAGUUAUGCACAUAAAUAAUCUCAAUAUCAUCUUUCUCCUAGUAUGAUAGGGUUAACUGAUAUAACAGGUCAAGUUAGUUAUCUUUCAAAAAACAUACUCAUUCAUAUGAACCUCAUUCGACUUUCGCCACCUGAAUAAUUUCAUAUAUAUGAUUCCAUUAUCUCAGGAGAGUCAGGAUAUCUCAUUCUAGACGAAUCCUUGGUCAAUGCACAUCCUAAACAAUCUUAACAGGAUAUUUUAUUUCCUGAAAAAUACUAUGUCUUUAUUAAAAUUCAUAUUCUGAAUCUCACAAUAUCCAACAUCAAACAAUAAAAUCAUACCAAAGUUUAGAAUUUCCAAAAUACAUAACAAUUUAUUUACUAAUCAUAUAAAUAUCUAAAUUAAAGAAAUUUUCAAUUAAAUAUACAUAAAAUAAAAGUUUACAUAAUUUAUAAGUAAAACUAUACAUAAAUAAAUAAACCAACCUUUUAAAAGCAAAUAUAAAAUAAUAGUUUUUUUACAAGAUUAUCUUGAGUGAGAAUGGGUCUCGUUCAAGCGAAAAUUUCCUCGCUUGAGCAACAUUUAACCCGAGAGCACCCGAAAUUUCAUCCUAGGUCUCGCCUAAGCGAGAGUGGACUCGAGAGCACCCUAUCUUUCUAUUUUAUUCUCGCUUGAGCAAGAAUUAUCUCGCCUAAGCGAGAUAUGCACAAAAUUUAUGCAUAAACCUAUUUAAAUUCAAAACCAAUAUUUCAUUCAAUUCAUAAAUUUAUAAAUCUACACAUUACAUUGACAGUUGAUACUCAUAUAUGCUUUCCAAACCAAGCAUCACAUCUUAAUUACUUUAAUAGACUAUUCAAAUACAAUUAAACUCAUUUAUAUUACCAUUCAAACACUUUCAUUAACUUAUUCACCUUAAAAAUCACUAUAUAAUAUUCAAAAUUAUAUUACUUUAGUCUUAAAAUAGACAAUCUUGCAAGAAAAUUUGAGACUGGUGACCACGUCACCCCCUCAUCCAGAUCUUCUAGCCCAAUGUUCUAUUGGAAAUUUAAAACUAGCUUCCCUUACUUGAACUUGAACAGAUAUUCAAUAAAAGCUCCACAUCUACCAAAAUCUUAAAGGUCACUUAACCUACACCAAAGAGUCUUGAUCACAAAUCUAACUAUACCGUUAAGAUCAUGAGCUAACAGAGACUACUUUUGAAAAUAAAAGUAUCACAUGCAAGAUUAAACUAAAGGCAAACCUAACCAGAUCAAAACUAACUCAAAGGAAAAGGAGCCAAGAAUGAACUUACUCUAUCUAAUAUUUUGAUCGGACACUGCAAGAAAAUCAUGAAAUAGAAACCAAUUUGUAUAAACCAAAAUAAUUAGUUGCAAUAGUAACUAAAUUCGAGACCAUUUUAGAAACUAAAAAUAAAUUUGGUUUCUAAAUUAGUUUCUAUUAUUUUCUAUUAUUGUUAAAUAGUUUCUAAAUUGGUAUUUAAUUAGCAACCAAAGUUUUUGCUACCAAAUUUAGAAACUAAAUAAUUGGUAGUUAAAACCUUAGUUGCUAAUUAGAUACCAAUUUUAAAACUAUUUAACAAUAAUAGAAACUAAUUUAGAAACCAAUUUUUUUUUUAGUUUCUAAAAUGGUCUCUAUUUUAGUUCCUAUUGUAACUAAUUAUUUUGGUUUCUAAAAAUUGGUUUCUAUUUCAUGAUUUUCUUGUAGUGGGACAAUCUUGUAGAGUUCACUGUCAGGAGUCUAAUGGCGGAUUCUGAUUGUCAAACUGAUGAGCGAGGAGAAUCUUAGAGAGAAGGCAGGAGACGGAGAAAAGGAAAAAAGAAAUUUUUAGAAAAAUGAUGAUUCUUUCUAUUUAUAUGCUCUUUUAACUUUAAUAAUAAAAUAUCUAGAUAUCAUUUUAAUUAUACUAAUUCUGCUCUAAAAUUAUUUUUCUCGGUCCUUAUAAUAUUUAUAAAAGAAGAUAGAGCAAAUUUCUUUCCCCUCCUUAAAUGAGAUUUCUUUAAAUUUUAAGGUUUACUAUAUCUUGGAUUAUAUUCUAUUUCAUAUUUUAAUUAUAAUGUAUGAUUUUGUGGAUUAUUACCAAUAAAUUUACUUUAUCUAACACAUAUGUAAUUAUGUUGUUGUGAUAAUAUUAUUAAUGUUAUAUUUGAAAUAUUAUCAUCUUUGAAAUUCAGAAUUUUGUUAAAUUUUUAUCUUUUCAAAAAAUUAAGAAACAAAUAUAUAUUUAAAAUACUUAUCAUUUUUAUUUUUAAAUAAUGUAAAAUCAUUAAAUAAAGCAAAAAUAUAAUAAAAAAUAACGUUGUAAGAGAUGAAAUUUGUACUUAUUUAUAUAUUAUGAAAUAUUAUUAUCUUUAAUUGAUGUAGAAUCUCCAAACACAUCUCGUCACACCAAAAUUAUCAUGCAUGUGACUAUAUAUUUGUGAGUUAUUUGAUAACGAUCCGAUAGCGGGUGAUCGGAUAAGUUCAACAAACUCUCGUUAAAAUAAAUUUUAAAGGACUCUGAUACCAUACUAAGUCUAACUUAAUUUUAUAAAUUCAGGUUUAUAUUCUCUUAUAUUUCAUAUAAAAUGUACAUAUCUCUAAAGUAUGAGAUAUCCCAUACAUUUAAUCAUGAUAUAAAUAUAAAAUCAGCAAAGAGUAAACUAAAUCACAAAGCAUGUAAACCGAAUCAAAAUAUUGAUAACCAAUAAAAAAAAAUCUCAAUAUUUUUAACUCUUAUAAAGUUGAAAGUAAUUUCAGUUUCGAAACACUAUUUUUUUAAUUUUACUCCCAAAAACUUCUUCGCCCCACAGGAAACAUUGUGCACAAAGUGCAGACACAGGUUAUAAUGGGAAGCAAACAACGAGAUAGUAUAGGUCCAAUGGCAUCAGUAUUUUUAAAUGAAUAACGUUUAUAUUUGUGUCAUGAGUUGGUGAGGUUACUUCCCACAUUUACUUUUCCCUCUCUCUCAUUCAAAUAUAUAUACAUAUAUAUAUAUAUAUCACUUAUAUAUGAAGUAAUAUAAUAUUUUUUUUAUUUCUCUAUAAAGAUACAAUAUUUUUAAAAUUCAAUUUCUUUAUAAAACUUUUCGUUUUUCUUUACAAAAUUUAAUUAUCACUAUAAAAUAAAAACUAAUUUUAAAAAUAAAAAAUAAUUAAUUUUUAUAUUAAUUAAAUUAGACAUUAUUUUAUAGACUAAAAAAUUAUUGAUAUAAAAGUAUAGUAAAAGUCAAAUAAUAUGCCAAAUUCUACUAUUUAUACUAUUAAUUUGAGUAAAGUUUUCCCUUUUGAUCUUUAGUUUUAUAAGUUUUUUCUUGUGCAUCAUGUGGCUUUCUUACUUGCAUGUAUGAUUGAAGCCGAAAAAAAUGGAUUUAUACUAGUAAAAUUUUCAUUAAUAUGCUUGAUUUUUAAAUCCAAGUUUUGUGAAAGUAUGCAAAGAUUUUUCUACCUCUUCUUUUAUUCUCUAUAUGUUUGUCUUCAAGGGUAAAAUAUUUCAAAUUAGAGGUACCUAAUUUAAUAGUUAAGUUUAUUUAAGUUAAAUGAUAUGUUGAAGAUGAAAAAAGUUGGAAACUUAUAUUGGAUUGAAUCCUAGAUUAUAUAUAAAUGAAAUAUAGUGUUCAUUGAUUUUUAUGGAAAAAACAUUGUUAAAAAAUUGUAUUGGAAGGAGUUAUAUAAUGAUGAAUUUGAUUUACACAUGUGGAUGUUUUGAUGGAUAAACACGGAUUAUGUUGUAUUAAUUUGAUUUUGAAUGUAGUUCUAAUCUUCUUCUAAUUUGGUUAUUGAUGUGUUGUGAUAGUUGGACUUGUAUCAACAACUUAAUUGUUGUUGUGUGUGUUUGUUUUAUGUGGAUGUUAAUUACAAAUAAAUUUUAUUUGAAUGUUUGUCAAAAAAAUCAUAUACUUAUCUUACACGGAAUUCUUAUUUAUUUGUUGUUUUUAAAAAUAUUUAAAUAUAAAUUACAAAAUUUGUUAACGAAUAAAGUUCAUAGACUAAAAGACUAGUUAAGAAUGAUUGAGGAACUAAAAAAAUUUACAAGAGGAUAAAUAACUUUAUCCAAGAUUACAAUUAAGGAAGUAGUUCAUGAUGUUUUUUCCUUUUUAUCCCUUCUUAAUGCAAGUUAAAGAGAGAAAUGAUAAAAAUAUUAUUGCCAUAGCUCAAUAAUUUAUAGAAGGAUAAGAAAUCAAAGAAAGACUAAAUAAUUGGUAGCUUUAUUAAUUGAGUGGACAGAAUAAAUGUAGAUGAGUUUUUUCCACAUUCAAUAAUUAAAUUGGGUAAUAUAAAACAAUAGGUACACACCCCAAUUACUUUAUGGGAUUUAGAAUUCACUUGUUGUGACAAGUGAUAUUGUGUGGAAUUUGUCCUACCCAAAGUCUCAUAGUUUCUUCUCCUUGUCAUAACUUGCUAAUAACACAUGCAAUAGCUAUGUGAGAAAAUAAUUACUUACCAAGAUGCAUGAAAAGAACAGUGAUAGGAAAAAAUAAUCUAUUUUUUAAAUAUAUAGUUAAAGUUGAAAAUUUUCAAGAUAAACAUCAACAACAAAUUUUAUAAAAUUUAAUUAAAUUUAAAAUAUUUUUUUAAUAAAAUUCGUAUAUAUUUUGAGAGAUUGGACCUAGUUUUUUUUAAGGUCCACCAAAUUCUUUUCUUUCUUAUCUCUUUUGGUAAACCACAAGGUAAAUAAGACAUUUGUUUUAUGCUCCAAAUUUAUUUUAUGCUUCUUUAAUAAAUUAUUUAAUAUCAAUUAAAAUUAUGAGGUGAGAAAUUUUGUUGCGGAAUACUAAUUUAUUUGCUAUUAUUUCUAUUAGUUAGACAGUAUAAUUUAAAGAUACGAAUAUAAGUGCUAUUGUAUGUUAUUUAAGCCUAAUAUUAUUAUUUAUUUUUUAAAAUAUUUAAAAAAAUUAUAAUUUAUUUUAGACUUUACCUCUCUUCUUCCUAAAAAGAGACUAUUUUUUAAUUAUAUGAAGUUUCUUCACUAAAAUAUUACCACAUAUUUGAUCACCAUUUCACUAUUUAUCCAAUUAUAUUGAAUUUAAUGUAUUAUAUGUGAAUAGUAUAUUUACUUUCUUCGAGUUAAAUUUACAUUAUAAACACAAUAAAAAGAAAAUAAAAAAUUUAUAUAAUGUCUUAAAAGAUAAAUAGAAGAAUGAAGUUUGAGUUUAGAGGUGGGUGUUAAUCCUUCUGUGAAUUUGACUUAGGUUUUAGGUUUUAUUGUUAUUUAAACUUUUCGAUGAAUCUUUCUUUAAAAACUCAUCACUGUAUAUUAGUAUCAUGCUGGUACUUGUCUCUUUAAUGUUCUAAAUAUUAAAUUAAAUAUUUUUUAUUAAAAAAAUUCAAGAAAAAAAUAUGAUAUUUUCAAGGAUUUGAAUAUUAAAUAAACAUAUAUUUUAAGAAUUUAAUGAUAAAACAUUUGAAAUUAGAAAUUAUGUUCCACGAAAUACAAAUGUAUCAUUUGAACGAAACCAUAAAAAAAAAUAUAUAUGAUGUAAAAUGACUAAUUCGAGUAAACUUUUUAAAUAUUAAACAAGUUUAACAAUAAUUGAGAGAUAAAAAAAAAAUUGUAUAAUUUUGUGAAUAUUAAACAAGUCAAACUUAAUAGAAUAAAAAAAUAUGUGGCAAAAGAAAUAAAUAAGGGAUUUCAGAUGAAACGAAAAUAAUGAUAAGAAUAAUGAGGAUAAUUUUUUUAAAUUACUUAAUAAAAUAUAAAUAUUUUAGUAAUUUAAGAAAAAAAGAAUAUGAGAAGAUGGAGACACGACAAAUAUAUAUUUUUACACCCCUCUUUUUAUACCUAAUUUGAAAAAAAAUAAGUGUUAUAAAUAUGAAGAUUUCUCAUCAAAAUCGAAAAUAUUCACAACUACAACCUAAUUCAAACCAAAAAAAUUCAUCUACUAAUCAAUGUGCACACUAUCAAGACUUAAAUCAAAAUAAAACAACAGAAUACCCCUUAUUUAAGUAAUUCUGAAUCUCGUUAAUUUACCAAUAAUCUUAUAACUCAAUAAUUCACACAAUUAAUUAAAAAUUAAAUAUCAUGUUGACCAUAUUAAAGUAGACUCAAGAAUUUGAUUAAACUCUCCACUUACCUGAUAGUUGUUUAUUAUCUAAUCAAUAAUAAGUCCAAUAUGAGAAAGAGCUUAAUUUGCAUAAAAAUCUUCAAAAGCUUAAAGGAAACUUCGCCUCACCAAAACACAGUUGAAUUAAUAAUUGAGAUAAUAAUAACUUUCUCAUCUUAUUAAACUUGUGAAAUUCUAAAACUUGUGAACAUGUGGAAAUUGUCAGUGAUUAACGCUAAAAUGCGUGAACUGAGAGGAGGGAGGGUAGAAUAGGAAAAUUAUGGCCAACAUGAUAUAUUUUCCACACUCUAGUCAUGUCGUUUUAAAGAAAUAGUAAAUUUGACAAAAAAAAAUUCUAUAACUCAAUGUUUUCCUACUGUACCCCCACACUUAAAUCAAAAUCAAAAUUACUUUUUUUUUAAUUGACAUUUUUUUAAUAUCAUAAUGUGGGAUGUGAAGACUUCAAUAUAGAUAUAUGUUUUUAAUGAAUCUAGAAGUUAACAUUUAUGUUUUUAUGCAUUUUAGAUUCAUAACACAAAAUUUGUAUUUCGGAUUACAUAAUGUAGAAUACAAAUUUGUGUUUUGAUUGUGUAAUAAAAUAAGAAAUUUGUAUUUCAAGUUCCGCAAUUCAUAAUACAAAUUUUAUAUUAUGAUUACAUAAUGAAGAAUACAAAUUUUAUAUUUUAGAUAAGGUAAUCUUGCAUGAGUAUUUUAUAAGGUUAUUGUCCCCAAUAAAUUUGUGUAUUUUAGAUGGUUUAGCCAAUAAAUUAUUGCGUGUGAAGGAUGAGAUUUCAUGAUUGGUCUCUAGGAUUCAAGAUUGACUUUUGGCUUUUGCUUGACGAUGAGCAUGACUUUUGGCUUUUGUUUGUUUUUCUUAUUCAGAUUGGUGUCUUGAUUCUUUGGUUUGUAUGUAUUUGAUCAAGAGAUUUUGAAUUUUAAGGAUUUUUAGAAGGUUGGGAUGAAGUGUUAGUCUAUUCCUGAAUUUCUUGUUUUGAUCUUUGCUGGCCUGUAUUUUUGUUUUAGUUUUUGUCCUAGUAGGAAGUUAAUGAUAAGUGUCUAGAGGAGAUGUUGUUCUUUUCUGUAUGGUUUGUACAAGGAUUAGAUCACUCAUCAAGUGAUUUUUAUUUAUUUAUUUAUUUUAUUUUAUAUUGUUGAUAAAAAAAACUGUUUCUUCCACAUCAAAUUAUAAGAUUCAAUAGUUUGUUCUUGAAAAUAGUUGAAUGAUUUUUGUGUUGAUUUUAGAGGAAUGUUUGAUUAUAAUGAUGAAGAGAGAUUGAGAAAGUUGCAAAGAGUUGAGGAUUGAGUUAGAGAGUGAGUUGCAAGUGAGAAGAUGAAAAGGGGUAUUGUUAGGGUUUAUUUUUUUAAGGAUAAAAUAAUAAUUUCACCACCUCAUAGAAUGCAGGAUGAAACCAUAGGUGCAAGAAGAAUUUGCCAGUAAAAUCUUGUAAAAGUGUAGGUAAGCCCAGAUAUAAAAAUAUAUAAUAAUAAAUUCUAGAUACACAAUAUAUGCAUUAUUUCUCAUAUUUUUCAAUAAAAUUUAAAAUUUAAUUUUAACAUUAAACAUAAUAAUUUGUACUUUUUAAGUAAAAUAUAAAAUUUUAUUUCGAUUAUUCAGAAAUUAAAAUGUACACUAAAAGUCAUUUUAUCAUUAUAACAUUUGGAAGUUAAAUUAAUUUGAAAAUUACUGUAAAUAAAAAACAUUAGUUUGUCAAGUAAAUAGCAUCAUUUUUAUUUUUUUUCCAACAUUUGAAAUUGAUGCGUAUAUGUGGAAACUUUUUAAAUAUAUAAGCAAAUUGAAAUAUUUUAGCAACAUUUCUUUUAUUAAAAAUGUUGAUAGCAAUAAUUUUCGUUUUUAAUUCAAAUUGUGUAUUAAUUAAUUUUGAGAUAGCAAUAAUUUUCUUGUUUAAUUCAAAUUGUGUAUUAAUUAAUUUUGAAAAAUAAUUAAUAUUAUGGUGAAAUUGUUGGUAUUAAAUAAAUAAUAUCUAAUUUUAGUGGUAAAAGAUAUGUUUCAACUUAAAUUCUAAAUUUAAUUUGACAUAUUAAAAAAAUUAAUUUACUUCUAUCUUUGUAUGUAAAAAAUCCAACCUCAUUCUUAUUUUAUUGUAUAUGUAAUAUUCCUUUUUUUAACAGUUACAUUAACACACAAUCAUUCACUCAUCUCUUUAAUUUAUUGUAAGGUAAUAUUUCUUUUUUUUUUACCGUUACAUUAACACACACACCCACAUACCACACACACACAUUUACAUUUAUAUUACACACAUUUUCUAAGAAAAGGAAACAACAACAUGUGAAAUAUAAUUUAUUUUUUUUAUUUUUAAUUCAUUUAUGUUGAAAUUGUUCUAUCGCAAUAUUAUUUAGUCUUGUGUAACACAAUCAUCAUAAUUGAUAAAUAACACAAUCACAAAGUAAGGUAACUAUAGGAUUUUAAAAACUUUCGUAUAUGUAUAUAUUAAAUUUUACACACAUAUUAUAUUCACAUCUCAUCCACGUACUUUAAUUGAUACAAUUUAGAUUUAUUUAUUAAAUAUAUAUUAGAAAUCAAGUGUAUAUAUUUUAACCAACAUGCUACAUAUCAUGUUAUAACUUAUAAGCUACUAAUGUAAUGUAUCACAAACACUUGAGUGCGUCUAUCAUAUUACUUUCACUAAGUUGUCACCACAACAAAACUCUAUAAUAGGAAAUCGGUCCACUUAUAUGACAUGAUAAAUUCCUAUGAUCUACUAACAUAGUUCUUUUUCACACCACAUACUCUGUUAUAAGAACCUCUUCCAACUUUCACCACCUAAUAUUUUCCUUUAUGUGAGUCCAAAAUUAGUAGAGUCAUGAUCGUCUCCUUCAAAAUCCCAAAUUUAAUAUAACCUAAACAUCUCACCAUAGUAUUCAUUCCCUAAAAAUAACCACGUUCACCACAUACAACAUGUCAUAUCAUAAAUUUCUAUUCAUAUGUAUACAUCUAACUCAAUUUAAAUGUUACAAAAUUACAAUUAAUCUUCCAUUACAUUAUAAUAACAUUGAAAUACAAUAUAUUGACAAAUAUAAAAAUAUACUGAAAGAGAUAAACAAUAUUAACUUUUAGAAACAUUUAAAAUAUAUUUUCAAAGUUUAGAAAAUAUUAUCCUGUUAAGUCAACACUUUGCUCACAUAGCAAAUUAAACACUUGUUACAAAUUGUCCAACCAUCAUUCUAUUUGUCCAAACUCUACUCAUUCAAUAAACAAAAUAUUCACUCAAACUAAGUCACUAUAAGUUUUCAUACGAUUUUUCCAUUUAAUAUAUUUAUUUCUCCUUAGUUCAAAUGUAGUUUAGGAAAAAUUAUCUAUACUUAGUAUUAAUUACUAAAAUCUUAUUAAUUACUAAAAUCUUAUUGAGAAAGUGAUAAGAAGUCACUUUAGAAAACUAUAAAAAAAAUAUUAAAGAAAUUCAAAUAUUCUAAAAGAGAUUUUAAAAAAUAAGUAACUAAAAAGUAAAAGUUUUAAUUAUAUCUUUAUGAAUAUAACUUGAAAUUUAAUAUUUAUUAUUUAAAAGAUGAUAAAACACAUGUUCUUAGAACAUGCUUAAUAAAAACUCAUAAUUUUCUUAAGCAUAAUUAUUUUUUAAUAAAAAAAUAAUAGAUAACAUGGACUUAUGAGUCAUUGCACUCGUGGUUACUAUCAUAGUACUAAGAAAUUGCUUCAUUUUUCAUUUGAUAAAAUUCGUACUAGAUAUUUAUAGUUGUUUUAUCAUUAUUUACCAUAUUAAAAAAACAAUAUAGGCAAUUUCUAGCUCCAACUUAUUGUGCAAAAUUGUAAAUUUUAUUCUACUCUAUAAAUAAGAUUCAUUCUUCUUAAAGAUGAAACCAUAUGUUAUUUUAAGAAUAAAUAUAUUUUUGUUUUUUAUAUUAUAAUACAAAAUUGAUUUUUCUCUUCGAUUCAAAUUUUAAUAAUUUAAAUGCUUAUAAUGACAUUGGAAUAUAUCUUUUUGAAUAUGAAAUAUAUUCAAUUUGAGAUUUUGCUUCAUUAACCUAUUAAAAGUAGUCAUAGUAGAUAAUAAUAAAAAUAAUAAAAAAAUUUGAAAAAAAUUAACAAUCAUUUCACAUACAUAAUGACCAAUUUCAAUUAUUUUUACUAGCGGAAACAUAAACGCAACCGCGCCUGUGUACCCGCAUUUUCCUCUUUUACUCAAUUUUUAUGAUAAUACAAAUUUAAUAUACAUAAAUAAUUUUAGAUGGGUCAAAAUUGAAAAGUAAAAAACGGAGUGCAGAGAGUGAUUGAAAAUAAAGGUUAUUUUAUUUGAUAUAUGAGAUUUGGUGUGGAAAUGUGUGAGAGUAUGUUCUCCCUUUCUUUCUGUUGUUACGUUAAAAUAAGGAAUUAAUGGAAGAGUGUGGGAGUCAAAUAAAAACCAUAUAUUAAUAUUAAUUUAAAAAAUAAUUUUAUUUUUUAAGUAAUUCAUAUUAAAUGACANNNNNNNNNNNNNNNNNNNNNNNNNNNNNNNNNNNNNNNNNNNNNNNNNNNNNNNNNNNNNNNNNNNNNNNNNNNNNNNNNNNNNNNNNNNNNNNNNNNNAUAAAAAAAUGUCAACAUUGUAUGACAUAUUUAUUUUAAAAUUAAUUGUAAUUAUUGUAAAUAUGUAGAUCUAACUUGACUACUUUUUUCAAUUUCUAACAUUGAUAUAUAGUGUAUUAAAUAUUUGGAAAACAAUUUUUAUUUUUCACAAUAAUUUUUUUUAUUUACUCGAAAAUGCAUAUGCUUUCAUGAAUGUGUUUUUACAUUUUAUUAUCUUAAAAUAAUAUAAUUUUAAAAAUAUAUUUGAGAAUAAUAUUAAAAAUAUAAAAUAAUAUAAUUUUACAACUAUAAUAUUAAAAAUAUAUGUGAUAGUUAUAUUAACACAAUAAAUUAUUUAAUUGUUUUGGAACAGAAAAAUUAUUUAAUUACCUGCAAAUAUCUUAAAGUAAAAAACAUGGUUAAUUCAAAAAUUACCCUAUGAAUGUGUUGUAUAUAUCAUGUAGACUAAAUUAUUGCUGAGGGAUUUUUUUAUAUACACUAAUUAACAUUUCAUUUAUUUUUAAAUCUUAUCUAAUCUUUUAUAUAUUUUGAAAAUAUCAUACUGACAAUUUUUUACAUUUAAAAGUAUUAUACUUAUUCUUGAAGUUAUUGAAUGAAUAAAAAGUAGAAAAAUAGGAGUAAUUAAAGAAAAUAUAAUUUAGUCUAUGACUUAUAAGUUGAUGAUAAUUACUUUAUAUAUUAAUAAUAUUAUUAAUAUUUUUUUAUAUAAAAGUUUUCAUAUAAAACUAAUGAAUAUUAUUAAUAUAUAAAAUAAUAUAAUUUAAUUAAUAUAAUAUUAAUAAUCUUUUAUAUUAAAAUUUAUUUUUUAUUUAGUUAUUUUUUAUAAUAAUAAUUAUGAACAAACUUGUUAAACAAUUUUUAGUAAAACUAUUGAUCCGUGGAAGAAUGAGAUUGGUUGAAAGCAGAAGUGAAGAAGAAAAUGAAGUGAAAGAGAUUGAAAAAGAAAAUGAAGUGAAAGAGAUUGAAAAAGAAAAUGGUUGAAGUGAUUGAAAUGAAAGUAGAAAGAAUGUUUAUGAAUCUGGACAGGAUUGAAGCAAGUGUUCAUAUAAAUGAAUUUGGACAUGAUUUUCGUACAGGGUUUCAAUUUUCUCUCAUAUAUAAAAAAUAAUAAAGUUUGUUUGAUAAAGUAAAUAAUAAAAAAUAGCAACUUACCAACUUCUUAUAAUAAAUAAUAUUUUAAAUUAAAUAUUAUUAAAAUAUUAUUUUAUUAAAUUAUGAAGUGGAUGUUUUGACUGGAUACGUAUCAACGUAUCACUGCUCAUGUAUGAGAUGUAACUAAAUAUUUAAUUAUUAUUUAGCAGAGAAAACGAAGAAUGAGAAUAUAAAUAGGAAAAUGUUACUUUUAUGCAAACUGCUUCAAAAUACAUUGCAUAUUAUAUAUAUUUCACCAUUAAAGCAACGUAAUGUCAAUUAGAGUUGUUCUUCGAGUGUAAAUCUUUCAAGACAUUAAGUUUAUCUGUAACUAAAAAAAAACAUAGAUUUACUCAUUUUCAGUUGUUUAUUAUGCAUCUUAAUAAAAAAGAUGGUGAUAGUAGAUAUUAAGUUUAUCUGUAAUUCAAAAACUAUAAAUUUACUUGAAUUACACUUUCUAUGCCUUGAUAGAUUUACUAUAUUUACUAAAAUGUCAUAUUAAGUAUGAAAAAUAAAAAAAUAUUAUAAAAAUGAAGAAUUGAUAUGAAAGUUGUCAUCACAACUCAACAAGUCUCUUAUAGGAGAGACUUACAUAGUUGUGUGAAUCAUGAAAAUGUUUGUAAUUUUUGUAAAAAAUUGCAUGAGAAGAUUCAUAGCUUUUUUCCAUAAAAAAACUACAUAAGAAUGUUUGCAAUUUUUUUCAAAAGAAUUGUAUAAUGUUUGUAGUUUUUUUCUAAAAACUCUACAUGUUGAGCAAUAAUAAUUUUGUUAAUAUUCAUGUAGCACAUUAAAUUUAUUGUGUUUAUUAUUUAAGUUAUCACUGAAAAAAAAAUCAUGAAAUAAAAAUCAAUUUUUAGAGACCAAAAUAAUUAUUUACAAUAGUAACUAAAUUAGAAAUCAUUUUAGAAACUAAAAAACAAAUUAGUUUCUAAAUUAGUUUCCUUAAAUAGUUUCUAAAUUGGUAUCUAAUUAGCAACCAAAGUUUUUGCUACCAAAUUUAGAAACUAAAUAAUUGGUAGUUAAAACUUUGAUUACUAAUUAAAUAACAAUUUAAAAAUUAUUUAAUAAUAAUAGAAACUAAUUUAGAAACCAACUAAUUAUUUUGGUCUCUAAAAAUUAGUUUCUAUUUCAUGAUUUUUUUGUCUUGUAGUGUAUACUCUUAUUUGUGAGUGGAUUUUCGUUAGAAUAAAUUAUUUUCCUAUUGUGUGAUUUAAUACUCACAUUAGAGUCGAGGUUCUAACAAGGAAGGAAGAAGAGCGGUUAGACAUGAGAAAAAUCAACAUUGUGUAUUGCAUCUUCGGAGAGGUUAGUGAUAUAUUUGUGCAAUAACUUUGUUGAUGCAUAUAUGGUGGGAUCUACCUUUGCUCGGGGGUGGUGUUAGUCAUGAAUUCCACCUUGUGUAUUGGUGAGCAUCCAACAACAAUGACUUACGAGUCAUCGUCAAGGAGUAUCUCCAAGUCACCAAUAGCGAUAAUGGUUCAAGCAAAUUUGUUGCCAAAAUGUGAAAUGUUCAUUUCAAAGCACAAAGAAGAAGAAAAAUGGUUGAUUUUGAAGCUUUGUUGUAGAGUUACUUUCUUUAUGUGAGACUUUUGGUGAAUGGAGGAUAUGUUAACGUUAAUGAAUAUUCAUUAAAGAACCACAUUGAGUAAUGAAUAAUAUAAAUAAUAAAAAAAGUAAAAAGUUACUAUAAAAAUGAAGAGUUGAUAUAAAAUUGUCAUCAGAACUCAAUAAGUCUCUUGAAUCUCAAUAAGUCUCUUAAAUGUAUAAAGACUUGGAUAAUUGCUUGUCAUAAAACGAUUUAUAACUUUUUUUUCAAAAAAUUGCAUGAGAAGGUUUACAGUUUUUACUAGAAAAAUUGUAUGAGUGUUUACAAUUUUUACUAUGUCUUGAGAUGUGGAAACAUAUUAAAUUUAUUGUGUGUUUUUAUUUAAAUUUUAAAUUUUUAUUUGUGAGUGUAUUUUAGCUAGAAGAAAUUGUCAAUUUCUUCCAAUAGUUAAUUCCCAUCAACAUUAUCCCCAAAGAAUUCACAUAAUUCUGUGACAAAAAAAAUAGUACAAAAUGAUGCCCUAAGCUAAAAAUUAAAAAAAUAAAAUAAAUAAAUAAUCAAGUCUUCCCAGGAGAACCUAAAUUUAUUCAACUUUUUUUGCUUUUAGCAUGAAGCUCAAGAAACUAACCAUGAAUGAACCAACCAAUAAAAGUUGAUGCAUCAAUUAUAAAAACAUGUUAUGUGACAAAGGCUAGUAAUACAAUUUCAACUUUUUUCACAACUCGUCCAAAUACUAAACUCUGCUAAGUUUAGUCAUAUAUUUUUUCAAUGGCUGAUUCUCCCUGCACCCGAUCAUUUAUACUGACACCCAAUUGCAUAUAGAAAAAGACUAGACUACCCUUAAUGAAUUUGAAAAUACCUUAAGUGUGAUCUGCACCCAACCUUCUUCUUCUUCUUCUCCAUUUGUGCGUGAACCAGGCAACCAUCACAGUCAGCCACCUUCGUCUCCGUUCGUUUGCUUCAUUGCUUCACUGUCAGUGACCUUCAUCAUCGCAGGCAGAGCAGCAGCCGCCACAGUCAGCUUCGAAAGUCGGAGAAAGAACCAUCGUCGAAGAAGUCAAGGUACACUAACAUGACUUUCGAAUAUUUUUAUCCGUAGUUGAGUAUUGCCUUCCAAAUAUUUAUAUCCGUAGUUCAUUAUUGAAUUUUGGAUAUUUUUAUCUGUAGUUCAUUAUUGCCUUCUGGAUAUUUUUAUCCGUAAUGAACUUUUGACUUGCAGAUAUUUUUAUCCGAAAUUUGUUAUUCUGCGGAUAUUAAUAUCCAUAUUAGUGUUAGAUAGUUAUGACACUUGGCUUCUAUGAGAUUUUUCAUUUAUUCUUCUACAGCUAAAAGCAAAACUUCACCACAACAAUGAACUUCCUCUACCUCACCAUACACUAUUUUUCAAAAUGAAGAAGAAAAAGGCACAAUGAGAAUUUUAAAAAUUCGUCGUCGAGUGCCAGUCAUAAUUGACCAGUCAGGAAGCAAUUGCCUUUUUCAAUUUACUAUUUACAUCCAUAAGAUCCAUUUACUUAAAUGACAAGUGUGAAAUGGAAAGUGACUCAUGCAUAAAAAAUAAUCAUAUUUUAUAUUUUUUUAUUGUACUGAAAUAUAAUUUAUAUUCUGAAUAAUAUUCUGGAACACAAUUUUCUAUUUUUAAUCUCGAAAUACAUUCUAAAAUCGCAUUACAUAAUAUAUUAAUACAUUCUAGAUUAUAUAUUAUAUAUUUUGAAAUAUACAUUUUAUAUUACACAAUAUAUUAAUACAUUUUAUAUUGUAUAUUAUACAUUCAUAUUUGUAUAUUCUGAAAUGUAUAUAAAGUUUCAAAAUAAGUUUUGCACGUCCUGGAUCAUCCAAUUUGAAAUAAACCAGCAGCAUCAACAAUAAAGAAAAUAAAUUCAAAACAUAAAUCUCGUCCAACGGCGCAACGAGACAACAAGGUCGAAGAUGAUUCUUCAUAUAAACUAUUCCUACAAAGUCUCUCACAUACAAACAUAAAGAGAAUGCACCAAAUUCUAAUUGGAGGUGCAUGGCGGAAGAAGAAGAUGAAGUGGAAGGGUGAAGAAAAUUUAAGUUUAUUUUAUAAAUAUGAAGUAGGACACUUGUGUUUACCAUUAACGUUAUACAUAAAAUUACAAGAAAAGGAACUAGCUUAUAUAGAUUUUUUUUUAAAAAUAAAGAAUUUUAAAAGUUUAAAUAAUUUUUUAUUAAAUGUUAUGAACUCCAACUGUUACAUUUGCUCAUUACAUCUCAACAUUAUCAAUCCAAAAUUUCAUAUGCUUUUGACUAGUUAAAUCGAGGUGGUUAUUUUUUUCAAUUUCUAAACAUUUAAAAACAAGUUUUCCUUCAGUUAUCACUUCAAAACAGAACACCAUACCAUAACCUUCUUGACCACAAAUUUCAUACAUUUCUCAGGAAAAGUUAGAAGACAAUUGUUCGUCAUUAAAAUUAUACCGUUUCUUUAUGUUCAGUUCAGCUGUAAUUACUUUUCAAGUUUCAGAAUAUAAACUCUUCUUGAGCUUUCCAGUCACCUUGGACUACUUUCUCAUCUGUGUGAAGAGCUCAGGUGGCUUAUUGCCGCCAACUGCACCAAACCCACCAUUCCCUUGGCUGCUAAAUGGUCCAAAACCACCACCUGAACCAGCUCCAGCAAAUCCUCCAUUAGAAGAAACAGCACCAAAACCACCCCCAGGGGCAGCAGCACCAAAACCACCUCCAGGGGCAGCAGCACCAAAGCCACCCCCAGGGGCAGCAGCACCAAAACCACCACCAGGGGCAGCAGCACCGGCAAAUCCACCACCAGAAAAUGCACUACCAGUGGAUGCAACACCAGCAAAGCCUCCACCUGUUGAUGCUAUGCCAGCAAACCCUCCACCAACGGGAGUGUUUGAGAAGGCACUAGUGGAACUACUUCCCGCAAAUCCACCAAAACCACUGGGAGGGGAGAAACCACUUCCAGGUAAACCACUACCAAGCUGUCUUGAUUGUCCGAAACCACCCAGUACUGAUCCAAGAACCUGUUGCCCUAAUCCAAUUUGUGCUGGCUUCCCAAACCCACUAGGAGGGGCUUGAGCAGCUGCCACAGCAUUGAAGCCACCAGAGAAUGCACCUGAAUUUGUUGUCUGGGAUUGCGCAGAUGACUGAGGGUUUGAGAAAGUAAAAGAUGCUGGUUUAAACAACUCUCCACUAGGAACAGAGAAUGUAACUGUAGAGCUUGAUGAACUAGUCGCUACAUUAUUAAAUGAACCCCCAAAAGGAUUUGACUUAGGCAUUGAUGGGUUAGGGUUUGAGCUAAUCCCAAACCCGCCAAAGCUUCCCAAACUAAGUUCACCCGUGUUGUUACUUGUCUCGGGAGCUUCUUCCUCCAUCUCAUCCUCAUGGGAAAUUCCAACUUCCAAACCCUCAUUUUUCCCACUUGAAACACUAGCAGAGGAAAGGAAAGAAGUUGAAAACUGCAAAGGAGCAUCAGAAGGACGUGCAGCUUGAGAAACUGGGACAGCAUUGAGAUCAAAACUUGUUAUAUUGUUGGAAGAUUGAUCGAUAGGACUGCUUGUUGGUCCAAGCUUCAAUUCAGAUGCAUUAUUUAUGGGUUCAUUUGGUCUAGUGAUUACUUCUGCAGCAGCAUCUGAAUCAGUCUUUGAAUUAGACACAGCAGCUGGUUGAAUAUCUGAUUUAGGUAGAGAAGCUGGUUGAAUAUCUGAUUUAGGUAGAGAGGGUGGUUGAAUAUCUGAAUUAGGUAGAGAAGCUGGUUGAAUAUCUGAUUUAGGUACGGAAGCUGGUUGAAUCUCUGACUUAAGUGACCCUAAGGCAAACUUCAAGCCAGGUGGGUUAGGUAAGGAUGACACUGUGUCUUUAGGUCUCUGAUUAGAAAAGUGAAUAAAAGCUGAUGAAGAUGAUGACAUGGCAUUAUUUGAAUCCGUACUGGUGUUCAAACUAGUCAAGCUGUUUGAUGUCACUGACACUGCUACUGGAGGCACUGCUGCAGAUGAGACAGAUGAUGAUGGCGGAGAGGAUGAUGUCUUAGCAGUCGAAGAUAACACAGAUUUAAAUGAACCACCAAAUGUGGGGACUGCAGGAACAUUUUCCUUGGGCAAGCUUUUAUCAGCAUGGAAGUCAGUAACUUUUCCCAGGAAGGGUGACGAUGCAGAAAUAGUGGAUGACUGUGACUCAGAUGACGGGAAGACUUUUCUCCAAGACUCGGGAGUAAACGCACUAGAAGGUUUGUCUACGGUUGUGGAACUCGUAGCAAUAGUCAUUUUAUUAUUUGUAAUGGGUAUUUCACUGGAUAUAAUCUGCAUUGAAGGUGUUUCUGUGGUUGAAUAGAUAGGUAUUGGGGAUUUUUGAGCAAUUUUCCAAUGCAGGGUAGGCUUAUUUUCACUAUUUGAGACUAAAUCAAACUUUUGAACAGUUGACUUUUCAGUAGCCAAAUCUUUAGUUUCUGUGGAAUAACCACCAUGCACCAUUGUUGGUGACAAAUGGAAUGCAGACUGUGAGGGUAUGAAUAAAGUCUUACUUUUUGGCACAACACUUGAUGUAGACUCUGAAACUUGAGUGGUUGCUCGGAGGCUGUCAGCAGGUAUAAAUGCCUUUGAUUUUUCUGAGACCUCUUCAAGUUCAAGAUGAGAAUCCAGAACGCUUGCUGCAAGUAUAUUCAUGACAAAGAUAAGUGUCAGAAACUUAAGCUAUAAGCUAUCAACCAGGCCAACAAUUGAUUGCAGCUCACCUUGCAUUUUAGAAGAAGGGAAUACAAUUGAAGGAAUUCUAGCAUCUGUCUGACGAGGAGCAGAUCCCUCGAGAGUGGAAACUUUUUUUUCUUUAUUCAUUGAAUAUAAUGAUUCAUUCCUAUUAAGUUUCUGAAGUUCUUGCAGUAGCAUCCUCUUAACGGUGGUCUUAGGAGGUUCAAAACAGGUCCAACUCUGCACCAAAGUCGGUAGAGGUCACAAGUCACAAUCAUUAAUCGAAGCAAUAUAUCAGAACAACUACAUACAGGACGAUAAAGUUCCUAAUUAUACUUAUGAUAAUUUCUAGGGUCCUUACACGUUACAUUUCCCACCACUAUUUUCUGGUAGCAGUAUUUUUAUAUCACCUCUCAUAAACACUCUAGUUCACUCACUCCCUCGAUUUUAUUUAUACAAAUGUCAAAUGCUCACAUUCAAAUCACUAGACAGAUGGACUGUUUCAAAUAAAAAAUGUACGCACAAAAAUUCAAAUGUACUAGCACAAAUAUUUAGAACAUGGUUAUUAUAAUCAAGCUUGAGAUUCCAUUGGCUAAUGAUAAUCAACAGAUGCAGACAAAAAAAUAGAAAGAUAUUAUCAUAACUUUUAUUCAAGCAACCAACUAAACAGCACAAACAAAUUAGUUUGCUUAAAUAUGUGCCAUAUUGGUAUUGAUCAACUGAAUUAAUACAUAAGCAACUAACACAUUAAUACCUGGUCAAGUGAGUCUCUCCUCCUCCUUGCCGUUUCUGGUUCAUAACUCUUAGUUGCACUGGUUUGAUUUCUCCUAGAUUGAUCUUUAUUAGCUGUCAAAUCAGAAAACACAAUCUUCUUACUAGGAGGAGUCUUCAUAAAACAUUUCAUGUCUGGUGAGCCAAAAGCUGCUUCAUACGGAAUUCCUAUUGUUUCAAAUAGCUCCUUCAAAUUCUUUCUUUCCUCAGUUUGAGACCUUAAACUCAACGCUGACAUUUGUUUUGAAAGGCAAUCCGAGAGAUUUUCUGCAGCUACAAGUUGUGAACUGAUUGCGCUAUGUAAGCUAUGCAAUGACUGGACAUAUCUGCAAAGGGGAGGAAACUAAAGUUCAGUUAAACAGAAGAUUUUUACAAGGUUGAAGUUAAAUGCCUACUCAGACAGACAGGAGAGGCACAAACUAAUGUUCACUUUUGUAUUGCAUCACAGUGAAGCAAAUCAUUCAAUGUUUUAUAGUCAUACUUCCCCUUGGAAGUGUGUCUACCUAAUGGUCCAUGUGGGAUGACAGUGACUUUAGGAAAUGAUGCUUCUAAAAUCUCCUAACUAAAAAAAACACUUGUUUAGUCACUUCCAAACUUGAGUUCUUCGUUGCCUAAAGUACUUUCAUGGUAUUGAGGAGAACAGUCAAAGGAAGGCACCAUUAUCUCACAAGAUAUAUGCUUCUGAUAUUUUGAACGAAGCAGGCAUGGUUGAAUUGAAUGUCAACUUGUUGGUAGUCUUAUGGAUCCAAAUCAAAAGUUAGUGGCUGGACAAGGUGAAUCUUUCUAAGAUCCAAAAAGAUAUAGGAGACUGGAUGAGAAACUCAUUUACCUCACUAUACUACGUUUGACAUCUCUUUUGUAGUUGGAGUUUUUAGUAAAUUCAUGCAGCUUCUCACAUUGAUCAAUGGAAUGUUGUGAUUCACAUUGAUAAAGGAACCUCGAUGUGGAUUGUUAAUACCCAAGUUUCAGGAUAUUGGGAUGAGUGUAUUAAUCAAGAAGAAAAAGAUAAAGAAAGUCAUAGGAAGAUUACAUAAAGCCUGACAAGAGACAAGAACCGUCUGGCUCAUAAAAAUAAUUCUGUUUUCUUAUUUUAGUAUUUCUAGGACUCAGGUUUUAGAAUUUGUUUACUUUCUUUUAAUUGUAUUUUUAAAUUAUAAUUGAAGAUUGGGAUUGAUAAUUGGGCCUCAACUCAAUUGAGCACAUUCAAUCAAGGCCCAAGUUUAUGUGGAUUCUCGGCCAAGAUAAGCAAGGGUUGCACACAAGCUAGCAUGAGAAGCAUGUCUUCAAUUCUCAACUAUUAGAAACUGGCAAGCGAGACAAAGUGGCAAGGAAAGCAUUUGCACCAAGAGUGUCGAAAGCAUGACUCCAAGGUGUGCCCAAGAUAGGAAUAUUCCAGAAUUAUUUUUCAACUUCUGAGACUUGAAAUGGCACCAAGAUUGGGCACGCCACAUAACUAUCUAAGACACCAUCGUAUCCAUAUUUGACACUUUUGAAUGAAUGGAAAUUUCUUUGAGAAAUUUGAGAGCUUAGUUUCUCUUGGGAGUGUGAUACUCUCUUUGGAGUCUUAUCCAGAAGUGUUGAUUCUUCCUCACACUUAUCCACAUCAUCUCAAGUGGUGUGUUCUACAUUUCUCUUCUACAUCUUUUCUAUUUUCUUUGGCUAUAGUUUCAAAACUCUACUUGUUCUUAUGCUCUUGUAAAUUCACCAAUGUUUAUUCAUGUGUUCUUGAAUCUAUGAUUCAUAGCUUAAACAUGAUCUAAUUCAUGUUCAAAAGCAAAGAAGAUAUUCAAUUACAUGGUUAUGAAAUUGCAAGGAUAUUGAAAUUAAUUGAAUGAUUCUAAUGCCUCACGGUUCUUAUCAUAUUCUAAUGUUGUUUGGACAGAAUGUCCUAUGGACAUCUUGUGUCAAAGACAGAAAAUACUAUCUCUUGAAAACAUACAAAAAACAAAUGUUAUGAUCUAUUAAAACAGUGAAAAAGAAAAACAGGAUAAAACCAUUGUGUAUGUUGAACACAUAGGAUUAUGUUUAUAUAGAGAUUAAUCAUACAAAAGGUAUGGGCUAAGCCAAUUACAUUGAUAACAUUGAUAUAAGCACAUAAGGUUUGAUGAAGAAUACCAUGAGAACCCAUAAAACUCUUAAAAGAAUGAGAAACAUACUCACGCACAUUAUCAUUAUGCAACAUUUGAACAAAAAAUCCAAAUUGAUUUCAAAUUUCAUUGUAAAAGGUUUGAAGUAUAAAAAACAACUCAGAACAAUUUUUCAUUAAAAACACUCAAGUACAUCUUGAAUAAUCAUCAAUAAAAAUAAAAGAAACAUAAUACUAAAUCUUAAAUUGGACUUAACACAACUUGGUCUAAAUGUCAGAGUGAACUAAGGCAAAACGGGAUGAAGCACGUUAUGAGACACUACUAGGAAAAGAACUAUGAAUGUGUUUCUUGAUAAAUUGGAUAAACAUGGAACAUGCAGAAGGGUUGAACAAGUGAAAGUAAAUUUUGGGCAUAACAACGUACGAGACAAAGCCAGAUCCAGAACGAGGAACAAGAGGCGAUCCCAUUGAUGUUAAGCGCCAUUAUAACAGACACCUAACGCACCACCACAUGCGGUAAAAAGAAGUGCAAUGACCAACAAAUGGGAGGUGCGUGAGUGCAUGCAAACUCUGAUCGCCGCGAUCCUGGCAGCAUGGUUGCGCCCCCUGCUGUCACACUCACCAUUGUCCUCUCUAUUCUUGUGUUGUCGCGGGAGGAGAGCUCCUCUUUUGUAUUCUAAUUUUAAUUUUUUAUUUCAGCUGCGAAACUGUUCCUCUCUUUUGUUUUAGUUUUUUAUUGUGUUGGCUGAUAAUUAUAAUAGCAAGUGGAAGGAUGGAUCCUGUGUGGAAGCAUUGUGUUUCUAUUGAUGGGAAAGUAAGGAAUUGAGAAUGUAAAUACUGUGAGAAAGUAUUAAUAAAAGGGAUUUAUAUAUUGUGUUAUGUAUUAAAUAUAUAACUUUUUAUAUAGUAGUAACUCUUCCUAGUCAAGUUACAAGUUUUUAAUUCCCUUUCCGAUCCUCGAGUUUUCAAUGGCAAUGUUGCCAAUCCAAACUACGACUGUGGUGCAGCAGUGAAGGCGCCAGAGCAACUGUGGCAGCGGAAAAAAAAAAUACCAGUGAACAGUGGGUUUACCAGGAAGGUAGGGAUUUUACCCUUGUUCUAGAUACUAUAUUAAAAUAAAGGAAAAGAAAAAAUAGGAUAAAUCACUUUUUUUAUGUUGAACACAUAGGGUUAUGCUUAUAUAAAGAUUAAUCAUACAAAAAGUAUGGGCUAAGCCCAUUACAUUGGCAGUUAUAACUUAUAUCUAACAUCAUCCAAUCUAGCGCAAAGUUUAAUAUAGGAUCAUGGCAUCAAACAUCACUUUACACUACCUGUAAUCCAAUGUUCCAUGAAAGAAACAGAUAUACAGAGAUUGAAUGUGGUGUUUAAGAAAAAUUAAAGGCCAAAGAAUUAGUGUUGAAGCUAUCAGCUCCAAUACCCAGCCCCCAAAAUAUUUGAACUAAGUCUUUGAGAGGAUCUCAUUAAAUUUGUGUUCCAAACUUGAUGUUCCUUACAUAUGGAUUAAUGAAAGUAUAGAACGAAGAAGCCAGCAAGACAAAUCAAUUAAACAGUAAAAGAAAUCCUCAACUCAUCAGACCACUCCAUACUCAGAAUAACCCACCACUGCCAAUACCGAAAAUCCCCUCCCCAAAAAAAAAACUCUCACUCCAUUACCCACACAAAUAUAAUAAUUCCCUCUCUCUAGCACUGAUUCCAGCAUCUCCUUCCUCUAAUUCAUGUGUGCAACCUGUUCCUUCUCAUAUGCCCUCUCUAUCUAUUCCCUUUCUACUUGCCUCCUGUUCUUUUCCUCCAGUCAUUUACCUAAAGGCCAUGUAGGCUUCCAGCCCAUUGUUAGUUUACGAGUCACCCUCCUUACUCCUUGUUCCACUUUUCCUUUCGUCUAUAUACUUGCAAAUUAUGUCUAUUAACAAGCCUAUCAGUUGUGCUAUCAAGAGUAGUAUCUCUGACAAUUAGUAAAUAGUCAGUACUACAGAUUACUUAAUGGCAACAAGACAAAUGAUAUGACCACAUCUAUACACUGAAAUUGCAUGAACAUGUUAAGAAUUAAAGUGUAAAAUUUACUACAAGUUAUUAUACCUUGAAGGUCCAUAUCUAUUUUGGGAAGGUCCAUGACCUAUGCAACGGCCACCAUUUUGACUGAAUUUAUUCAGUUCAAGGGCAUUGAAAUGCCUCUCCAAUUCAAUUAACUGAUUGGUCAAAUCCUGGAAUAAAGAUUGAGAUGAAGUUGUUAAAACAUAGGCCACAGAAUAUUGGCAAAUUAUAACCCAUAAUACCUGAUUCAGACUCAAUAUAUGCUGUCGUUUUAGCUCAAGUUCUGAAUUCAGCUUUUGCCUAUUCCACAGAUCCCAAUAUCGGCUAUCAGAAGCUUGCUUAUAUAUGCCUUCCAUAUAUAUUUUUCUUGCCAUAACUGUAAUCCAAACAGAUAACCACUUAGGUUGAAUAGAGAAAAUGUCCAAUGCCAUUUUGACCACAAAAAGAAAGCAUACUGACUCGUGACAGAAUAUAACUUUUCUAACAAAAAUAUAUUGUUUUACUUUGUUCAAAAGAUAAAGCAAGAGGCUGAGUUUGAGCCCCAGUAAAAUAUAUGUUUUAAAACAUGUUGACAAAACUUUAUUGUAUUAAUUUACAUUUAAGUGCAGAUCAGACAAGACUGAACCCUCAAGUCUUUUGACAAGGCACAAGGCUUAGAUUAUUCAACCUCCAUCGAAGACUGGACAGAAAACUUUUAAGGACCCAAGGGUGAAAGCAAUGAUUUCCAGAAGCCUGUUAAAAACUACAGUUUUUUCAUGGACCAAAAGUAUAAUUUAGGAUAGAUGGAAUUUAAUUGGAAAGAAGGAUAUUGUAUUUGAUAUUUUUAGCAGCUACACCAGUCAAAAAAAUUCUGGAUAAGUUAUUCACCAUUUUGCAAUACUUUUUUAUUAAAUAUACAUACACUAAUAUUACUCGAUUGAUGUCACCACACAAUUAGAAUUGUUAACAAUUCCAUGAAACAAAUUUCAUGGAGAAAGAUAAAGAUUACCUCGUAUUGUCUUGUUAAGAAGAUAAUGAACUUCCUCAUGAUGUUCAUCCACUUGGCACUGAAAAGUUAAGGGGCCAAAAUUUGAAUAUUAGAACGGAUACACAAACACACCCAUGUGUAGUAAUGACAUUAAAAUAAAAUCUGAAUUAUAAUACAAAAAUAAAAGGCAUAAACACUAAUCAGUUGGCAACUAUAAUCAAAUAAUAAACCAUGUGAAAAGUCUAGUACACUCUAGAUAAAAAAAAAAACACACUAUGCAAGUAAAAGUAGAAUGGCAUGAGAGAAGAUGAAACACCUAUUCAGGCCUAAAGCUAAUGAAUCAUAGGCCAAAAAGUAGGAUAAAAAUAGUAAGAAAAUAAAAUGAAAUACUGGGAACAUUUGAGGGGCUUAAGUAUAUCUAGAAUACAUUGAGACAUCACAGCCGCAUAGCAUAGGCAAAUAUAAAUUCAGCCUGCUUUACAGCUGGAAACGGUAGUCUUUGCAAAUAUAACAAACCAACAAUUCCAGAUAAGAAAAAGAAAUAUGGAAAAAAUUAUAAUGAAUAACUAAAUCAAAAUUCCAAAAAAAGAAAAAAAGAACAAAAGGGAAUCAGAGUUAGAAAUGAUAGGUAUCCAUUAGUAGUUUUUUAAGACUAUUGGAAAAAAAGUUAUUUUCAUGCAUUGACUAGAGAUAUGGCUUGAAAAGAGCAUGAGUGGAGGACAACCCUUACUUCACAAACCAGUUUUGUGUGAAUAAGUAAGUUGAAACUCUAAAUAAAAAGGAAUAGAAGAAAUAAUGCAUAUUAUUGUUGCCCAUAAAUACAGAGGGAGGUUGGGUAGAGAAAAAAUAUCUUCUCAUUUGAGAAAGGACUAGACGUUUUCAGAGUGCCUGUUUUUGUCUUUCGAAUAACUACCAAAAUCCUUCAUUUAGUAUCUUCUAACCCCAGCCUAAACCUGCUACCACAUGGCACAUCAACUAGGAUUUAGGGUUCAUCAAUAAAAAUUCAUUCUUCUUUGAGAAAGGACUAGACGAUUUCAGAGUGCCUGUUUUGGUCUUUUGAAUAUCUACCAAAAUUAUUCGUUUAGUAUCUUCUGACCCCAGCCUAAACCUGCUACCACAUCGGCACAUCAAUUAGGAUUUAGGGUUCAUCAAUAAAAAUUCAUUCCUUUCAUUACAUGCUAAACUAGUUCUAUCACCAAAUGACAGGUGCAUGUUAAAUUUACCAAAGCAUAUAUCACAACUUUUAUGGGCAUGCAUUUUGUGAACACUAAUACUUUUCAUUAAAACCUUCUAAUAAAUCUUUUUUUUAUAUAGAAAUUGGAAUUCAAUAAGAAAGAAAUUAAGAAUUAUGAAGACAGGGGGACGAGGUUUCCUCCACCAGAAACAACCAUAGAAGAAAUUACAAAAUAAAUUCAAACAAUAGCAAUGGACAUGGGCAGUCCAUUCCCUCUACAAACCAAAAAGGGAAACUCCUGAAAAAUACCAUGAGCUGAGCAUCAAAGAGACACAAGAAUGUUAUUCCAUUCCUCCACAUUUAUGAAGACACCUUAAGAUAUUCAGGACCAUCCAUAAACCCUAAACCCUAAACCAUAAAUCCUAAACCCUAAAAGACCAGUGAAUAGAAAACAGUAAACAGUUUCAUAAACCCUUGACCUAUUCCCUUCUUUCAAGACUAUUAGAAAAUGGGUUUAGUCUAAGCAAAACCUGUUUGUAAAGUAGGGAUUACCCCCAAUUAUAGUAUUUUGGCUAUCUUUCUAGUCUAUAUGGGGCUUGAGCUUUUUCCAAUACACCCCCUCACGUCCAACAUUAUUGGACCAGGUACAUGGAUACUAUGGUGAGUGACCUAUAACGGAUAUAAAAUAGGAUUUGAUACAAUAGUAAAAAGCGGGUCUAACCUAACUCAAACCUACGAAACCGGCUUGUAAAAUGAGAAUUGUCCCCAUAAUGUAUCUUGGCACUACCUCUAGCUGAUGAUGUGGGAUUUGCGUUUUUCCCGAUCAAGACCUUUAAACCUUACUUUUUAAGGUCUCUAGCUAAAGGAUUCAGACAAACUCCUUCCUCCAUAAGAUUUAGCUAUAUGGUAACUAGAAUACCCAGUUAAAAUUAAGUUGAUCAUGCAUAUAACACAAAUAUUGGGGUAAAUGUCACUUUUAGGUUUUGAUACUGCAGGAAACCAUUUCUAUGAAUCCUAUUUGGUAAUGCAGUCCAUACAAGAAUUCACUUUAGAAGGAGUUCUGGAUAUCCUAAUGAAAUCUAUCAAGGGAAACUUCUGAAUAUUGGGAGAAUGAGUUCAGAAAUGAAGUACACUAAUAAACUAUUAGAAAGGUCAAGAAUCCAAAUUCCCCUAUACAGAAUAGAAUAAAGAACGUUGUUGGGAAACUGCCUGAAAUGCGGUAAACCUUGAUCUAUUGUUGACCUCACUUGCAUUUGCCAUGCUCUAGGUUGGUAGUGCUAGACAUGAGCGAGAAUGUUGAUAAGUCACCUGAAUUUCAGCCACUAGUCUGCCUUAGUUGCAGAAUCUCUUAAUUGCAACCUCGAAGUGGUGGUUUUGUCACACCAACUAGAGAUGUCACUUAAUAGUUCCUAAAACUUGGACAGUUUUGAUUUUUGUAGCCGUUUGCUGGCAUUGAAAUAGACCCUAAAAUCAAUCUCUAAGAAUAGUCAUUUUCUAGGAGAAAAGAAAUUGCUUGACUUUGUUACUGAUAGAUAUUAUUAGAUAUUAUGAGAUAUUAUAGAUAUUGUUAGAUAUUUCUAUUUAUGUAAUGGGCUUAACCCAUAUGUUUCUUUUUCUAUAUAAACAUAAUCCUAUGUGUUCAAUAUAGACAAGGUAUUUAUCCUAUUCUUUCUUUUCUUUUAAUAGUUACUUCUAUCAUUAAGAUCCUAUAGUUAAAGUUUUGAAAGAGCAAAUUAUUGAAUACAUGCCUACAAGGAAUAGAAUGAUCAAAGUUAAACAUUAAACACCAACAAAAGGCUUAUCCCACUAGGUAAAAUCAGCUACAAGAGUUGCAUGUCAUCAUGGAACUCUGGUGAUGACAUGUUAAACACCUAAAAUUUUAAUAGAAACUAAACAAGAAUAAUGUAUCACUGGAAACAUCACCGUUAAUGAUUUGCAUUUUCUAGACAGAGCAUCAAUGCCUUGCUCCAAUUCUUCAAUUGAACUUUGUAGUGACCUCGUGCAAGCAUCUUUGAACCCACCAGCUCCUUCUAUUGAUCUCAAAAGUAGAUCUAAUUCUUUAGUCAUCUCAUUAAUCUGGCAGAAAGAAAGGCAAAAAAGGGCAGGACAAUCAGGACUCCUUGCAGAAUUUAAUAGCAGAGAAGAAAAAUACAUUACAGGACAAUCAGGACUUUUUCCUUACAGCAUAAAUGACAAGAUAAAACAAGAAAAUAAUAUAUCCUCAUGAUUAAUGCCUUCUUAGAGGCAUAAGAUCUACCAUUUAUAUGUUGAAACUAUGAAAGAUUUCCAGAAAUAAUACAUUGCCAAACUGCUUGGAUAAAUCAGAACUGGAUAUCCCAAGCUUAGAUGAAGUUCCAUGCUGCUCAUUUGAAGGAAGGAACUUUGUAGCAGAAGACUUCAUAGCUGCAGUAUUACCAUCAGUUGACAAAUGUGAACUGCUAUUCAACGUUGGUAGCGUAUUUCCAGCUACUAAAGGAGAUAGUUGUCCCCCAUUCUGAACUAGCCUACUUGUGGAAUUGAUGGCUGGAGAUUUAUUCAUAUCCUGUACAACAAAGGGUUUUCCACCUAUAAUCCCAGACACAUUUGUGGCACCCAUGGUAUACUUUUUAUCUUGAAAACCAACACCAUCAGCAUGGCUAGAAGCUGAGAAUGAAGACACAUCAGACUUUUUCGGGAAUGGAAAUGUUUCCCCAGGCAAUAGAUUAGAAGCCCUCUGCGAGUUCCGUGAGCUAUUUGCUGUCCACAGCUCCCUCGUCUUCUCAGUAGUUGCUUGUAAACCAGGAGAAGCAGAAUGACUGUUCACGGUUAAAGAACCAAUGCUAGUUCCAAGUGCUGUAGUCUUUUGACCUAAGAUUUUUUGUGAUUCACCUGAACGAUAUGGAUUUUGAUUACCUGUAUCUUGGUUCGCAUCUACACCAGAAACAACUUGAUGUGCAUUAGACAAUAGACUCUUCGAGUUUUCCACUGAUUUCACUUCUGAGUACUUAGUAUCAGUACAUGUUAUUUGUUGAACAAUACCAGAGGGCUUGGCCAUCAAAUUCCCACUAACCUCAAAAGUCUGCACAAAAUAUGUUUUAUUUAUUUGAAAUGACAUUUAACUGAAAACACUAUUAAUAAGUAUUCAAAAGAAUAACUCUUCCACUUUAAAUUCUAAAAUUAAGAACCAAAAGACACCUUAUCUUCCUGUUUCUGCAAUCCCUGAGAAAAAGUGCAACCUUUAUCUUCAGGAUGGUUUUCUACAGAAGUAUCUUCAUAAUUGUGCAGAACAGAAUCAAUCUCCGGUGAAGCUUUAUUUCCUGCAAGACUAGAGAUAAAACCUAUUCAACCUUUGAAGAUAGAAAAUUUUGAAGCACAUGGAAAAGAUUAAACGUAAGACAAUGUAUUUCCACAUCCAGAGAAUUUUGUUGUGUAAAAAAGAAUAAUGCCACCUGACGGUAGGAUGGGAACUAGCAAUAUAAAGCUGGUUAUGAAUUACAACAAAAAUGUAACUACCUGAACGAACUCCUAACUACCUGAACAAACAGAAAGUUAGUCACAGGAUACAACUGUCAAUAACCACCUAACAGAAAUAUACUGAAUACUGGCUAGAGGAAUACAACUAUACCCCAAGUGAAUGGAAAUAAAAGAGAAUUUUACAAAAUUUACCUGGCAACAUGGAACAUGACAAGUUUUCCUUCUAAUGUAAGGCAUAUAAGAACACAAUAUGGUGAAAGCUCUGUCCUUUCUUCCACACCAAGUUGAACUCCAACUUUAUCAUAGAUUGAAACAUUAUCAAUGCAUAGCCCCACUAGCAAAUUAUCAUCACCAUUUUCUGGAAAAAAUGAAUUUACAAACUUACGUAAGUGCAAAUGAAACUUAAUUCAAAUGAUAGAUAAAGAAAGAGUCAAUAAGCAUCAGCUGUUACAUAUACGCAUGCAUUAUUUUAUUAUAUUGAUGUUUCAGGAUGCAUAUGCCAGCUACAUCCCUAAGAUGCAAGAAGUGUAAAUCUUAGCUGAAUUUCAAAUGAAUGUCAAGACCUAAUAGAAUAUUUGAAAGAGUCAGUCCAUUCCAAAUAGUAAGCAUUUGUACAAAAUCAAAUGGUAAAGAUUUGCUCAUCCCAAACUGAUGAAAUGUCGUUAGUAUUUCGAGUUAAAUUAAAAUAUCAAGAUACAAUCAACAGAAUGCAAAUCAAUAAAAGGAAAAAUAUAUAUAUUUGUUACGCAAAAUGUAUUAAUGGUUAUUAGGGAACACUCCUCAAAUUAUUUUGAAGUAGAACAUAUUUUGAAAAAACAAAUUUGCAAAAACUCACUUAAUAUAUUGGAAAUCGGGAAUAUUGACUCCAUAUUUAUAUUGGAUAUUUGGUGAAAAUAUAUCAAAGAUUCGAAGUUUUCCUAUCCAAACUACUGUUGGAACCAAAGAUUAGCUUAGGGUUGAGCCACAUAACCUGAGAUCCAAAAUAUUAAGGUUGUUUCUUCAUGUACCACCAUACUUUCUUGUAGCUCCCUAAUAUUUUGAAAAUGACCAUACUGCCCCUGUUUUCUUAGUGUUAUUUUCCAAAUUGGGUUUUCCAAAAAUGAUGAAUGGACCUUCGAGAUUGUAACCUCCAAAAUGUAAAGUUAUGUUCUGGAUCAGACAAUCCAUAGUAAUAAGGUUGAUAACUCUGGACUGAACUAUAUGGAAAACAUGCACCCCUCCCAUAAGUUCCAAAACAAUUGAUCUGGAAAACAAUUUUAUUUUCAGAUUAGGUAAUCCAGAACAAUCCAUUACUUCAUAUAUAGCAUCAGAUUUGUCAAAAAACUUUCACUUGAGGCAAUACGUAAUAAUCUCCUUGUCAGUUGCGUGGAACCUAAAACCAGGGACAAGAGAGAUAGUUGGUGCAGUCUGGUGAGUCUAUCAUGCUCCUAGCUUUAACCCAUUUGUCACAAUGGCCUUGAAUUUUACCUUGCUAGUCCAUCUUACCUUCUAGUUCACAAAUCUUUUCCCAAAUGUUAACCCCGUGAUGUUGUUGAAUGCCACAGCCCCAAGUACUUCACCAUUAUUCCCUUCCUCAUAAUUCUCUGCCCAUAUACACAUUAAAAGAAAUCUGGAAGUAGCAACUUAAUCUCUACUUACACAUUUGAAGAGUCCAAAGAAAUACCAUUGACAAAUGCAUUUAUCUGUCUAACGAACCACCAGUGCACCUUGUGUCUUUAAAACUUCUAAGUGUAAACAUCUAAACCCCUUUUGUACAACAAUUGCAUCAAAAUUCAAAGCAAUGUUCAAUGAAAAACUCUUUGGCUAUACACUUGAUUUAGAUAAGACAAUCUCGAGCAAAGCAAAUGAUUUUUAAAGUAGAUCCCCGCAAAAGAUUUGUUUUGGGAUUUGAAAGUUGUGAUAGGAACUUGGGUAUUGUGGAGUGCUUAAGUUUCACAUCAAGUUGUAUGGCACACUUAGUAGAGUGUUUAAUUCUUUGAUUCUUCCCCCCUUGAGAUGUGAGUUGAUUUUAGCAUUGCACAUGUUUUUAGGAUCUUUACUAGGAUUAAGAUUUUUAUUAACAAUAAUAGGUGAAACUCAAUGGUUAAGUGUGAAGGUUCUCUUCAAAAAAGCAAACAGAAAAACACAAGUAAUAUGAUGAUGAUGAUGAGUGAGGAAUUAAAGACAAGAUAACAUAAGGGCGAAAUUUAAAGAAACAUAACCAAAUAAUGGAAUGACAUAUGUGAAAAUGGAAGGAAGAAUAAAGGAAAGAUUAAGAUGAGAGGAAACUUAUGGAUAUUGAGAAAGUGGGAGUGAAUCACACCACUUAGAGGAGGGAGCUCCAAGAUGAGUGAGGGGUAGUCGCCACUUGAAGCAAUCAUUGCUCAAGAUAAGACUCAAAGAGAAAUUGGAAACCACACAAGGAAUCAUUAUGACAGAGUUUCUUUACUUCAAUUUCAAUGUCAUUUACAAGAGGGGAGGCACCCUAUUUAUAGAAGUGGGUGCCUUGGAGAGGAAGAGAUGAAGGGUAGGGGCGGCAUUUACACAAAGCUUCUAAAAUCUAGGUCUAGCUAGGGUGAUGACGCACACAUGGUGAGAUGUUCUAGUAGGUAGGUCAAAUUGUGGAGCACAUGGGUGGCACAUGAGGUGGAUUCUUCUAGAAACUAGGUUUUCUAGAAGCCUUAAGUUAUGUUAUUCUACUACUUGGGCCAAUGUGAGCCCAAUUAAAUACAAUUUAAUGUUGUCUUAAAAAUACUAGAAGGAAAAACAAUUGAUACUCUGGCCCAUGUCCAAGUCUUCUUCUGUUGAGGUUUCUCUGAGAGUUGGUGGGGCCUUGUCUUUUAUUCUGAGAUGAUUGACCUAGGUGUGAAGUGUCUUUUGUGUGCUUGGUCAUCUUCUUGUUUAGUUAGGUUGCAUCACCUUGCCAUCUUGCUUUCAAGGGAGACACUAGGAUGUUUAUCAAUUGGUACCAGAUAUGGUUGUCAAUGUCUAAGAAAGGACUACCUAUGGAAGAGCUAACCACAAAGGUUGACUGAAGGAUGAUAGAGUGUCAACCACCGAGACAUCAACUUUCAAGAGCAUUGUGAUGAUAAGAACGCAUUGCGAUGAUAAGAACUUAGGCAUUAUGGGGUACCCAAGUCCUACAUCGAGGAAUAUGGAAUGAUCAAUUGAGUAUUUAUGUAUUUGGUUCUCCCCCUAAAACAUCUAGAUUUUAAGGGUGUGUUCCCCAAGUGAUUGAGUGAAUAUCAUUUUGAUCAAAUGAUGUUUACUCCUUUUCCUAACAAUAUUUAUAAAGAAACCCAUAGAUAAAAGGCUUUUAUCACGGUAGUUGAAUCGAGAUACAAAUUAUGUAUCAGAGAGCUUAUAUUUUGAAUCAUGAAUCGAAAGAUUCAUAAACAUUAAAAAAUGUAACAUAUACUUAAAUAUAUAAGUUAUGUAAACAUGCAAAGAUACAAUUAAUAACAAAACAACCUCAUAUUUCAUCCUGAGUGUUGUAUCUACAUGUAUUUACCACACAAUUUCAGCAACACAACCUCAAAAUUUCCUUUUUUAUUUACACAUUUUAGGGUUUAGGGUUCGCACUUGUAUAGUGCGAUACGGGAACAUAAACUAUUGUUUACACAAUUCAUAUCCAGAGAGAGAGGAAACAAGAAACGUAUAAUUCGUAAGAUUUGUAUCAUGAAUCGCACGAUACUUACUACCACUGUUUCGUUGGAAUUAAACAUGGAAUGCAUUGUUAUCAUUUAAUGACGUACUUUCCCAGUGAUUGGCAUUCUCAAAUUUGUUUUGGCAUUUCUUUUUAAUGGAGUACCCUUUUCCUCCAAACUCCUUUCCUCUUUUUUCUUAGUGAGGUUUAUUGCCAAAAAUGUUACAAGUGAACAACAAUGCCUUUCCUACUAAUCGAAGUUAACAUUGAUCAAAACAUGACACCAUAAUGUUAUAUAACAAAUAUUGUUUGCAAUCUUGAAGUACCUUGAAGUUCAAUUCUAGGAACCCAUUUAUCCCGUUCAAUAUCAAUAAUUGCAACUUCACUCUUAUCAUCAUCUGCUGACCAACCAAGUAAUAUAAUGUGCUGAUCUGUAUUCUUCAUGUUGGCAUUGAUUGCAAGUUGGCUGUUAUUAAGAAAAUAAAAUAAAGAAAAGUUAUCUGUUAGCUUGCAUUUCAGGUCGGUCAUACGAGAAAUUUAACAAAAUUCAAGGAAUGUAAAGGAUGAUAUCAAUUAUCAGUAACAAUGUUGGCAUUGAUUGCAAGUUGGGUGUUGUUAUUAAGAAAAUAAAAUAAAGAAAAGCUAUCCAUUAGCUUGCAUUUCAGGUUGGUUAGAAGAGAAAUUUAACAAAAUUCAAGGAAUGUAAAGGAUGAUAUCAAUUAUCAGUAACAAGUUGUAGAGAUGCAGCAAACAAAAAAGACAACCAAAAUAUUCUUACCAUGAGGAAUGCUUAGAGCCUUAAAGAAUAACUAGGUUACAAUCUAUGAAGACCCAAAGUUUUAGCUUGCAAUGAAAUAUGAAGACAAUACAGCUAAUGACUGAUUGGUACUGGGUUCAAAAACAGAUUUAGAUUUGGCUUUGAACUUUCAGCCUAAAGCAGGCGCAGUUCAUGUAUUACAGCAGAGAUCUAUCUAUCUCAGGAUACAUGUAUUAAAGUUUAUGAGCAGACUUAAAAGUAAAAUUAUGACACCAAACAGAUAGAAACCAGAUAAUAGAAACAAGAAAAAGCAGAAGACUAGGUAAAAAUGGAUAAGGAGAUCAGGAAAUAUCAGUAAAGAAAUGCAGAAGAUUUGCCAUCGCUUUAUGUAUACCAAUAAAAGGUAAGGCCCACUUCUAAUUGGUACAAUAUCAUCAAAUAUGACACCAAACAGAUAGAAACCAAAUAAUAGAAACAAGAAAAAGCAGAAGACUAGGUAAAAAUGGAUAAGGAGAACAGGAAACAUCAGUAAAGAAAUGCAGAAGAUUUACCAUUGCUUUAUGUAUACCGAUAAAAGGUAAGGCCCACUACCAAUUGGUACAAUAUCAUCAAUUAACCCUUGGUAUAUAUCAUAAAAGGAUUGAACAACUAAUUCAGAACAUUCCUGCAAGAGAAAAUACAAAUUUAGAAUGUAAUGUUACAUGAAAUCAAAUAACUGAAUUUUCUUAGGGUACCCCAGAAUCCACUUAUGAAACCCGGAUACUCCAAAAUUUGAAAAGUAUUGACAUCAUACCUGUCUUAGAUACCAAUGCUUCAAAAGAUACAUAUCCAAAGUUAUCCAAUUUUUUUAUUUCCUUUUUAACCUUUUGAGACACUUCUCCAACAUCGCAACUACUUUUAAAUUGCUUUUAGAUAGGUAUCAAAAAGCUUUCCUUGAAGCUGUUUGCGCAGUUAUAUUAUUCCUCAUACUAUGAGAGGAAUUGGAGUACAUACUCCUUCAUUCAUGUUCUUUGAAGAAAAACAGAAUAGAUCUAAAAAUAUGCACAUCUAAACCUUCAAUAUUUGUCUAGAAAAUAUUAAGGUAUUAUUAUUGAAAAAAAAAAAAGACAAGGUUGUGGGACAUUACGAUAUGUCUAGCAAACUUUGUUAGGAUAGGCUCCAAUGUCAUCUUACAAAAGGGUUUAGAGCUAACUCAAUCCUACAAAACCAGCAUGUAAGAUGAGGAUUAUCUCCGUUUAUGUACUAUAGUUAUUAGUUAGUCUCCGUUUAUGUACUAUAGUUAUUAGUUAGUCAUAUGUCUAGUCAACAUAAAUCUCUAAAAUAGUAAUUAGUCUUAGUCAAGAUUGCAUUCAUUAUAAAAACAAAAAAUAUAUUGCAAGGAUUUUGCACUUACAUCAUUAAUUUCACCAUGUCGGCUUCUAAUAACUUGGACAAGAUAAUUUUCCUCCUUACCAUCUUCAGUAACUUGAACGCAUCCAAUUACAAUAGAAUCAGGUCGAAUGCACUUCACAUAAUCAACUGGUACAAUUGUUCAAGAAAGACUAUAUUAUGGCAAUGCAUAUCAUACAAAUAACAUUGUGAAACAAGAACAAAAUUCAAGCAACAAGAAGACAAUUAAAUUUCAUAGUGAAAAUGAUAAAGUUACGCAUGAAUUAAAUUUCAAUAUUUAAUAUAUUUUUAUAUUCCAAUAUCUAUUAAACAACAUUUUUUACUCACAUUCUUUCUAAUUUCCUUCUUAUUUUUUCCUUGUCUCAAAAUCUCCAACAGUAUUUUUUCCUUGUCUCAAAAUCUCCAACAGUAUUAUACCACCCAAUGUUGCAUCACAACCAAACACAUAGAGAUCAAUUGUCAUUUUGUUGGGAAGAAGUUGAUGCCCACUUAAUACUGAAUUUAGCAACUCUAAUGACCAAUUUGUAGGGAUAAAAGGGCCUAUAAUUCAAGUUAUAUAUUCCAUGCUUGGUACAUACAAUAUAUGCUUCAGCCUAAGAGGGAGUAUUAAAGUAGUUUAUUUAUUGAACAACUUCUAUAAUGUUUCCCUUUUGGAUGUAUCUAGGCUUAAGGGUUGAGAGUCAUACUUGAUCUCUUUAUGAGUGGAUUAAACCUUCAUAUACAACUACAGAGGUCAAUGGAGGAUUAGAAAUGUCACAAAUGGAUGCCAGUUGACACAGAUAGAUACCAAAGGUUGGAGAGAAAAUAAAUUUUCUUAUGCCACACUCAUCCAUACAUAUAUGAGCAUGGUAAGUUUAUUUAUGUAUUCCCUUAUGAGGUACACUUUUAUUAGAAAGUGAGUUUAAGCCUAUUGAUCCUCAAAAAACCGGCUUAUAAAGUGAGGUUUACCCCCACUUAUAUACUUUAAUUUGGUCUUGUCUCUAGUUAAUAUGGGAUCUCCACCACACACCCCUCACGCCAAGGCAUAUUUAUCUCGAGCAUGGGACUAGAUAUUAGUAGGUGGUCUAAUAGCAGUCCAAUAGUGAGUGGCACAAUAGGCCCAACAAACCUCACUAGAAUAGACUCUAAUACCAUAUUAAGAAGUGAGUUGAAGCAUAAGUCAUCCUCACAAAACCGGUUUGUAAAGUAAGGUUUGCCCUCACUUAUAAUUUGGUCCUAUCUCUAGUCAAUGUGGGAUCUCCAACAACCUUGAAAUUAUGUAUAUGAUUCUUCACAAUCUUAAAGGAAUGUUGCAGAAAGGGCUCAUCAAAAAAUGAGAAGAGAGGAGUUGAGGUGUAAAAUAAUGCUCUGGUUGAACAAGAUCAAUCGUAGAUAGGAUAUUCACAUUAGAUUAUUGCCCACUUCUAUGGGGUAAUUUGGUCACAUGGAGGAGCAAGAAGCAAAGAACUGCAAGUGGAAGAAAGGUAUUGUUGCUAGAAGUAGUGCUGAGGUUAAAUUUAAAUAAUAGCUCAACAUGUUUGUCAAGUUUUGUGGCCCUAGAUCGAACUAGUAGCAUGUUGAAAGUCUUGGGAGGAAGGUCUUCCAAGAGAAUGGUUGUACCAAUUCAACAUGUGACAGUGGGUCAGUCAAGAAAAGUGUUCUACGAGCUACUUCAAAAGGUUAGAAAGUAUGUUUCUCUAUGUUGGGACACAUGCCCAAAAAAGAAUAUGAAGUCUACGAUGUUGAAUCAACAUCCUUGUUUGGGAUAGCAUUUUCUUGAAAGGGAAGAACUAACCACUCACUCUCCUAGUCGAGCAAACCUUUCGCUUUCCUUUGAAGAGACCAGUUGAAUUUCUAGUGAUGUUGUAUUGUAAUAACAAGGCAAUUAUCAUCAUUAACCACAACCCAUUCAAAAUGAUAGUGCUAAACAUUUUGAGACUGAUAGACACUUCAUAGAGGAAAAACUUGAGGAGAGAAUAAUGUCCACGUAUUUGAACUAACUACACAAAGAGUUAUAGAUAUUUUGACCAAAGUGUUGUUGACACAGCCAUUUGGACUACAAGUUAGGAAUUUGGGCAUGAUUGGUAUCUUUACACCAACUUUGAGGGGUAAUGUUAGUAAACUAGGGUUUAAGUUUUUGUGCUAAAUUUAGAUUAUAGAAAAUUACUAAAAAUAAAGGGAGAAUAAAUAAAGAUCAAAUCAACUUUUUAUAUUAGGUACUCUUAGAAUACGAUGUUAUUAUGCAUUCUUAUUUGUGUGUUGUAAAUCACAUAUAUGAGAAUCAAAAUCAAGUUUUACUCCAUUCCUACCUAUAUAAGGAUUAAAAAAUCAAAAUUUAAAUAAGGACAAACACCAAAAACAAAAAAAAUUAAGGGACCAAAAGUAGGAGUCUUUCUUUUCUUAGAUUUUAACAAAACAUCAUUUUGAUAAACUUGUUGAAUUAAAAAUCAAUUUAACAAGUCUACAAAGAAGUUUUAGAUUGAAAUAAAAAAAAAAAGUUAUUUAUACACAUUAUAUACAUAUACACAUACAUACAUAUAUACACACAUAAAAGAAACAGAAGAAUCCAAACCUUUUAUACUAUUAUUGGCUGCGGAAUCACCAAUCCAUGAUCCAAAGGAGAGUGAAAUUGAAACUCUUUCUUCAAACUCAGCUGAUAAAAGGCUUAGAACACUCUUACUUGCAACAGCAACAAAUGAACCUUUCAAACCCCAAUCAACUUCACAAAAAAACAAAUUAAAACAUGUAAUUCAGAAUGCCAAAAUAAAGAAAAAAAAAGUUGUGAACCAGACAUGAUUGAAAUUUGAAACAUUGAAAUGCCCACCAAACACCCUACUCUUUUCAUAUAUUGGGUGAGACAAGGGAAAGAAGAGAGACAUCUAUGCAUAGACAUAGCCAAAUGCAGAUUUAACUCAUUACCUCCCAACCAUGAAGUAUACAAAAAAAAGAAAGAAAAAGUAAAAAACUAAUAGCUAAAGCUAUGAAAUACAGACACACAAACACAUUCACACACUGGUAUAUAACAUUGUGAACCUAUUCAUGUUCAAAAUUCUACAGUCAAUUGGUGCAUGUUCCAAAUUCUAACUGAUAUAUAAAACAUUAACAGAUAGAUAAUGGGAUAUGAACAUAUUCAUGAGGUAAGGCAAAAACAGAGAAGCAUACCAGCAUCAACACUGUCCAUCACAUGUUUAAGUGGAAAACCAAUCUCUCCAUGAUAUAAUUUCCCAGUAUUUGAAAGAACAACAUAAGAACUUUUCCGUGUUGUUAUCCAACGCAUGUCCUUGACCAAGGCUGAAUCAUCAAGUGAACAGGAAAAGGAUUGCUUCACUUCCUAAAAGAAUAUAUAUAUAUUAAAGUAAAGUAGGUAUAAAACAAUUCAAGCAUACGAAUUGUAUUUUAAAUAAAGAUAUAAAGCACGCAAUUUAUAUACUUUUAUAAUCGAGGAUACCCUCAAACACUUCCUAUGGUUAAAAUAGAGAGAGUGCAAAUCCCAACAAAGAAGGUAAAGAUUUUAACAUCGUAAAAAUGGGAAUAGAAGAUUUGUGUAAGAGAUAGCCAAUUAAGCAGUGAGAAAACCAAACUAAAAGAAGAAUCUUCCACAAAUGGCCAUCCCUGAAUUUGACAUUAGAAACAUUACCCACUUUCAAAAACAAAAGACUAAAUAAGAAAUAUGAGAGAGAAAUAAAUUUCAACCGGCUAAAUUCAUGAGUUUGGGCUACUGUAUUAGCCUCUCCAUUCUAAUCUGAGGCAUACUCCAAGUUACUUGCCACAGGAAAUGAGUUUCCAAAGUGCUAGGAAUAUGAUUUGAUUAUGUUAGAUAUAUGAUUUAAUUACAUUAAACAGUAGAUAUGAUAUGAUUUGAUUAUGUUAGAUAUAUAACUUAAUUACAUCAAACAGGUAGGUCUGAUGAUUUUAGAGGGAAAUAUCUUAAUGUUUUUUAUAUUAGAUGCUGAUUUUGUUCCUUAUUAUUGUAUCUCUUUUUCAUUACAACUAAGAAUACUGGUAUGUUUACACAAAAACACACAAUUCAUCAUUUUCUAUUUUCUUAAUAUGGUAUUAAAGUAGUACCAUCCAUUGUGAUCUAUUUUGUCACUAAUCCUUUCAACACAAAGGACAGUCAGUCAGUCAGUCAUCCAAUCACUAAGGAGUUUCAACGGGAUUGAUAGUAAGUACGGUAUAGGUGAAUAAACAUGAAUGUUAAGAGGAGACGAGAAAAAUCAUUUUGUAGUCAUCCAUCAGGUAAUAAAGCUUAAGUAAGGGAAAAAUUAUAGUCUAAAAAUUUAAAAUGGAAGAUUAGAAAAAUAGCAUCAAUACAAACCAUUACCAUGUAAGAGAUUAGUAAGCUUGCAAAGGUAGUUAAUGACAUUUCGAAGGGUCUACUGACCAAACAUGUUAUGGAAAGGUUUAGUUGUUCAAAAAUAAUACUGAUUUCCUAAGCUGCUUCUUGGUUAAGAUUGCCUGAGUUAAUUCACACAUAGUCAUCUAGUUUAUGUUUCAUUUAUUUUUUUCAAGCAAGAGUUUAAUUAGCUUCUGCUCCAGUAAUACUAUUAAAAAAAAUUAAACUGGUUAGCACAUUCAGUGUUUUAAAGUAUUCGCAUACUAAACACCACGAGUCCACCUAUUAUGAAAUAAUCUCCACGAACCAAGUCACAAAAUAAUGUACCUUAUUCAGAAAGCUUUCAACAGAGUAAAACGAAAUGUCUCCGGAGCCAGAAGCCACAGCAGCCAGUGUCAAAUUAUCGGUGGAAAUAGCCAGUGAGCGUACCCUCCCAAUAGGUACAUCCACGAGACUCAGUUGCUCCACGGGAGAGCCGUUUCCCUUCUCCUUAAACUCCUUUGCCGAAUCAAUAAGGUCCUUUGUCUUCGCAACGAAGAAACCUAAACCACAACAACUAAAAGUAAAUAACAUUCAAUCUGAGCAUACACGAAAAUAAAAUUGUGUUUAACUGAACACGCAUAUUCAGAUUACCUGAAGAAUGAGCCACAAAAGUGAGGCGAAAACGUUCAGAGAUUGUGAGAGCCUGCAAGGGAAGGGUUUCCACGUCGAAAUUGAAGUCGGAGCCUUUCAACGGAAUGGCCUCGCCAAUUUUAUCGAAAAAGUAGUCGGUUGUGCCGAUUAUUUCUCCUUCAACCUCUUCGGGUUCGAUCUUUGUUGGACUCAUUUUCUGCUGAACGAUGUUUGUUGCACAAGCUUGAAGAAAAUGAAGAAAUGUGGAGAAGAGGAAAUGUGCGAGAGUGGUUGCGUUCGGUGUGGGAUUGGAGUGUGUGGAAUCACUGGGUGAAAGUGGUGUGUUGAGAAGAGAGGGUCUGUCUUAAUUUAAAUUAGGUUUUCUUAUUUAUUUUAACUUUAAGUUUAUUCGAUUCUUUUUUUUCCCGCUGAACAUUCUAGUCAAGUUAAACAGAUAUCUUGAAUUUAUAAACAUGUUAUUUGUAAAAAUCACUCUUUCCGGAUUGUGUUGGAUAUACAAUAUAGAGUCAAUUAUUGCUGAAGUUUUUUUAAUUAUACGCUAACACGUCAACUUUUUCAAAAAAAUUAUCUAAAUCUUUUAUGUAUUUUUAAAGUAUUACACUAAACACCUUUUACACAUAUCUUUCAAAUUAAAAAAAAAAAUACAUUAUACUUAUCCUCAAAAUUAUUAUAAAAAAUAGAAAUAUAAGAGUGAUUUAAAAAAUAUAAUUUACUCAGUGUGACUUGUAACAUGGAUAGAUAAACACAAUCAGAUUGGGUUGGAAACAUUAGAAGGAAGAAAAUGAAGUGACUCAAGUGAAUAAGAGACCUCACUGAAAUGUACAUGUAUGCGGAGACGGGGAAAAGAGAAGUAUUCAUCUGGUGCAAUAUAGCAUCUUAGAACAUAUACAUUAUAAGUAAUUUUAUUGUUGGAGAAGAGUGAGUAGUCUUUAAAGUUGUUUAAAAUUUUAUUUAGUCGCUGGAUCAUGAAAUAAUGUUGCUUAUACCAAGAAAACAUUAUUUUAUCUCUUUCCCGCAAAUAACAGAAGUUGAAAUAUAGUUGAACAAACAGAUCCUAUGUCAAAACGUAAUAAAACAAUGAUUGAUUAACAAGUCAUCAUUUACCAGAAUAAAACUAACUCCACCAUAUCUUAAAACAUUUGUCAUCGUCAACUAUCUGCAUUACUAACGAUGGAUCGGUAAGACUAGAAAAAUAUUAGCACAUUCUUCUUAUCCUUUAUUUUUGGAUAAAAUCUGAGGUGUGAGCGCGGGUGUAAAAUCUCAAUCAUAGUAGAAAAAAUAUACCAAAUAUGACUGAUUAACCACAUACGUAUUUAUAGUUUAAUAAUCCAGUGUGAUUUCCAACAAAAAAAUGAUUAACUAGACGGGUUUAAUAAAUCUCAUUAAAUUCACCUCCUCAAAACAAUAAAAAUAAUAGAAUGAAUAUAAAUAUGACAAGGAAGGCAAAGGUAAGUAAGACUUUACAUUAAACUAGUUUAAAUACGCGCACCCAUUGGUCCAUACCAGUCACUAAUUUACAGCACGAAAUAUAAACACUGAAUACUUGACCCAAAAAUAGAAAAAUGAAAUGAGCCAUUAACGCUCAGCAGCAUUAUCCUCACUGUACACUUCAUUGUUUUUUGUAGCUACGUGGAACGCAUUCCUCUAAUUAAUAUAGUUUGAGAGGAGUAUAACGUGAUUUUUCCGGGAAAAGAUAUAUUUAAGUAUAGUCAGCUAUAACAUUAGUAUGCCUCUUUACAUUUUCUCACUUUGUAUAGGUCACACCUUCUGUGAACGCCUUUUUCCCUCGGUGCAACAGGGGGAACGUGAAAAACUUCACAGCUAUUUGAAUAGCUAGUGGAAGCCAAAAAAAGGUCAGAUCCAUCCAACCGUCUAAAAGAUCUGGAAUAUUAGUUUGUGCAGUCAGGCACCAUUCGCUUCUGGAUCUUUCUGCAAUUUGCACGUAUAAACAAUAACCAGGCCAGCUAAAUUAAAUGUUUACCAAAAGAAUAAACUAAUUAAUUAUAGUAGUUGAAUCGAGAUAUAAGUAAUGUUUCAGAGGGCUGAUUUGAUUUUCUGAAUUGAAAAACCUUUGAAAUGAGUCGGGGACGUUUGAAAUGACGCACCAGAUUUGCGGUAAAUUAAAAUUAGAGCUUUUAUUUAUAAAAGCAAUUAAAAUUAAAAUUAGGAUUUUUAUAUAAUAAUUCAAAUUCAAAUUAGGAUUUUUACAAAAGCAAGUCGCGAUACGGAAUCGUUUCACGAUUUGUAUCACGAUUCACACAAUCCAACUGCGAUACGGGAGCAAAAACGAUUAUUCUUGUGAUUCGUAUCGCGGGCACUCUGAAUCGUAUCGUUCGAUUCGUAUCGUGAAUCGUACAAUACUUACUACCAUGAAAAUAAUUAUUAGGGCAAAUUAUAUUUAAACUCAAGAGAAACUGCACCAAAUAUCUGCGUAUGGAAGAGGGAGGGGCAUUGGGUGCAGUGUCACUUCUGUUAAGGGAGUCUGAAUGUACCUUGUCCUAAUUUUUAAGAAAUAACAGUUAAUAUAAUUUACCUCAAUUUCUUGCAAAAGAUUUUCAAGUUCAACCGUUAUCUCAUUAAAGGAUGGACGGUCUAUUGGAAUGGCUUCCCAACAUCUUUGCAUCAACUCUAUUAGUUUAAAGUGUCCAUGCUUCGGAAGCUCUGGCCGCAGACCCUGAAGGAUGUACAGUAUUACAGCUGGGGUCAGACACAAAAUAGAUUAUCUUAGUUGAAAACUUUUACUGCAAAUAUGCUCUCUCAUAAACAUGCAUUCACUGAGGUAGAAUACUUAUUUCUGUUGACUAAAUAUUCUGCCUAACUUUUAUUUCUUGUUGACGUUAUAAUGAAGCCACGACUUAUAGAUCCCUUGGAAAGACGAGAAAAUAAAGAAAAAUUGAAAUGCUUGCAGAUUCAAGUUUACAAUUUCAUGCUCGCCUUCACCAUCUUUGACAUCCUUGAACUGGUCAUAACGUAUAAUUUCUAUUAUGCUAGCUUUACGACUUCAAAUUUAUUCCGUAUCCAUCACCUAAAGUUGAAUAUGUGAGAUAUGAUAUAAGCAAUUACCGAAAAAUAUUUAAGUGACAAAAGCACAUCCUCAAGUAAGUCAAGUAACAACUUCUGAUGACAGAACUAACUUGUUCCAUGAUAUCCUCCAUAACAGUGGCACACAGAUAGUUAUUUUAAAAAAUUAAAGUACUAGACUAUGGCACAACUGGUAUGGGGCAUAAAUACACCAAUAGUUAUUGGUUCACAUUUUGUUUUAGUUGCUAGGAAAAAGGAAAACAAAUUUGUUUCAGAAAACCCAGUUAAGAUUUAGAAACAAAUUUGUAAAGAAGAGGAAUACAUAUAAUGUUGUCAUGUACCUUUAGAGUAAUAACUUAUUAAGGUUUCAGUUUUAAGUAACAUUUGCUAGAACAUUCAAGUGUGAUUGAUAAAUAAAGAGCAAACCUGUCUCACACCCAAAGCAGCUUGUAGCGGAGUCAUGGUGUCAUAUGGUACCUGAAAUAUAAGAUGAAGAAAAAAUCAUAUUUUACAAGGAAUGUCUUGACACACAAACAAGCACACCGUUCAAGGAACGGGAAAGGAAUAUGAAAAGAACACAAUAUUAUACAUCCAAUUUAGGCUCAUACCUUCGCGGUCACUAAUUCCCACAGCACAAUGGAAAAACUGAAUACAUCCGCUUUCUGAUCAUAGGGCUGAUGGUUUAUAACCUUAUGAGAAAAUUCAUUAACAGUAAGAUACUUACAAGUAAAACCAGAACAAAUUAAAAUAAAACAAUGGUCAUAAUGAGCAUCUAUAGAAAGAGAACUUUAUUUCUCAUUUCUUAUGCCCGUUCCCUUUUGUUCCAGCUUAGACUAAGGCAGAAUAGAAGAGAGGAAGUAUAUUGUCUAUCAAGUGCAUUAAUAUAUUUUAUCUAUUUGGCCAAUUCAAAAAUGGCAUGGAAAUUUUUUCUUAAAUGACACACGUGACACUUGUUUGGGAAUAAGGAUUACGGUCUGUUGCGGAACUGAGGGUGGGAAGUUUUGGGCAACUUCUGAUUAGCUUCAGAAAUAGUUUGCAGGAGUAAUGAGGACAGUUUCAUAACAGGAUUAUAUCCAUUUCUUUGCUAUAAUGUAUUACUGACACCAAGGAGAUACAUACAUAUGUAUGUAUGUAUGCAUACAUUUAUUAUCAGAUAGAAAUGUAUUUAUUAUGUUCUGAGAUCAAAAUCAGAAAUCUAGGCACAAAAUACUUCAAUAUUUUUCUGAGAUUUGUACCAUUUAGACACAUCACAGCAUAAAGCACGUAUUGUUUUCAUCAGAGGUACAAAUUUGAUUGGGAAAUAUGAAGAAAAAUUGUUCUAAUUCCUCAAAGAAUAUGUCAUGGUUUAUGUUGAACAACAAAAUGCAAAUUAGGUUUGAAAGAGUCAAUAUAAGAAUUCCACAGAACUAAUAAAACUCCCAAGUAGUAAACAAAAGAAACAUUUAGUUUUAAUUAUUAAUGGCCCAGCCCCCUUAGCUUUACAAUGUCUGAUGCUUAGACACUAAAACAUUGAUACAAAACAUAUCAAAAAGUACAGCAGUUUUUUUUUUCCAUUUCUCAAUUCAAUUAACGAACCUCCGGUGCCAUCCAUCUAUAUGUUCCAGUUUCUGCUGUCAUCACUCCCCCCUGAUUUAGGAACCGAGCAACUCCAAAAUCUGCGACUUUAACAACCUAAAUGGAAAAGAUUUUUUUAAAAAAAAAAACUUAAUGAACAGAAUUUAAUAAAAUUACAUAUAUGCAACUCCAAAACAAAAUAGGGUGUACGUUUCCAAAAGUUUAAAUAUGUGCAAAAAUUUCAUAUCAAAUUUUCAAGAACGCUAAAUGUCAAUUAAACCGUUGUACUACAGUUAUUACUGAAGUUUUAUUAUUUAUCAUACUUCAAUAAUUUAAUCAGAGAACUUGUGGAUAAUUUGUCAUAGUGAAAUAAAAUUCUUGGAUUAAAAAUACACAUAAAGAUACUAGCAAAUAUCUGCCUCAUUAAUAUCAUUUGCAUACAAGGUAGCACUCAUUUUAGUACAGGUAAUGUUGUACAUAGUAGAGAAUUAUUAGUUUCAAACUUUUAAAAAAAAAAAUCUUACAUUGUGUGUAUCCAUCAACAAAUUAGCCGUCUUCAGAUCUCUGUGAAUUAUGUUGUUUGCAUGCAAAUACUCCAUACCCUUGCAGACAUCAAUUGCAAAUUUUAGUAAUUGAGACAGCUCCAAGACAUUAUGAUUUUUGUGCAUGUAAUCAUACAGACUUCCUCCGGGCAUAUACUCUGCACACACAAAAAAGAAACAUAAAGUAAAUUUUUAAUAAAUUAAAUAGAAAAGAAAGACAUUGAACAAUAAAUAGGAGAAGAGACCAUUUUUUAAUUAAUCAAUAUAAGUAUUCCAUAGCUUAAAUGAAUUUAAUUAAUCAAAGCCAAAAUUAGGCAUAUGCCUUGAAACAUUCUUCUAACACACAAGGACAAGAAGAGGCAUCACAGGUUUAAAAAAUGAAUAAUAACAUAUAACACCAUCAGUACAAUGGUGGAAUAUCAUACCAGUAGAUUCCACUAGGCAAUCUCUCAAAAGGAAGGAAACAGAGAUUGUUGUUGAAAACCAAUUUAAUUUAACUAAUAUUGUUCUGCAUCGAACAUCAUUUGGAGGAACUUAGAUCCCACAUCAUUUAGCAGGUUCAGUUCACUAGAGUAUAUGAACAAUAUUCAUGAAGUGAACUACUUCAGAAUCAACAAACAAUGUACACUUGCAGUGACACAGGUACAGAGGAAAAUAAUCCUAAGCUUGACACCCAAACUUUAAGGAACAUAUUAUCCACAACAAAUUAAUAUCCGAUGACAUGAAUCUGUGAAGAUAAUUUUUUACUUGAUUUUCAGAUCAUUUUUCUUGAUGUCAUAAAACAUACAGAGGGAAGAUUGCCUUAAGACAUGGGAUCCACUGUCCCAUAAUUACAACAAUGGAGAUCAAUUUGCAUGACAUUUAGAAACCUUCUAAGCCCCGUAACAUUGAUUUGCAUCAUGAACAAGUCACAUUGAAAAUGUUGCGAUGACCAGUGUUUUGACCUAAUAAAUCCCCUGAAAAGUACUAAAUGAUGAACAUAUUAGCACAAGGUCAAGUGAUCAGAAGAAAAACCAUACUACUCAGAACCAAAAGGCACUUGACAUUUAAGACAAAAGACACUUAAACUAUGCUAUUUGUAAAUCUUGAAAGAUAGAUUAUCAACACACACCAGUAUAGAACUACUCAUAUAUCAUGAUCAAACAAUUCAUGUGUUUUAAGGAAAGAAGUCUAACAUUGAAAGUCUUGUGCAUACAACUACACUUCAAACUAAACACCCAGACCACAAGCUAUAGAUGCAGAAACAAGUAUACAUGAAGUGAAAUAUAAAUGUUUAAACUUGCAAAAAACUUCAUUUCUUUAUAAAUAAUGAAUUGAUAAUUGAUAAUAUGACUACAUUCUACAAAGCACAAUUUAUUAAUUUAAUAAGAGAAAUAUUGUUUAAAACUAAAGAAUAGCUUUGGCUAAAAUGUGUUCUACCCGUUAUUAAAAACUGUACAAACAUAGAAAUGAUUUGUAAUCGAGAAUUAUAAUAGAAAAGUAAUAUGAAAAAAAAAAUCAUUUAUAGUUAUUAUAAAUCUAUUUUAACAACAGUUCACAAAAAAAAAAUAACUAUAUUUUGGGUACAUGAGUUAGAGUAAGGAAAAAGAAGACAGCCUGGUAUUAAACAUGUUGCAUAUCUAUAACUUUUGUACUGCAGCACAUUUUUAUCAUUGUAAACGAUAUCUUGAGUUCCUUGUGAUGUUCAAAAACUCAUGGAUUAAACUCUUAAUGUGCAUUUUCUUGGUUCAAAAAUUAACGUGUACCAAAAGUGCCCAGCUUCACUGACCAUUUGACAAAUCUUUUGAUCUCAAGCUCACAAAAAGGUGCCAGAAAGGAUUUUAAUUUUCUAAGAAUAAAUUACACUUCAUUCAAUACCUUAAGGUAUACCAAAAUGAUAGCAAACUUCAAAAUUAAUAUAAAAAAUCUAUAAUUCAUGCCAUUAUUUCAUAUUUGAUUAACUACACUAUUUUCAGAAAAGAAAAUUCACUUAAUAUUUGAGUGACUACACUAUUUUUAGAAGAAGAAAAAAACCUAAUAUUUGAGUAACCACACUAUUACUUCAGCUUGCAAUUAUAUAUUUAAAUUUAAAUAUUAAUUCAUUGUAACAAUUAAAAUUUUCAAAAAAAAGUGCAAAAUACUAAUCUAAAUGUAAUCAUCAAGCAAAUAAGGAAAAACGAAAAAUAAAUAUUUCUCUAAUUUUCUCUUUGCUUUGUUUUUUGUUCAAUACUGUCUAAUAGCUCAACUGCAAAGAAUUUUUUAACAAACUACAAAGGACUUUUACCAACUGAUUUAAGUAACUUGUGUUUUAUAGUUAAUUUCAAUAUAAAUACAUAUAGAAACCAAUAAUUUAAAAAAAAAAUCUUAAAAUAACUAAACAGAAAAUUUAGAAAACAAAUAUUAUGAAUAUUAAAUUAUCAAAUUCAUUAGAAAUUACUUAGAUGUCAAUUUACCCACAAAAUUUCAUGCUAAUUAAUUUCCGAUCAUGACCAUAUUUAGAUUUUACUUUAUGGGUUAUAUUAGUAUUUAAAAUUUUCAACAGUACGUUGAAAAACUGAAAUAGGAAAAAACAUUCAUUUACAGCGGCAUUAAUUGAAAAAUUUAACAAAAAUAACAAUUGUUUAAUAAAUGAACUUUUUAAAGCACUUCUUUCUUCUAGUUCAAGUUAAAUUUUAUUUUGUAAAACUCAUCCAUAGCAAUUCAAAUGCCUAUUAUUUUUUAAAAACUUAGAAUUACAACAAACUUUUAUUUAACCAAUUAAAAAUGAAUAGCAAUGAACAAAAACAUUAAAUCAGAAAUGAGAAGAUAACUCCUUAUUUUUUUUAUUGCUUAGUUUGUGAAAAUAUCUGAAUUAACAUUGCGCACUUUCAACUUAUACCAAAACAAAUUUAAUUUUUUUUUAAAAAAAAUUACAAUACUUAAUCAUAUUAUGUAUGUGUAAGUCAAUAUUGCAUCAAGUGAUUGUAGCAAUAUAUCAACAUCCUCGACAUUUCCUAUUUAGAAUAAACCUAGCACCUUUCUGGUAAAAGUGAUACAGCAAUACUGACAAAGGAGAGAUGAUACAAACAAAUAAUAACAGUAACUAUUCAGAUAAUACAGGUGAGAGAAAAUUUGAAGUAACGAAAAAUAAAAUGUUAAUUAAAUUUAAAAAAUAGAAUGGUAUCAGUUUCUUAAAAUGUUAAUAUAUAUAUAUAUAUGAAUUUCUUAAAACUUAUGAAUUCGUGUCAAUUUACUCUGUCAUCUCAAAUUCACUAAAACAUUCGGCUAAACAUUAUUGUGAAACUCACUAGUAAAUAAGGAGUCAUCCCAUAAGUUUUCCUCACUAAUUAUUGUUCUAUUAGAAAGGGUCAAAGGGGGCAUGGAUGUGAGUAAAUUUUAAUUUUUUUUAAUCUCAAACUUCAGGGGCAAGAUUCUAAUAGUCUUUACUUCCAUAAAAUAUCAACGAAUAAGGACAGCAAUCGUUUCCACAUUAAAUAGGAUAAUAUAGAAGAAUAUAUCUGCAGAACCAAACGGAUUGGUCAAUACCUGUUACUAUGCACAAAUGUGGACACUUUGUACAUGCACCAAUGAAACGAACAACAUUUUUAUGUUGUACCUGCCUGCAUUCAGAAAUACAGAAGUCAAAUUGUCAAAAGAUUUUCAGGGAAGAAGAGAAAGAACGGAACCUAAAUGAGAAAGUGACUGGCAAUUGGUCUUUAAAUUUGUGUCCUAUAGACAAGAAAAAACUAAAUAGUAUAUGGAGAAAUCCCAGCACAGAAAAUCAAUUGAGAAAAAUAACCAGUUGUAAGGAUGCUACAACUGACAUCAAUUGUCAGAAGUUUCUAGUAAACAGACAUCCAGUUCUUCAAGGGUUGAUUGUAAGGAUGCAGCAACUAAGCAGUUACCUAAACUGAUGGUUUUGUUAGGCAAAACGACUUCUUAAAACUUGGUAGUUGGUACUUGGGUUGAUAUUUCAAUUUAAGCUUUAUCAAUCAAAUAGGUGUUCCUCGAGGAAAAGAUAACACAAGUGUUCCAAAUAAACUCUAUUGUACAACACAGAAUAACCAAUAUUUGAUAAUCUUUUAGAAAGAGAAUUUAUAAGAUUAAUUAGGAAAACAAAUUAUGAUAUGCAGUAUGGUCUUAAACUCUGAGCAGCAAAAUACUGACCUCAGAAUUGCCACUUCUUGAGAAAAUUCAUCCUGUAAGGCAUCAUUCAAUUGCUCAGAUCUCAGAACCUUAACGGCAACAUCUUCCCCAAGAUAAACUCCACGAUACCUGGGUAUGAAUCAUAAAUAUCAUGAUAUGGAGAAGAGAAGAAGUUAAAAAACAACACAACUCACAAAUCUCCAGAGGAUCCAGACGCUAUUUUUUCUCCUAACUUUAGCAACCUCCUGUCUAUUUCCCAAUCUCCCGAUUUUCCCUCUGUUGCUAAGGCUUUCUCAACAGCAGAAUGAGAAUUUGAAGAACGGGACCAUGACCCCUAAAGAAAGGAAGAAUUUUUAUUACAAUCUUAUAUGCCAUGAUUAUAUACUAUGCAAAAGGAGCUACCAACUUCAAUUAUUACUAAAUCCCAAAAAAAAUGGAAUGAAAUGCAAACACCUCUUAGCUCCAGCUAAUACGUGAUUUAACCCAAAAAAUGUUUAUAAAACUCCCGUCAUCCCAUUAUAGAUACACUUUAUCACUGAAAAAUUCAAAGGAACUUCAUGUGCUCACUUGAAACCACAAAUACUCCAGAGCAGCAAUUCGGUUAGUAAGUGCAACAGCAGUCAUCUAAUAGCUUGGUCAGUUACAAUAAUCAAAUCAAUCCAACUCAGCACCUGCACCUAUACGUAGGUUGUGCAGGGCUGAGCAAUGUGGCUUGUAUUCAUUCUUUUUCUUAGAUCAAUGAAACCAGUCUACAAGAGCAACAGUCUUCUCUCUAAAAGGGUACCAAAGCAGACUGUCAUCGCCAGGUCCAACACUAAGGCUGAAUAUCGCAAUCUCACAGCUGUUACUGCAGAUAUUCUUUGGAUUCAAACUCUAAUGCAUGAAAUUUCUGCUCCUUGCCUCACAACAGUGGUGUUUUGAGACAAUCAGACAGUAGAACACCUAGCUCAUAAUCCUAUUCUUCAUGCUUGCACAAAGCAUAUGGAAUUGGACCUCUUCUUUACUGAAAGAGUUAUCAGCAAACAAAUUCAGGUCUGCACAUCCCUUGUACAGACCAGCUUGCUGAACUAUUAACCGAGCCACUUUCUCCUCCGCAUUUCUUUCGUUUAAGGUCCAAAAUCAAUGUAUUUGAGCUCUAUUUGGAAUCUCACCUACCUUUAGCUAUGUAAUAUGUUUUCUCUAUGUAAUUUUCAGUUUAAAGCUUUUUAUUGCAUUAUGUUAGUUCUGUUAAUAAGUGUAAAAGCUGUCAUUUAGGUAGUGACAGCUACAACUGUCACAUCAAUCUGACUCGGAACCUACACCUAUGUAUAGAUAUUAACAGGCUGAGCAAUGUAUCUUGUAUUCGUUCUUUCAUAAUCAAUGAAAUCAGUUUACAACAGAAACAGUUUUCUCCCAAGCUAUGAAACCAUUAAAUUGAAUAACGUAUCAACAGUGAAAUUUUCAUUCUUCUGUUUAACCAUGUAUUACGAUAUGAUUUGAAUGAAAUUUUCCAUCAGCUUUUUUACUUUUAUAAAAUCAUGUUUAUUGCUAAUAUGCAUCAAGUGAUUGUAGCAAUAUACAUUAUCUGUUAAUGAAGGGAUCUGAUGAACAGAAUGAGUUUUCUGCGUAUUCAUGGGUUCAAGGGGGGGUUGACAUUUUACACUUUGGAUAAAUCACAUGUCAAAAGUAAAGGAUAAUGAAUUUCAACUAAAGCACAGGUUGGGACACUACUAAAUGAAUUUCAAAUAAUGCUACUUUUUUACUCUAGUACUCAAUAUAGAAAGAUUAAAGGUGUCUUACAAAGACAUUGGUGUCCUGAUACGAUUUGUUACUCCUAAUCUUUGUGCUUGAGUAUUUAUGGAGAUUGGACAAAUAGUCAUCAUUUUCACAGAUGCUGCGUGGCAGAUUUCGAAUUGACCAAUCAACAUUUUGUAUGAUCGGUGAGUUUGUCCAGCUUUAGAUAAUUUUUAGAAUAUCCACCUUAGGGAUUUGGAGGCAGGAAGGAGUGAAAGAUCUUCUGGAAAUGGUGAUGCCGGCUGAUGUUGUAUGUGGACAUAGCAAUAAGCUGGGUUUUAAUCAGAUAAUUCUUCCUUCCUUCACAUUCUAACAAUAGAGUAUUAAUUUUUGGUGUUCCUGUGGAUAACAGCCCAUUGACAUUAUUUCAAGGAGCAGUUCGGAGACUAGGAUUCCUAUACUAGAAGAAGUGCAAAUGAUCAGUCACUUUCAAUAUUUUUUUAACCUGAAUAAAAGGUUUCUGGCCAAGGUAAAUGCUUCCAGGAUGUCUGUUAGGCUUGUUAUUUAUCAGUGGUUAUUCCUCCAUAUCAAGUCUUCUUUCCCUAUAAGUCCCAUAUUCAUUAGCCAUUUUCAAGGAAAAUGUAGAGUAAUUACAUUUCCUUACAAUUACAUUCCAGGAAAUACAAGCCAGUGAAAAAUUAAGAAUCAUUCAUUCGUUCAUUCUUUAUAGAUAAAAAUCCAACAUCUCAAAAAACAAACAUAUGAAUGUAUAGAUACAAAGUCAAGGAGACACAAUGCACCUCACUUCUUGCUACAGCUUUUUCCAUAGCAUCAUACAAUUCAUCUGUUUCCUGAGCACAAGAUUGCAAAGUCAGCGAUAUUUGUACUCAGCACACAUCCCUGUCAUAAGGGUAAUAUAAUAGCAGUCCCCCUUAAAAUCCUACAAACUUGACUCCCAAUAUAAGACCAUUUUUUUGUCUGAACUGAAACUGGUAAGAUUUUUCUUUUAUAAAUAAAUAUGACACGGAUGCAACAUUUGUGGGCAUAAAUAAUUGCCAUCUUGCCCAAUUUGCUAUCAAAUCAAGGCUCAUAUUAUUGUAGCAGGGAUCAAUCACCAUGUACGAAAUUGUGUAGUCAAUUAGAAGUUAUAAAGUGUUUGCAACAACACAAAUGCAACAGUAAAAUUAACGUUAAUGAAAAAUUACAGGUUUCAUAGAUACAACUUUGCAGAGGUCUUCACGGUAAACCAAAUAGCAUCACAUUCAUCAGAAGUAGUUGUGUACCUCUACUGGCCACCCAUCCACCACAAACACAUCAAGGGAAUAGCCAUCAGUUGUGGAGAAGACAUGUGCUUCACGGAUGUUAAGUCCAAUAUCAGACAGCAAAGCUGACAGCUAAAAUAAAAUAAUAUCCGUUAAAAGCAAUCAUGCUAUCCAACAAUUAUGUUGUCAAAUAUUAACAAACUAUAACCUCGCAUUUGAUUACAUCAACAUAGUGAAGCUACAUUUACACUUAAUACAAGGAAAAGCCCAGAUUUCCACUCUCAAGCUCUUUGAGUAAAAUCCACUCCAGUUUUUCCAUUUACACUCUCAAGCUCUUUUCUAUCCAAUGUUUAUGUGUUAUGAGAGAAUACAGGAAUAUUCAAUAAUACAAAUCACUUGUCAGUAUGAAAUCAAUGAUACACCAAAACUACGCAUUAAAACAUUUGUAUCCAACAUUCCAUCUAAACUUUCAUACAGUAAAAUUCACUCCAGUUUUUCCAUUUGCACUCUCAAGCUCUCUUGUAUCUAAUGUUUAUUUGCUAUGUAACUUGUCAGUAUGAAAUCAAUGAUAUACCAAAACUACGCAUUAAAACAUUUGUAUCCAAAAUUCAGUCUAAGCUUUCAUAUAGCUAUGGCUUCAUUUUUUCUAUGCUUCAAAUGACAAGUUAACACAUAGUCCAAAACUUCUUAAUAAAUCUCCAAUUAUCAAAUACCUUUUAAUUUUUUAGAAAAUUUCUGUUUCAUUAAGUGGAUAGAACUAUGGAAAAUAAACCUUUAUAUUUUGUGCUAAGUGGAUUGAAAUUUUUCAGCUCACUAUAGUUUGGAGUUUCAAAACUUCCAAUUAAUUUAGAAAAUAUACAAGUUAACACAAACAACAGAUAAGAUAAACUCUUCAAGCAUACCUGGCUUAACAGCUUUGGCUUGUCAACAGUAGAAAAUAUUAUUUCAUGAACUCGGAUACUUGAAUGUUCAUGCCUGUAUUUUAAAUUGAAAUAUUCAGGUAACAUAUAUAUUGAUAGACUUGAGAUAUAAAGGUCCAGUUCCUCCAUCAACGUGAAACAAGGUUAAAGUCUAUCAGUCAUAAUAAUGAAUAUAGUCCUGAAACUUGUAAAUCACAUAUAAAUAACAAAACAGAUGGAAUGGAAUAUCCUCCAAAAUGAAAAAAAAAAAAUUAACAAUAUUUUUAAAAUAAACAUGUUCUAAAGUACCAAACAAAUCCUUCAACAUGAAAGGGUUACUCUACAAUGCACAUGAUGCUUAUGUUGGGGCCUCAUCUACUUUACUUUAUUUGAAUCUCUAUAUGGAUUGUUAGAAGAGAAAGAACAUCUUUUUUCUCUGAUUUGAUCUCCUCUCCAAACCCCAAUCCCAAACAAAUCCUUGCUUAAGAGUUACACAUGCAUUGAAAUAAGAAAAUGUUCUAGCCACAUAAUAUAAAAAAUAAGCUUUUUGCCACAAAUGCUGUCAUGUCAACAAUAAUACAUCCAAGUAUCCAACAGGCCUUUCUACUACAACUUGUAUUUUUCAAUCCCAAUAUAUUGUCAGUAAAUAUUAAUAAACAUUUGGCAACAGGUAGAAUUAAGUUUUCCUGCCCUCUCCAAGGGAGAGAAAAUUGAAGCCAUGUCUACCAAUUUUAACAAAAGUUGCCAUACUGCUAUUUCAAAAACUAAAAAAAGUAAGGAUCAGUGUUGUAACUUCAUUCUGGAAGUACCUCGGAAAAAAGUUGUCAGCAAGAAAUUUCUCCUCUGUCUCCUUGGAGUUCUUUCUAACAUCCAAAUUUAAGUCCUCAAGCUUUGAGCAAGGCUCAAACUCAUUUGCAAUAUCCCUCAUCGUACUGGUGAAAAUAAUAUAAUGUACAUUACAAAGAUACAAAAUUGAUAUUUUAAGUCACACAUUAUGAAGACAUAAUUGAUAAUAUAACUCAUGCAAUAUCCAUCUUCUUCCUGUAAAAUGCUUGUGCAAAUAUAUUGAAUAUUUCAAUGUUCACCGGGUACAAUACCUUUUCCCAGAUGCCACUGCUACCCCAUUUGUUGCAUGAGAAUGAGAUGACCCCGUCCUAUAAUGAGUACUUAAAAUUUGUUGAUCUUCACCAUCUGCUCUAGUUGAAAUAUUCUGCCCAGCAAAUUGAGAGAGAAGUAAAUUUGUUACAGACACAAAAAACUGAAAGAAAUAUGAAAGACUGAUUGCAUGAAUAAAAAAAAGGGAAUAGAAAAGGCAAUUGUUUCACAAUUGACAAAUAUUUAUUUAAGGAUAAAGAAGAAGAAUGGAAGUAUUGAAGAGAAAACCAAUAGAGGUCUCAUUAAGAAUAAUUUGUUAGAUGAGAUAGCCGACUAAACAGAUGUAGAGGAAGACCAAGAAAGGGAAAAUCAUCGGAUGGAUCAUAUGAACAACUAACUACCAUGUAAACAUAAGCACUUGAACGCUCAACUAAAUAUAAGAUGUACAAGUUAAGAAAGUGUACAAAGUAAAACUCUUUCAGGAAUUCGUGUAACAAAGAAGCAAGGACACAUAAAGUAAUCUAAUAUAGUUUAUCUUUCGGAUAGGUAACUGACAUUCUCUAAAAUCUAAAAUUUCAAAAUCAACAUAUAUGUUGCUUCUUCAGUGCAAGUUGCAACCAUAAGCAACAAACAGGCAAACUGUAAGUAUACACAUAAACCACCCAAAAGAUUAUUUUUAUUGACUGUAUAUGCAAAUUAAGAUGCUGCAGCAUCUUUACUUUUAGGAUUCAUGGAAAAACUUAGGCGUUACCCUUUAGGUGUUAGUGUGCUCUCCAAUUAAAAUUGACUUUCAGCUUGGUAACUGCACCUACCUUUAGUGCUUAGUUUACCAAGGUAAAAUUGUAAUUCUGACCACACCUAAAGAACAACAUCUUAGUGUUUCCCUUUCAGAUUUUGUUACUUAUAUAUUUCUGUACUUUAACUAUCUUGUUAGUUCAUGCCCAGGUCAAGGUGUAUAUAUAUCCAGAAUAUACGUUCCUAUUAUUUUGGAUUUCAAUUCAUUCGUAGUUACAUUGCAGGGUACGUACAUCAUAUUCACUGAUACAAAACAAACACCAACACAGAUUUAGGCUUUUGCUAGUAAAACCAAGUCAUGGCCCAAGCACACAUCAAUGGCAGAUAAUAUUCCCUAAUCCUUUCUUUUGUCUCUGUUAACACAACCAGUAUGGCUUCUAGUUAAAUCCAUACUAGGAAAAGAUGAAGAAUGGACUCAAACACACGUGCUGACACAGUUACCAAUAAGAGAAUAAGAUAAAUAUUAUCUUAAAAAAAUAAUUGAUAUGCAUCUGACAAGGUAAAUAAAUUAUGUUUACAGUCAUCCAACCGCAGGUCACCAUAUAUGGUAAGUCUACUGUUAUUUUUAUUAUAGUAACUACACAUUAAAAGUCAUUCUGAUAAUGAAAUUGCCAAAAACACAAAAGGAGGUGAAAAGAAUUACAUGUCUCUCACAAGUUCAAACUAACUAGUCCAUAGCAUAACUUACUGAAACUAUUUCAUUUAACUUUUGAAUUAACUUACACCAAAGCUAAUUUUAACUUCUAGGAAAAACUUAAUUAUUUUACCAGUGUAAAAAUCUUUACACUGACCGCGAAUGAAAAUUAAACUCUUAUUUAAAAUCUAAAUACAUUAUUAUAAAUUAUCUAAAUUGGUUGAACAAAGAUCCGACAAAAUCAAUCAGCGAUGAUCCAAAGCUAACUGAAAUUCAAAAUUCCAAAUAGCAAGACAAACGGAGUUAGCCACAGGCAAGCAAGCAAUUCUUCAAUAUUAAGCAUAGCAGUACCUCGAGGAAGCGUAUAUGGAAAACAGGACGCUUGUCAGGGUCCUUUGCCAGAGCAAGAAGCGUUUGAUGCAACAGAACAUCUUCCGCUUUAUCGAUAUUCACAUCGAGUCCAUAACUGAAACAACAGCAACGGAUUAAUCAACACUUAACUUAGUCAAUGGAAAGUGAAGCAAAAGACACUAAUCCAAAAAUAGUAAGAAGAGAGUCCAAUCGCGGAACCUCGGAGGCAACCGAUUGAAGUGAGCCUCCAACUGUUCGCGGAACUCGGGAUUGGAAACGGCUUGGUCGUGGCCGGUUUCGAGGAGGCGGUUGUAGACGUCGUUGCGUACGUCGUAGUUUCCAUAUCCGCUGAAGGCGCGCGGCGGCGAGGAGCUCUCUCCGACGCCUUCUACCAAAUCCAUUCGCCUCGGAAGAUGGUUCUUCAAGGUCGCAUAGCGUGAAGAGAGAGAGAGGACGGUUGAGUUGACUGUGGUGUGAGGAGAAUAUGAGUGGAAAAGGUAGUAGGGAAGGGUUUGGUGUGAUUUGAAGAGGAAAUGGAGGGCAAUUUGGUCCACCGCGAGGGUCCUUGCCGCCGGAAGCAAAAAAAAGGCAAGAUUAUAGGAAAGAAAGAGAAAAAGCGAAGUAAUUGGGUUGGGAUUAUCGUUCCUCUCACUCUUGGCUAAUCUCGGAUUCUUUCAGAGGGAAAACAAAACCAAUCUCAACGGGGAAUUUUAUUUUUACUUUUCAAGGAAAACUUACAUUGACUUCACUUGAAAUCCUCUUAUAAAAUUAAAACAUUAUACUCGUUAACUUAUACUAUGCCAUUUUUCUAACAUAAUAUUAUCAUAUUUAAGCAACAUGAUAAGAUAAAAUAAUAUCGGUUUUAAUAUGGUUCUGCUUCUUUCAGUAGACUUGUUUUAUUGUUUUGGUUCCAAGAAGAAAACAGCUUUUUGCUUUAUAUAAUAUAGGAUUUUACUAUUUUCAUCAUUUUCUUUAAUCGCGUCUUGCUGUCAAUCAUAACGUGACAAACAAUAUCUUAUGUAAGGUUACAUAUCUUAGCGAUAUAAUUUUCCUCUUUCGUAUCAUCAUUUAAUUGGGGGAAACAGUAAUGAUAAGAAUUACAAUCGUAAAAGUUAACAUUACCGUUGCAUCAACAUGUUAAAGCAAAUAAUCUAAAUAUAACAUUCUAGGGUGUGUUUUUUAUAAUCUAAUUUUUUUAUAUGAAUUAAAAUUUAAACAAUAUUCAUGUAAACGUUUAUUCAUCGUUAUAAUUUAAAAUAUUUAUAAUUUUUUAUAAAAAUUAUUUUAUUAAACAUAAAAACAAACAAUUAAAUAAUUAAAACAAAUAAACAAGUAUAGCAUUAAAUUAAUAAUAUAAAAAUAAUGUAAUAGUGAAACAAUAAUCCAAAUUUUAUAAUCAUUUUAUACAUUAGAAAUUUCUCUCAUUAUUUUAAAACUGAAGAGAAUAAAAUAUAAGUUUCUCUGGUAAAUUAUUUUAAAACAUUAAUAUGGACAAUUUAUUAAAAUAAGAUAAAAAAACUAAUAAAAAAAAUAUUUUACCAACCAUAAAUAAAAUAUUUUAUCAAAAUUUUAUUUAUUAAUUUCAUCUAUAAGUCAGACGAUAUAUUUUACCAUACAUAAUAUUAACAUUUAUGAGUGAUUUAAAGACAAAUGUUUGUGUUUUUUUUAUGAAGGGUAAUUUUCAAUUUUAUAUAUAUAUAUAUAUAUAUAAGUUUUUAUGUUAUGUAAUUUAACAUUUUUGUCACCUUAAGUAAUAACAAUCGUCUCCCAUUACAUGAAAAAAUAUUAUUAAAAAAAAUUACAAAAAUAUGUUGGAACUAUACCAAAACUCAUAUGUUAGUCCUAACCGUAAACACAACACAAACUAAGACAAAAGUACAUUCAAGUCAGACAUUAGUAAAUCUCAUCUUUUGAGUUUCCUGUAACAUGUAUAACUUCAUACAACUCAGCAAUCAUAGCAGUCUAAACUUCAAGAAACGCAGAGAAAGCACUAAUAAACUCUCUCAUACUCCCACGGAAAAUACUUUCACAAGUAGCAAGACCAGGAUACCCCUAGCAGCCCUAUCAAUGUUAAUUUUAACCCAGUCUAGUGAAGGAAACUCUCGUCUAACCGGAAGAGGACAAAGAACUUUACCAUUACGAGUAGUAAUACCAAAAAACUUUAGACGAAUUUCCCACUUGACAAUUUAAAUCUUUAAUUAUCGAAAUAACCCUAAAAAUUUCAAUCUUAUCUUGAAAUCUAGCAUAAUUCUUCAUACGCCAUAUGAUCCAAAUAGAAAAUAUUGGUAGUUAAUUAGAUACCAAUUUAGAAAUUAUUUAUCAAUAAUAGAAACUAGUUUAAAUAUCAAUACUUUUUUUAGUUUCUAAAAUAGUAUCUAAUUUAGUCAAUAUAGCAACUAAUUAUUUUUUGUCUCCAAAAUUGAUUGUUAUUUUAUUAUUUUCUAGUAAUGUAAUCUAAACAAUCUAACUUUCUUCAUAUUUUUCUCCAAGUUAUUCCAAAUUCACCCCCUCAAAUCCUCACAACCCUCCCUGAUCCAAUCAAAGCUUAUUGAUCGAGUUACAUAUAUUAUAAAGAAUGUAUUUAAACGAAGUGAUAAUAAUUGUAAAUACACUAUAUUCUCUUAAUGAUAAAUCCAACCAAAUUUUAUGCGCUCAUAGAUUAUAAUAUUCUACAAUAAACAACCACAAUCCAUCAAUUGUUUGAUGUUAGGUAUCAUAAAUUACAUGUUGAAAAAAUAUUUAUUUUAAUCAUUAUAUAUAAGCACUUUUAUAUGAACCAUUUUUGUAAUUAAUAUAUUUUUAUUCAACAUUUUAAAAUAAUCUUACAAUGUCCUAUAACUCUCACGCAUAAGGUCACAAGAUUUUAAACAUAAGAAUAUUUCACUAAUACAAGUUGGCCCACAUUGAUGGCAAAGCCCGCAGCCAGACACAAUCACAUAAUAAGGAGAAUGAAGAUCUAAAGUCUGUUUAUGGACUUAUUUGCAAAUAUGGGUCUAAUUGGGCUUUUGUUUAUAUUUGUAGACCCAAUCAAAAGGAUAACUCUAGGAUGGAAGAAUGUAUAAAGCAUAUCCAAGAAGAUCUUGAACUCAUCAAAACAUAAACUAGAGUUUUGGUGAGAAGAACACAAGAAUAUUGAGUUUAGACUUACUAAUCAACAUUAUUUUUUGGUUAAAAUUUAACUUAAAUAAAUUGUAUAAAGUUGUUUAGGAUUUCGUGGAUCAUGUAUUGGGUCUAGUAGCAUAAAAUAAUUGGACCAAGUAAUAUAGGUUGUUGGGCUUGUAUUUGGGCAAUAGUAGAAUAAGUCUAAUUAGGGUUAAAAGUGACUAGUUAGGGUGAUAAUUGAACUUAUUUGAGCCCAAUAUAACUCUAGAAUGUAUAGGGUAUAAUAGAGGACGAAAAUUACCUUGACAUAGAGCACAUGGACGGACACAUGACAGCCUAGGAGUGGAGAGAAUUUAGCAGGUGUGAGCUAAACAUGGAAAACAUGAUUUCACAUGUAUUUUGAAUUUUCAAAUUAAAAGGCUCCAAAAUGUUUAACCCUCUCACCUAUAGAUUGAGGUGCUUUUGAGUGUUAUUCUGUCAAAUUGCAAGGCUAAGCACUCAUUUGUCUAAACUUCUUUAGGAUAGAUGCCUUGGUCUUUUUCUUCACCUUUUCUAAGUGAUAUGAUUGAACUAAUCACUCUCCCUACUCUUUAUGCAACUACAAGGAAACCAUAGCUCCAAUGGAUACAUCCUUGAUCCAUUUCUUCCAUUAAGCAUCCGCAAAUUCCAUUCAAAAUUCAAGAAAACAUGCCACCGGAUGAGAGAAUGCUAUCACACAUCCACAAACAUACGACUAAGAGAAAAUAUGUUUUUUCCUUCCAUUUGCUUUGCAUAAUAGAAAGUUUGAUCAUGCAUACGGAAGCUACUAAGUAAUAUAUGAAAGUUUUCACCAACACAACCAUUCAUCAAGUUCAAUUGUUUCCACCACAGAAUGUUGAAAUAAAGUGCGAGUCUGGUUUUUAGCCUAAAAAUAUAGGAAAUAAACUAGAAGAGUCUCUAUAGCCUGACACGGUAAAACAUAAGAACAAUAAAGAACAAAUUCAGGACACUGAACUUCACAUAUCCUUCACAAUCUCGAGCAUUGCAAACACAGACAAGAUUAUAUGUUUUUACCGAUGGUGCUAAUGAACUAGUUUUGCUUAUUGAAGUUGCAGAAGUUGGAGAAGUUAGGGCCAUAAUGCCCAGUGAAACUCGGGCCAGACGGAGCAAGAGGAUUAGGCAUGGAGAGUUGUGGCUGCAGAGGGUUCAGAUGCUGCUGAGAUGGUGGGUUAUGAAACUGAUGCAGAAGUAAGUUGGAAGAGAAUGGAGCGAAAAGGUCCCCUGGAGAACGAUAACUCGAUAAAACAUCAAGAUUUUUGUUUUCGUCCUCGAGGCCGUGAAUUCCCUUCGACACAGCACUGUGAGCUGCAAAUACAAGAGUGUGUCAUGAUAAUAUUGAUGUACUGAAUUUAUAAAUUAGCAAGAGACUCUAUGAUCAAAACUAGUAAAAAAUAACAAACUAAUUACGGAUUACAAGUUCUCCCUCUUAUCUUAAAAGGUUGUUAAACUUCAUAUAUUAAGAUUCUACAAGAAAAGUGAUAUUCACUACUAGAAAAAACAGAUUUUCUUUACAUUUUUUCGUAAAACUUUUAAAAUUCAUAUCAAAAUUUAUAGGAAGUUUAUUUUUUUAGUAAUUUUUUUUAUAAAAGUUCACAGGAAAAAAAAUUAAAAAAUUCUAAUAACCUAUAUAAAUGCAGACAUGCUAAAAUACUUUUCUUGCAACAAGUAGUCUUAUGAUAAAACAACAAUUUUAUGCAAUUUAAUAUGUGAUACGAUGUAAAGCAGCUCAAGCAAGCACGUAAUUGAUAGACAUGCAGAUGUAUCAUGAUAUUGUUCAUGCAAAAAGUGAUACAAUGAUAAACCUUUAAAUUGUUCAGUUUAUAAUGUGAGGCGAGGGAAAGCUCACGUUUGCUACUUUAGGAGUAAACAACUAUGAAACUAUGCAUACUUUCUAAAGCUGGGCAUGGAUAACAAAGUAAGUUUUCUAAAGCAAUAUUUUCUUUUGAUUGGUAUUUGUGUCCACUAUAACAAGCUUGAAAACAUUGCAUUAGUAGAGAAAGGUAUCAGUUUUUAUAAUAGAAUAUGUUUUUAAGCCACUUAGGGUAUGUUCCAUAAAAAAAAGAGUGGAUAUAGGGUGUUUCUGUGUGGUUAAAAUCUGCAGGUGAUGCUGAUAUAUAAGAAUAUCAAAGCAAUAAUUCAGAGUUUCAGACCUCUGCAUUAUUUUUGUUUCAUACCUUGGGGAGGUCGAGGCAAAUCCUUCAACGACUCUGCAUGAUAAAGGGUGUCAUAACGAUAUGACGGUGCAGCAGCAGGCAUAAGCAUAGAUGAGGACAAAUUCAGUUCUGCAGAGUAGGUUAUUUUGGAUCACAAUACUUUUUUAGCAAAUAUCCACAUAUAUGAUAUAUCAGUAUUCUAGUUGGUAUCAUGAGAUUGUUAUGUUUUAGCUGUUUUGUGCGUAAGGGAGUGAGGUUGAUAAUAAGAAUGGAGAUUACAUUCUAAUUGUACAAGGAUGGGAGAAGUAGUAGUUUAAGAUUCUAAACACUUUUGAAUAAGGAUCAAAACAUUUCUUUUAUGAUAAAAAGAAUGCAUACCAGGUUUAGAUCGGUCUUCUUCUUGCAUAGCUUCUAAUUUUAUUCUGAUCUCCUUUGCAUGAACAAUGACUACAGUAAUCUGUCUCUGCAUCAUAGGAGAUAUUAAUGUUUUUUUUUGUUUUUUUUUUCUGUCAUAUGUGUACGUAAAUUUAACAUAAUUAUUUCCUUUCCUUUUUCAUAAACCAUGCGCAAAAACACCAUGUGAGUUUUCAAUCUAUAAUCUCUCUCACAGACCAAUUUUAGAUAUUAGAGGAAAGUUAUUAAGCUGCACAUCAAUUGUAACAAACAUGUCAAUCUCUAUCAGUAUCUACUAUUAAAGACGACAACACUAAAAUAGCCAUUAACAUCUUUAACAAGAAACUCUGUUUCAAAUUAUAGAGAAACACAUUUUCCAUAUAUGGUUGAACGCAAUUCUCAAUAACUACCCACAUUCCUCAAAUAAUAGAGACAAAAAUUAACUGAAUACCAAUGUGGAAUUAAUAAACUAGUUAUAUUUUGAGCUUGUUUUUAUUUUAGGUGAAUGCAAGAAAAAGUGUAUAUAAACAGACUCUUAAUCCCUGCAUUCUUAUUUCAGACACUAAUUUAAAUGUAGUGCUUUGUCUUUUUUCAGGACUUUUUCAGGAGUGAAACAUGUAUAUCUCCUCCACAUGAUGCAGAACAUUUUAAUGAUAGUAAAAUCAAAGUAUAUGAAUAAAUAAAAACUAUAUAUUCAGACAGAAAUUACCAACACAGAAUUUUUCUAAAUCUAGAAUCACAAAUGAACUCUGGUCAACUAUGAGAUUUACAGGAAUAAAUUAAAAUGAAAAUGGUUACUUUGCUGUCUCCAGUGCACACAUUACAAAUAUACCAGUUUUUAUUUUAUAUAACUUUCAUGUAAAAUGAGUACAAGGGUAGCCACCCAAAUACUGAAAAAGUAAAAGGUAACGAAAAAACAACAACAACUCAAGUUUAAGAGAAAUAUCGUGGACUGGCACCUACAAUAUUUCCUCACUGUCCUCUUGAGAGUACGUAGAAAAGAUUUUCCAUUUCCAUCUUAAAAAUUGCAUACCAUUAUUUAAUGAUUCCAUAAUAUAUGCAUAUUUUAAGUAUUACAAACUGUGUUUCUUUUUUCAGUAUAAUUUAUUUAUUUUUUUAAAAUGAAGAAAUAUAAUAAAAAGUUCAUUUAAUAAAAAUAUAUAUAAUUUUUUUUAAUUUCUAUAUACAAUAAAUGUGUAAAUUAAAGAUUAUAUAAAAAGGUAAUAGGAUCAAUGUAACAAUAAAAUAAAAACAAAAUUUAAUGCAACUCUUGAAAGGAAACCAAGAGGGUUUCACCACUUCAAUAAUUACAAAAUCAAAAUAUGAUAUUAAUUUAGCACUAAACACACACAUGUGACUCUUCUCAUGUAUCAUAAGGAUAUGAAGAUAAACCUAACUACAAAGAUAUUAUGAUUAACUAUUGAGAAAUCAUGUCCAACAUAUAUGCAAGCAUAAAAAAAAACUAGUCAUAGGCAACAUCCAUAAAGAUGAUAGUAAGUUUGAUUAUAUUUUUUUAAACUGUCUUGAUCCUAAGUUUAUUAUCCUAAAAUUAUACUAGGAAAGAACUUUGAUUUGAAGUUGAGACAGAAGUGUUUUCUUUUAAUUUCAUUAAUUAUUUAUUGAUAAAAAACAUAAUAAAAAACCAAUAAAUAAAAUUAUUAACAAAAAUCAGCUCAAAUCCUUAUUAUUUUGAUCAUAUUAAAGUAUAUGAUGUUUAAAAACAUAGGACACAACAUGAAAACUUCAUUAUAAGACAAGCCUUUUAAGAUUUUAGGUUUCAAACACUCAAAUAAUUUUUCUAAUCGAUAAUAAAAAAUAAAUAACUAUUUGAUGGAUACACCAACUUAUUAAAAAAAAGUACUUAUAGUAGUCUAAUAAACAUGUUUCAACCGAAAAAAACAGUCCACAAAAACCUAACUAGACCUACUAACACCCCGAAAAAGACCUUAGAAACCUAACAAAAAAAACAUCAAUAAAGUGUACAAAACAAACCGUGUAUCUAAGCAAUGCAAACACAUUAUAAAAAUAUAUUCUAGUGAAGUGCUGUGUAGAUCAAACUUACCACAUCAGAGAAGAAUAGUAUUUUCUUACACAUAAAACCUAAAGUAGGAUUAGUUUUUAGAUAAAUCUCAAGUAAACAGUACAUUUAUCACAUUUAAAUUGCUACAGUUCAUUUAUUUGGGUUAUGAUCAAUGAAUAUCCAAACUGCAUAUGGAAAGUAUCCAGCCAUAUUUCUCAAUUUUCUUUGGAUCCCAAUUUAUAUUUUAGAUACCGCACAUAAGUAUCUAGGGGCAAAAACAUUUCUCAACAAUUUCGUUUAUUUAAAUUUCACCAUGUUCUUUUAUGGAUACAUGCAUGACAUAUUAUUUAUGGAUGUUUUCCAAUCCCAAUCACUUAAAUCCAUCAAAGAUUCAGAAACACGAUUAAAAGACUUUAAAUUAUAUAUCUGGGUGAAAGGUGACUAUAAUAUAAUCAACUGUGACUUAAAUAUAAUGAACCAAUAUUUUAAGUUUUAAAAAUCAAAAUUAAGUUUAUGAUUUGUUUCAAACAUAUAUAGGAAUCAGGAGUAAUUAUUCACAAAUUAAAAAAAAUACAAUUAAGCAGACCCAAACCAAAUAGUUUGCUCAAUUCAUUCAAAAUGAAGCACCCACACACGAACCUAUUUACUAAAGUUUUGAAACACAUAUUCAAUGGGAUAAUUAUUAAUCAAGAGUUCAAAAGUGUGGAUCCCUUGAUCUUCUAAGAAUGGAGGUUUGUAGUUUUAGAGCAAAAUGUAAGGGUAGAAAAUUACUACUACCUUUUUAGUUUUCUUUUAUAACACGAAACUCGUUUAAGAAAGAGUUUCAAUAGCUAAAUGCUGGGUGAUUAAGAAGUAUUUUUUUAAAAAAAAUAUAUAUGCUACGAAACAGUGUACUACUAUGUGGCAAAACUGAGGUUUUAGAGAUGUUAACGCCAGUUUACCUCUAAGACAUCUUAAUUAAUAUAUAUGAAUUGAAGCAUUAAAAAAUGCUCCAUUUUAAUGCAAUUCUUUAUUGAUAUUUUUUUAAUUACACAUUGAAAAAGAAAUUUCAAAGUUUGUGUAGAUUAUUUUUAUUUUUUAAAUAAGUGAAAUAUAUCAAAAUUUCUCAAAGUUUAUAAAAAUGGAAUAGACACAAUUUUGGAGAACAAGUUUAUGUAAAACCAUAUAGGUGUAUAUUCUUGUAAGUGGUCAUUCUUGCCGCGGAGACAAGUUACUUAAUAAUUUGAAGAGAGAAAUUUCAAUUCUGAGUUUGAACAAAUAAAUAUAAAUUAUUUAAAAUAAAUCUUUAUUUUAAAAAACAAUCAAAAAAUCUGUCCAACAAGAAUAUCAUUACAACAAACUUCAAAAUAUAUUUUAUCAAAAAACAAAAUACCUCGGCUCCUAAAGAAAACCUUCAAACACAUAAAUGAUCGCAGCAAAAUAUGAAAGAUAGACCAAAAUCAACAAAUAAAAAAAAAAAAACAGUAACAACCCUGCUUAUCUUGAGGGAAUUUUUCGUACAAAGAAAACAAAAACAAAGCGUUGUCUGUAAGAAAUUUUCAUAUAAAGAAAACCCAAAAACCAGAUUCUAACACUCCUCUACCCCUAGUCUAGCUAUUCCAAACCCAAUCCAGUCUUGCAUCUGCAGGAUUUCUUCCCAGCCAAAUAUUGUAAUUUAAUCUAAUUAUUAUUAUCCUAAACCUUUUGUAAUAAGGCACCACAGUUUCUAAGGAAAGACAACAUCUAUAUUUAAUUUCAAACAAAGUAUUUUCAGAACAUCAUUUAUAAUUAAUAGAUAUAGGGAAUGAUGUAACAGGUUUAAUUUUUAACAAAUAUUAGUGUUAACAAUCAAGUUGCCAAAUCUUCGUUAUAUAUAUAUAGAACCAUAAUAAAUUGAAAGGAAAACACAUACCUUACACAAGACAAUAUUAUUGAUGUGGUUAACUACUUCAAUUUCAAGCCAUUCCUCCUUCUUUUGCAAUUCUAUCACAUUACGUUCUUUCUUCUCCUUUGAUUUAGCAGCAGAUUUCCUAUUGGCAAGAAUCCUACAAAACACAAAGAUUCAAUUUAUAUCAGUCUAAGAACAUUAAUCCUACAUCCUCUGAAAACUAAUUUCUCUUGAGCAAGUCAAUUGUGCAAAUGGUCAACUGAUUUUUUUAUUUAAAUAUUACUUCUUCUAAAGUAAUUAAGAGAUAGACAGAGACCAAUUUAAAGUAAUAUUUUUUUUAGGUAACAUUACAAGAAAAUUAUGAAAUAAAAAUAAUUUUUUUAAAAAAAAAUAAUAAUUAGUUGUUAUAUUGAUUAAAUUAGAGACUAAAAGAAAUUGAUUUAUAAAUUAGUUUAUAUUAUCGUUCAAUAGUUUCUAAAUUGAUAUAUAAUUAGUUACUAAAGUUUUAACUACCAAUUAUUUAGAUUUUAAAUUCGAUUGAAAAACCUUUGUGGUUAUUUAAAUACCAAUUUAGAAAUCAUUAACUAAUUUAGAAACCAAUUUUUUUUAAUCUUUAAUUUAGUCACUAUAGCAACUAAUUAUCUUUUAUUUCUAAAAAUUAGUUUCUAUUUCAUAAUUUUCUUGUAUAGUAUAAAUACAAAUUUUAUUUAAAAAAAUAUAAUUAUACACUAAAGCAUGAUUUCCAUUAAAAAAAUGAAAAUUAUGUACGCAAACACAAUUUCUAUAAAAAAAAAUUAAAAAUCAUUUAUGCAAAUAUAAUUUCUUAGAAUUGUUAAAAAAAGUUGCAAGCGGAAGUUCUUUAUUAAAUUAUAAAAAAAAGCAAUUUAAAACAAAGUCAUGCAUUGGAAUGAUUUAUUUGAUUUUGAAGUUGUAGUAAUAAAUUUGAAAAAAAUAGAUCACAGUGGAAGAACUCUUAAUUACCAUGCAAAGAUGAAAAACUAUGAAAAAUUGUCGAACUUGGCUCGUCUAGGAUAAUGAUACAUUGAUAAUUCUAAUUUUCUAAACAACUAUAUUACAAUUUUUAAUAUUAUUAUUUUAAUAUUUUAAUAUUAUUUAAUUAUAAAUUUAUUUUUAUUAUAUAUAUUUAUUUCUUAAUUUAUUACAUAAAAGAUGGUAUAUAACUCUGUCAAACUUCUUUAAGUUUAUGAAUAAGUUUGUUUUUUAAAAGGAAAAGAUUAAUUUAUUACCAAAAAAUAAAUCACAUUAAUAACUAUUAUAUUAAUAUAAUAAUAUUUUAAGUUGAAAAAAAAAUUAAAAUAUUAAUUUAUUGAGUUGUUAAAGUGAAUUAUUAUCACCACCCUUUGUAAAAUAAUAAUAGUAUUUGAAAAAAAUAUAAAAUAAUUACAUACAUAUAUUAUAAUUUAUAUGUCAAAUCCUUUUUUUAAAUUAUAAUUUUAAAAAUAUAUUUUAUUUGUAUUUUAAUAAUUUAAUAUACUUCUAAAAUCAGACCGUUAAUUAGACCAUAAAAAUCUGCUAUUUGAUAACUUUAACGGCAAAAUGAUUAAGGUUUGAUGAAGAUUUUUUAUGAAUAAUAAUAAGUUCCUAUUAAAAUGAGUAUGCACAAAAAUAAUUUUAAAAAAAAUUAUUCCUUGAAAAGAGAAGUAAUUAUGUUUCCAUUAAUUUUUUAUUAUAAUUUAACACAAGUAAUUAAUAAUAUCAAACUUUGUUUUCUUCAUGAAAAAUAUAAUUUAUUUUGUAAAAUAACUAUAUUCAGUCAAAACCAACCACAUCUCUACACAUAUAAAUUAUAUAUAGCCGGAACAAAAAUCCAACUUUAAAAACGAUUUAAUUAAAAAAUAAUUAAAAUGGAAAAAAGAAUAAGACCUCUUAGCCUUCAUGGGAUCAACCUUAGCAAGUUCAGCAAGCUCCUCCGGCUCCAUACGCUUCCUCGCCAAAGAAAUCGGUGGCCCGGCCUGCAUCAACUUUGUCAAUGACGCCUGAAGGGAAGCGUUCUUCCGACGCGGCUUCGCUUUCUUCUUCUUUCCGCAAUCCUUAAUACAGCCAUCAGCUCCGCCGCCGGCCAUGCAGAGAUCACCCGAGACUACGGACUUUCCUCGGUCGAGUCCGGCUGUGGGCACUACUGGUGCAGCUCCGAUCUGCCAGCUGGGUUUCUCCGAGGUUUCGGAGUCAACGGACACUAGAGAAGCGGUUGGUGGCAGCGGAGGCAGCAGUGAAGAGUUGGGCAUUUCGAAAUCAAGAUGUUUGCUAUCGAAGUUGGGAAGGUUGUCCAAGGUGUCGAGGAGGGGAUAGGAGUGGUCGGAGAAGAUCCUCCAGUGGUGCAUGGGGCUGUGUGGCUGUUCCGUCGGUGGCAUCUGGUAAAAGAGCGCGGCAUCCGACGGAGCUCCGAUGUCAUUGUUCUCCAUGGCACAAAAUGUGAAAAACGUUUCUGUGUUUGGGAUUUGUAAUUUGGAGUUUUGUUGAAACGUUUUGUGGUGACAGGAAACUGAAGCUGUUGAGGAAGGAAGUGUUUUGCGUGACUCUGACCCCAGUCCCUCGUGUAUAUAUAUGAAUGAUAUAAGGAUAACUUUUUUUUUUUUAUACAAGUUACAACUCCUAAUACUAUUAUUUUAAUACUUUUUUAUAUUAUUUAAUUACAAAUUUAUCCUUUACUAUAUAUAUUUAUUUCUAAACCUAUCACAUCAUGGUUGUAUACAACUUUUUGAGUUGUCACACUAUCAUUUUCCAUAUAUAUAUAUAUAUAUAUANNNNNNNNNNNNNNNNNNNNNNNNNNNNNNNNNNNNNNNNNNNNNNNNNNNNNNNNNNNNNNNNNNNNNNNNNNNNNNNNNNNNNNNNNNNNNNNNNNNNGGUUAGACAUGCAGUGGAACACGGUGGGUUUUCACCAUAAAAAAAAAACUGAAAAAUACAAAACCAUUAAUAAUACAUAUUUAAUUACUUCCAUUUAUUUCUUUUAACUCAUUUAAUUUUCAAAAACUCUUCAUUUUAUUUGGGCUCGUUUUCAAGAUAAGAUUGAGAUUUUUCAGACUAUUUCGGUUAUUAAAGAUUUAACUUGUCUUGUAGAUAACUCUUCUAAAACUUCUAUGAAAAAUGUGAUAUUAUGGAUUUUAAAGUUGUCAAAUUUUUUGGUAUUAGUAAAGUUCUUCGUCCUCUUCUUGUGAGAUGAAAGUUUUCUUUACUAGACUGCGUUAAAAUUAAUAUUGAUGAGACUGUUAGGGGUAUUCAGGCCUUGCUACUUGUGGAGGUAUUUUUUGUGAGAGUAUGAGAGAAUUUAUUGUAGCUUUCUCUAUGUUCCUUGAAGUUCAAACUACUCUAGUGGUUGAGUUUUAUGGAGUUAUACAUGCUAGAGAGGAAGCUUAAAAGAUGAGGCUUAUUAAUAUCUGGUUGAAAUGUGAUUCUACUUUGGUUUGGGUUGCAUUUACUACUAGGACAAAUGUUUCUUGAAUGUUUCAAAAUCAAUGAAUACUUGUCUUAAUUAUUGUGAGAAAAUUAGGUGGUUUAAGGUUACUCAUAUUUUUUGUGAAAAGAAUAUGUGUGCUGAUAACUUGGUUAAUUUAAAAAUUAUUAAUAGAAAAUUAUUUAUUUUAUUGGUAUAAUAGACUUUUAUCUAGUCUGUUCUUAAAAUUCUUUAUGAAUAAUUAUAGUCUACUUAUGUACUGUAUCAUUUUUGUUAAUAUAUGAGUUUUGACCUAAUAUCCUUAUAUUUUUUUUUCUUUUUUUAAUAAUAUUUUUUCAUAUAAUGGUAGAUGAUUGUUGUUACUCUAAUGUCUAAUGGUAGUUUAGAUGUCAAAUUACAUAUAUUUUUAUAAAAAAAAAAUUGAAUGUAAACUCAUGAUAAAUUUAAUUACAGUAGAGCAUCAUUAAUUUGAACGGAGAUUUUAAUUUGAUAGGAAAUAUUAUAUUAAUUCAACAUUAAGAGUGAUAUUAAAUUAAGAAUAUUUAAAAUAAUAUGAUGAAAUUGAAAAAAAAAAUCCAACACUCAUUUUCAUUGUUUUAAAAAUAUUAAAUUUUAAUUAAAUAUGAAUAAGAAAUAAAAUUAAAUUUAAAAUCAGAUUAAAAUAUUUAUAAUAUAUUUCAUACAGUUGAGUUUAAUUUAAAAUUAAAAUAUUAAAAAUUGUAUAUUAACAUAACUGUAAAGGUUAUUCCAUUAAAAUAGAAUUCAUCAGUUAAAAAAUUAAGGAAUAAUUCUUACAAAUGCUUUAACUUCUAUAUAUAUUAUUUUUGUAAUUAUUGUAAUAGAAAACAUUAAAUUAAUUAAAUUUAAACGGAUAAAACGGAAAAGAAAGUUAAAUUAUAAAGGAUUAAAAUAUAUUUAUGAUAUAUUUAAAGGGGUGAAUUAAUUAUUUUGUCCUGGGUAUUUUGUAUUGCCACGCGUUUUGUAAUAUCCAAAAACAUCUAAUUAAUAUUUCUAUUCUCUUUCUUCAAUAAAUGAUCAUUACUACAUUAUAAAAUAAACUUUAACCAUUUUUAUGGUAGGUUCUAUAUUUGUUCUAAUUUAUUUUAAAAAUUGUGUUAAAAUAUAAAUUCAAGUAAUAUUUUUUUUAGAUAGAGUGAAAAAUUGGUUCAAUUUUAAUUCUUUUAAUGAAGAUUGGGAAAAAAGAGAGAAGGAAGAGUGAAAAUUGUUUACCUAUAAAUUAUUAUCCAUAUAUUCAUAAUAAUAAUAUUAAUAGUAAUAAUAAUAUUAAUUUAUAAUAAUAUAUAAAGAACUUUUUUAUCUUUUAUAUAUAUAUAUAUAUAUUUAUUUUUAUCCUUUAUAAUUUUAAAAUAUGACAAAUCUAAAUUUAAAAAUUUGAAUUUGAAUGAAAAAUUAGAAACACAAUUAUUUGAAUUUUAAAUUGAAAAUUUGAAUGUGAAAAAAACACAAUAUAUAAAGAGGAUUUUUUUUUCCAAUUUUAUUCUUUGUGAUUUUGAAAUAUGAAAAAAAAAAUAGAUUUUUUUUUAAUUUUAAACUAAAAAUUUGAAUGUGAAAAAAAAAAUUCUAGAACACAAUUUUUGGAUUUUAAACAGAAAAUUUAAAUUUGAAAAAAAAAACUAGAAAACACACUUUUUCAAUAUAAAGGAUGAAAAUGGAGAAUGAAAACACACUCUUCUGCAUUUGGGAAAUAUCAAAACCCUAUCAUAUCAUUAUAUUAUUUUGUAUUCAGUGCAUAAUCCAGAUCUUAUAGUUCAAUGAAAAUCCCACAAAACAUUCAUACAUAUGCUUACACAAAUAGAUAAUUGUGUAUAUUACAUAUAUCUUUAUUUAUUUUGUAAUUUAUUGAUUUUUCUGAAUUUAUAAAAGAAUGAAAUACUUAAGGAUCAUCAAUCACUUGUAUUGAUAUACAAGUCAAUUGAUAAAAAGAAUAUACUAAUUUUACAUAAUGAUCACAAUAAUAUUUUUUAUUCUAUUGAGUGGGUCCAAGUUAACAACUAAUUAAAGGAAACUUUUAAAUUUGGUAGAAAAAUAAUUACUUUCAUAAAAAAUAAAUUAGAAAUUAUUUUAGAAACUAGAAAAAAAUUUAGUUUUUAAAUUAAUUUAUAUUAUUGUUUAAUGAUUUAUCUAAUUAGUUACCAAGGUUUUACUACCAAUUAUUUAGAUUCUAGCAAAAACUUUUGUAACUAAUUAGAUACUAAUUUAGAAAUCAUUUAACAAUAAUGUAUUAAUGUAUUAAUUAAUACAUUAUUUUCUAUUAACAAGAUUCAUAGUUGCUUUAGUAACAAUCUUCUUUGAAAAACAAAGUAUAUACAUUUUUAAGCUUCUAGUGAUUUAUUCCAUCUUUUAUUAUAAACUAUAUCAUAAAUGUAUUACACUAGUUUCUUGUCGUGUAGUUUUUAAAGAUUUGAGAAAGUAUAAAUGACGUUUUUUAUACAUUAAAAAAACUCAUUUAAAGUUAAAUUAUAUUUUCUAUUCAAAUAAUAUAAAUUUACUCAACUGGUACUGGUGUUAUAAUUUAAUAAAUAUAAAUAUGUUCAUUAAAAAAAAAUACUUUUUAUAAAUAAAAGAAAAACUAAACACAUCCUCCUCUGAAAAUGUAUCACUUCUUUAGAAUGUAUUUUAGAAUGGCAUAGAAAUAUAUAUAUUACAAUUUAUAAUGACAUUUAUAAAUUUAUUAUAUAUUAAUUAAAUUUUUAGUGUAAUAAUAUUAUAUAAAAAACUGUCUCACACCUGUUUUUGCUAAUAAUAAUAAUAAUAUUAUUAUUAUUUGUAUUAUAAAUAUUAUUAUAUUAUUAUUAAUAUUACUAUUUAAUAUUAUCCACUUAAUAAUAUAUAAUAAUGAUGAUAUCAAUAUUAAUAAUAAUAGUAUUAUUAUUACUAUUAACAUAACUAUUAAUAAUAAGAUUAAUUUUAAUAAUAAUAUGGAUAAUCUAUACCUAUAUAUAAAGGGGAUUCCCCUCUUAACUGCUCUUAAAUUUUUUACCUAUUUUAUCCUUAUAUUAAUAUUUAAUUUUAUUAUUGUAUUAUGGUCAUUGUGUCAUUUCUUAUUCCCCUCUUAACUGCUCUUAAUUUUUUUUCUCAUUUUAUCCUUAUAUUAAUAUUUAAUUUUAUUAUUGUAUUAUGGUCAUUGUGCCCUUUCUUAUUUUUUCUACAAUAUUUGGUAUACGUAAUAGGGCGAUUUUGAAUUGAAAGAGAGGUGGAAAAGCGAUUUUGAAUUGAAAGAGAUGUAGAGGAAUAGUUAUGAAAUGAAAGAGAGGUGAAGGAGUGGUUAUGAAUUGAAAGAGAGGUGGAGGAGUGGUUAUGAAUUGAAAAUUAAUUGCAUAAUGAGAGAGUGUCUUUUGUAUGAGAGAGAAAUAAAUUUAAUAAAAUAUUUGAGAUAAAUGGAGCAACUGUUUGAAUUGAAAGAAAUAAUUUAUUUUGAAAAUUAAUUGCAUAAUGAGAGGGAGUGAACGGUUACCACUUUCUUCACUAGUUUUCACCCUCACCAUUUACAUCCACUUGAGUAGUUUUCACCCGUUACAUCCACCUCCUUAUAAGGAGUAGUUUUCAUCAAUUGCAUCCAAAAAAAAAAAUGCUCAUAAAUUUUGACACAUUUUGAACCUUCUUCCUUCAUGCUCCAUGUUCUUCUCCUACUCUCACCCCAUCUUAGUCCCUCUUCAAUCACCACUGUAUAACAACCACCAUUGCUUCCUCCUUCUCACACUUCCCAAAGCGUUCUAAGCAGAGACGUGUCUCAUUAUUAUAGGAUUUGAACAUUUUUGUUUAUAUUGCUUUCUUAAUUUUUUUUAUAUUUUUGUAUGAAUCCUAAGCCCAGCUUUGGGGGCAAAGUUUUUAUGUCUAGUGAUGCUUUGAUCUAUUAGAUAUUACAUAAGUUGGAAGUUUGGUAAUUUGUAUUUAGUUUAUUAUUUUAUUUUUUUCAACUUCUUUGCCCUGGAAGAUGUGGAUUCCAUUGAUAUGGUGAUGGAUUCUACAACUUCCAACAUACAACCAUUUGCAUUAUGUUUUGACAUUGUUUGCUAGUCCAUUUUUUUUAAACCUUAAUUUUAAUCUUGAUAACCUUACAAAGUUCAAGAUUACACCCAAGUUAAAUCAAAAUUUAAUAUUCAAAAACAAUAAAAUAAAAAUAUAAAAAAAUUAACAUAAAAUCUUAAUAAAACUAUUAUCAAUAGUACAUUUAGAUAAUUUACAUAUCUUCUCAUAUAAUUUAAUAUUUAUUAAAAUUAUAUGAAUAUAUAAAUAGUAAAAAUGAAAAAUACGUGCGCCUGUGUUCCCGCUAGUAAAGAUAAUAGUUUUAAUGGUAAUUAUAAUAAAAAUAAUAUGAAUACUAAUAUUAAUAUUAUAGUUAUUAAAAUUAUCAGGAUUUGUAGGUAAAUUUACCUAUCGGUAUCCAUUGCUAUUUUACCAACGAAUACCUACCUACAUGUGCAAAAUUCAUAAGUAAAUCUACCUAUGAUUAAUAUUAAUAAUAUAAAAAUUAUUAAUAACAAUAUUAAAAGUAUUAAUAAUAAUAUUAUUACUACUAAUAUUAAUAAUAAUAAUAUUAAUAUUUUUGUUUAUAUUUUUAAUAAUAUUAGUAAUAUUGUAAAUAUUAUAAUUAAUAUUAUUUAUAUUAUUAUUAAGAUUAUUAAUAUUAUUAAAAUUAUUAUUACUAUUAACAUUAUUAUUAAUAUUAUUAAAAUUAUUAUUACUAUUAACAUUAUUAUUAAUAUUAUUAAAAUUAUUAUUAAUAUGAUUAUUAUUAGUAUUAACAUUUCUAGUAUUGUUCAUAUCAUUAAAAUUGUUAUUAUUACUAAUAUUUUUGUUAAUAUUAAUAUGGUUAAUUAUUAUUAUUUUUAUUAUUAAAUAUAUUAUUAAUAAUAAAAUCUAUAAUAAUAUUAAUGUUGUUGUUAUUAUUAAUAUUAAUAUUUUGACAUGAUAAUACUCAUAAGAAUAAUAUUAAUCAUAAUAUAAUCACUAAAUUUGUGUAGUGUAGUAGUUAAAUAUUUUAUUUCUAUUCAUGAAAUCUGGGUUCGAUUAUCUCUAACAACACAAUAACAUUGAUAAUAUUUACUUACAAAUCAACAUCGAUAUAAAGAACUAAACAAUGUGUAUGAAAAAAAAAAAAAAUGCAUAAACGUAUGUAUAUAGCACGGUUCUGUAUUCAUAUUUUGGUAUUUUUUUAACUUAGUUUUUUUUUACUAGUUAAAUAUGUUAAAAUAAAUAAAAUCCUAAAAUUAUUAAAAAUCCCGCACAAGCAAGAAAAUACAGAAUCUACUUUUAUCUUAUUAUAUUUUUCACGUCCUGAAUGUUAGAUAGGAAUCUAAAAAUGAAAAAAAAAACAAAAAAAAAUUACUAUAUAAACAAAUAGUUUUAGAAUAAGCAUUAUUGAAAUCUCCAAAAUAAUUAAAAAAUAAUAAAGAAAAUGAAUAUAUUCUCUUAUAUUACAACACAUUUUUUUUCUUUUAACACUAAGAUACAUAAAUAUUAUGGAUUCAGUUUUCUAAAUUAAAUAGUAAAAAAAUUAAAAGGAUAAUCUGGUGGUUUGGGAGGGAGGGAUGCAACAAAGAAGAGAGAAGACGUAGAAUGGAGGUGAGGAAAAAUUAGGCUUGAAGAUUAAAUUAUAAGUUAAAUGUAUUUUAAUCUUUUUCAUGUUAAUGUUAGUAUUGGUGCAAGUAGUAAUUAUGGGUUAAGAAAGCAAAAGCCCCGACGUGAUAUUUCAUUGUGUAUAUAGUGGGUUUAAAUUCUUGUAUCCAAUUAAAACUGCAAAGCAUAUUUCUUGGAUCUUUGAAUGCCCAUUUUAAGGUUUCUAUUGACAAGCACUGCAGUGCCUUGAAACUUGGCUGCUUCUUCCUGCACCUCCAUACCUUUUUGUGCCACCCCAUAAGUUUUUUUUUAUUUCAAAAAUACUCAUUUUUAAUAUACCGGAUUACAUAAUCCAGAAGUCUUUUUUCAAGAUCCAUAAUUAACUUAUGGAUUAUGUAAUUCAGAAGCCUUUUGAAUUAUGUAAUCUGAAAGCCUUUUGUGAUUAAUCCGGAAGUCUUUUUUUAGAUUUAUAAUUAGCUUUCAGAUUAUGUAAUCCGGAAGCCUUUUGUGAUUAGCUUCCGGAUUACAUAAUUCAGAAGUCUUUUUUAUACAUAAGAUUAGCUUUCGGAUUAUGUAAUCCGAAAGCCUUUUUUUUUCUUUUUUCAGAUGUGUGAUUAGUUUCCAGAUUACAUAAUUCAGAAGUUUUUCUAACUAUGAGAUUGACUUCCGGAUUAUGUAAUCGGAAUAUAUCUGAACUACAUAAUCCAUAGGUUUAUUUCAAAUUCAAAAAAGAAUUUCGAAUUUUAUAAAUCUCAAGAAGAAUUCUGGAUCCAAAAACAUCUUUCAGAUUAUGUAUGGGAGUGGCAAAAAAAAGGAGAAAAUGAUAUUCUUACAUUUAAUAUGGGGGUGACACAAGAAGGUAUGGAGGUGUAGGAAAAAAGAGUCUGAAACUUAACUUGAAUAGCAAGCCCUGACAAACUGAACUGACCUGCUUUUCGGACUCAUUAAAUACGGAAAUUUUUUCUCCACCCCCAUAGUUUCUUUCUUCACCUACAUAAAAUUUCAAUUCUAAGACUACCUUGAAAAAAGGAGCAGAAAUUGUUUUUUUUUUUUCAUUUUCGAAUUCUAUAAUUUGUAGACAUUCCGGAACUCUAGAAUUUAGAAUACAUAAUAAUAUUAUCAAUUUUAGAGUUUGGAAGGUAUUUUUUGAGUUUAAAAAUGCAUUUUGAACUCUAUAAUUUGUAACAUAAUUUUGUAUUUCGAGUUUUAGAGUUGAAUUUUUAGUUUGAAAAUGUAUUUUGAACUUUAAAAUUUUGAAUACAAUUUUGUGUUCUGAAUUGUAUAGUUUGUAAGGUGUUUUUUGGAUUGAAAUUGCAUUAUGAACUUUAAACUUUUGACCCAAAAAAUAGAAGAGUGCAAAUUAGCUAUUGAUUUGAUUUUCGUUGCUAAUUUGCAUUGAUUUAGAGAUAGAAAUCAAAUUGAUUGUUAAAUACAAAUGUAUGUUUACAAAUUAGCGAUCAAUUCAAUUUUGAUCGUUAAAUGCCUACAAAUUAAUUAUCGAAUUUGAUUUCGAUUGCUAAAUACAAAUAUAUGAUCGUAAAGUAGCAACCAAUUUUGGUUUAUGUCACUAAUUUAUACAAUGAGUGAAUUCUAGUUAAUCACUAAAUACAAAUACAUGACUACAAAUAGUGACCAAUUUUGAUUUAUGUCACUAAUUUAUACUGAUGUAGCAACCAAAUUCCAGUUGGUCGCUAAAUACAAAUACAUGAUUACAAAUUAACUAUCAAUUUAGUUAUUGAGUUAUAAUUAUUUUAUUAUUAUGAUUAUAGUUAUAAUCAUUUUAUUAUUAUAAUUGUUAUUUUAAUUAUUAUGAUUAUUUUUAACAAUAAUAUUAUUGUUUUGAUUAUUAUUAAUAUAGUAAUAAUAAUAAUAAUCAUUAUUAUUAUUAUUAAUAAUAAUAGUCGUAAUAUGAUCACAAUUUUUUUUGAAGUGGUUAUAAGUUCCAUCUCUGCUCAAAAGAUUUUGGUUCACUUUUUUCUCACAAGUUGUUAACAUUAUUAUUAUUAUUAUUAAUAAUAAUAACUCUAAAUUAGUUACUAAAAAUUAUUUAAUUUUAAUUAUUAAAUUUAAUUUCAUUGUGAAUUUUAACUUUUCACCAAUUUUUUAUUAUUGAAUUCAUCUCCUAAAAUUUAGUGACCAAGUUUUCUAGGACUAAAAUAAAGACUGAUUACUACAAGAAAAUCAUGAAAUAGAAACUAUUUUUUAGAGAUCAAAAUAAUUAGUUACAAUAAAAAUUAAAAUAGAGACUAUUUUAGAAAUUAAAAAGAAAUUUGGUUUCUAAAUUAAAUAGUUUCUAAAUUGGUAUCUAAUUAACCACUAAGGUUUUAACUACUAAUUAUUUAGUUUCUAAAUUUAGUAGCAAAAUCUUGGUGACUAAUUAGAUACCAAUUUAGAAACUAUUUAACAAUAAUAGAAAAUAACAUAAACUAAUUUAGAAACCAAAUUUUUUUUUAGUUUCUAAAAUGAUAUCUAAUUUAGUUACUAUUGCAACUAAUUAAUUAUUUUGGUUUCUACAAAUUGGUUUUUAUUUCAUGAUUCUCGUAAUGAAUAUUGUUAUUUCAACAUAAAAUCAAUUUAAUAAUCAAAUUUUACAUUUUAACGAAUGAUAAAAGAUAUUUUUCUAAGAACUCAUUUUGUCCUAGUUUAAACUAAGAAAAAUAAUUAUUGAGAACCAAAAUUUAAUAUAAAUAUAUUUUUUUUCUCCGAAGAAAGUGACUUUUAGGUUGAAUCCACUAGUAGUCUUGGUCCUCUCUGUCCGAACUUAGAAGUUGGAUAUGCUGAAAUUGGAACAACUAAAUUUGGUUCAACGUGGAAUCCACAUUAGUCUAGGAUUCAGUCCACCAGACAAGAUAUAAAUUAUAGCAUAUCUAAGGUGUUACCAACAUAUAUUUGUCGGUGUUGGUAGGGUUCUGCAACCUGCAACAACAAAUUCUAAUUAUGCACUAUUCUAGUUAUGCUAUUCUACAUGCUCAACUCUAGUUAAUGUAUUUUUUUUAAUAAACUAGUUAAUAUACAUAGUGGAAGGCUCACGUUUUUUAUUAAAAGAAAUAAAUGUUUUUCAAUAAUAUAUGUAUAUUUGUUAACCUACCGUUAAAAUAUUUUAUGUAAGAGUUCUUAUAUAUAAAAAUGUUGUCCAUAUAUAGAAAAUCAGUUCUUUAAAAGCGAAUUUGAAUUUUUUGAAACAAUUGUAAGAUUUAUUUCGAAUUCUUAAAUACUAUAAAAUUGAAAAAAAAUAACUGUUAACGUUGUUAGAUUUUACGUAGUGUGGUAGGAUCUAGCUUUUUUUCUUCCGAAAGGGGAAGCGAGCAACAUCAUAAAAUUAAUGGACAUAUUAUAGAUUAAUCAUCAAUAAUAUAUUAUACUUAAUUAAUUAAUUUUCUCUGUUUUUAUAAUUUUAUUUUUCUAUUUUUAUAAUUUUUUUUAUCUUAUCUUAUAGAAAUUAUUAAAUAAAAAUUAAUUUUAAAGAUUAAAAAAAUUAGUUAUUAUAUUAGAUAUUAUUUUAAAAAUUAAAAAAAUUAUUGAUAUUUAAAUUAUUUUUUAUUAUUGAUAAAUAGUUUGAUAUAUAACUAUUAAUUUAAAAGUUAUUUAUAAUUUAAAUAUUUUUUUUUUUAGUUUUUAAGAUAAUAUAUAAUUUAAUUUAUAUAAUAAUUAAUUAUUUUAAAUUUUUAAAAUUAGUUAUUAUUUAAUGACUUUUUUAGUAGUAUUAUAAACAAGUUUGCUAUGAAACUUUGUGAAUCAAUAGUUGUGGAACCGAAGUGAAAGGUGUUUGGUAGUCAUCUUAGAAUUACUUUUUGUACCGAGUUGAUUUACUCUUUUUUAGGUUGCAUAUUUUGAGUGUAGAUUUUGUGAAGAACAUUUUUUUAAUAAGAGUUGGAACACUCUUAAAUAUAUUUUAUAAUUUAAUUUAAUUUAUUUUUUACGGAUAAAAAAUAUAAUCUAAUAACAGAAAUAAUUUUUAAUAGCAGCACUGUGACAUAUGGGUGGAACUUAUAAAAACAAUUAAACUUUAUUUUCUUUCAAAGAGCUAGGGAAGUGUUUAAUCUUUUAUUUGUUUUGGUUUUGAGGUUUCUUAUCUAACUUUUGAUUCUUUUAAAAGAGUUGGAGAAUUAGGGUUCCAUUCUUGAGGAUGUUUAUGAAUUCUUUGAAGACUAAAAAAUUGCAAGACGUGGUAUGGGAUAUUUAAGGAAACGAUCUAGGGCAAUGAUCUCCAAAACUUCAAUAAUUUUCGUUUUGAUAUAACACGUAGUGUUUCAUGCAAGCGUGUGUAAUUUUAUAUUUAGAUUUCUUUUUGGGUACUAACAAAGGAAAGGAAUCUCAAACUUUUGGAUGCACGAUCUUCAUUUUGAAGGCUGUCAGGUCCUUUAUUGAAAAGAAUGUCGAAAGGGAAUAUCCAAUUGGAAUUUAACAAAUUGUUCAUGGAAUUUUGUUUAUUAACUAAUCAUCAUCUUUCACCAUCACAUUCUCUUCGUUUUUUUUUCUUUCAUCCACGCACUCCGUCUUUAUUUUAGCUUUUUCCCUUUAGUUAUCUAACCUUUAAAAUUGUUGGAAUUAUUUAUCAUGUUAACGUCGUUUCUUUGACAUAAACAAGACAUAACAAUAUUCGAAAGGUGGGUAACAAAACUGAUAAAACAUAAUCAGACGUCUGAUUAGAAAAUUCGAGGAGUAUAUUUAUUCGUAACGUAGAGAUGGUGGAAGUUAAGAGAGUUAUUAUUGAUUUUGAUAUUUUUAUUAAAAUUGUUGUUAGUUGAGGUUGAGUCUUUUUGUUAGUAAAAAAUUUAAGAAAUUUGAUGAAGAAUGAUCUAUUGUUGAUAAUGUAUAUGUUGUUAUAAAUGUUGUUGAUAUAGAGGUCCAGAUCUCAAAAUGAUAUUUUUGCUGAUAUGUCUUAUUUAGAUGAUGUCUAUGAAUCAGAUGAUUUGUUAAAAGGAGUGAUUUAUUGUGUCAUAAAAAUUUUGGUAUUUUAGAAUGAUUCUCCCAUCUCAAAUUUUCAACUAAUGCAACAAGUCCUAACAUUGUUGCUGUCAAAUGUGUUACUUCCGAAUCAAUUUCUCAAGAUUUGGCUUUGCAUAAUUAUUUUAAAUCUCUUUCAAGUGAUGAACAAAAGGCUCAAGGGUCAUGAUUGACCAUCUUGAUAGUAGAUAUAGUUGAAUCUAUCUUAACUGAUAUUUUUUUACAAGAAACCAAUUAAGUUUCUAAGUUAUGGGCUGAAAAGAUGGAUGAAUAAGGAUAAAUCUUUAAGUGAAAACGAUGAACCAUUUCAAAUUUCUUGUAGAUCGGGAGGUCUUCCUAAACCUGAAGUAAAAUCCAAUAAGAAGACCUUCAAAGCAGGUCAACCCAAGAAAACAUAAUGGUAGUGAUGUGCAUUAAUAUCUUAGAAUUUUAUUACUGCGAUGCAAACAUGAUCAAUCUUAUUUUAUUUUUUGGGAUCCAAUUGUUCAUCUUUGUUGUCUUUAUGAAAAAUAUUAGAAAAUGUUCUUUUGUUUGUCUUAUUGUCUUUAUUUAGUUUUUUUUUAUACUUCAAAUGUACUUGUUUAGGUUGGAGUUUCUUUGUUUUUCUUCUAAUGAAUUUGUUUGUUUUAUUUUUUUAUUUAAAAAAUUAAUACAUGACAUUAUUAUAUAAACUAUCAUUUCACUCUACUAUAUUAAGCUAACAACUCAAAUGAGUUAUUUUAUUUUGUAAAAAUUUGCUAGGGAUGCUUUAGUGUUUAAUUUGAAAAAAACUCUUAAAUUAUGUUUUUUUAUCAUCAAUUUAUUGCUAUAUUACUUUGAUCAAGUAUUUUGAUUAAAUGAGAUGGUUAUUUAUUUUCAAAUGACUUGUAGGCAUCAAAUUGCUUUGAUCCGAUGUGAUGGUCAUUUAUUUUAAAAUGACUUAUAGAUGUUAGAUUGCUUUGAUCAAAUGUAAGGAUCAUUUAUUUUCAAACAAAUUUGUAUUAUUAUCAUUCGAUGUGAUGGUUGUUUAUUUUCAAACGACUUUACAUUAUUAUGUUGAUCAACACUUAUUUACAACUGACUUUGUACUACUUUGAUAUGAUGUUCAAACAACUUCAGAUUAUUAUGAUGAUUGCUUAUUUUCAAACGACUUGAUAAGAAGUCAUCUAAAAAAGAAAUUUUAUUGAAGAAUGUGCCUCAUUAAAAUAAAAAAAUUUGCUUGCCAAUAUAUUCCUUAGGGACAAAAAAUGAAUUAUGAAAAAAAGUACAUCAUUCUUUUAACAAGUUUCAAUUAUAAUACAUCUUCAAAUGAGGUGCAUUUCCAUGUUCUUGGUAUAAGUCUGUCAUUUAAUUAUUUGAGUUUGUAAGCUCCAUUUUGAAAGGAAUCGACUACUUGGAAUAGACCCUCCCAGUUGGAUGCUAAUUUCUUUCAUGCUUGUCUUUUCAGGCCUUUGUGAAAAAUUUGUUCCUUGACGUGUGUAUUGAAAACCUGGGCUGCCCUAUUCGUUGCAACUUCCUCCUUUUUCGUGUUUCUUCACAUAUCUCAAGUACAAAGUCUAGUUCAACCCUUAGGUUGUCAUUAUUAUUAUUAUUCUCAUAAGAACUAUGCUUUCACCGUUCGAUUUCUCCAAGCUCGAUCAAGAUCGUUGCAUCCAACCCACAUGUUAAUCAGAAUGGUGUCUCCCUUGUAGAUGAUUGGAAGGUGCAAUGAUAACCUCAAAAUAUGUUGGCUAUUUCUUUGGCACAAAGACCCUUAGCCUGCCCAAGCUUUUUCUUGAGUUCAUUUAGUAUAACCUUGUUAGAUACUUUUGUCUGACCAUUACUUUAAGGGUGCUCAUGGAUGGAAUUGGAUGUUUUAUGCUAAAAUACUAAAACAUUGCUAAAACUCCUUGUCUAUAAAUUGUUGACCCAUAUCCUAGAUACAAAGAUGUAUCAACAUAAUAAUAUAAAUCAAAUCAACUGUAUCCAAGAUAUAUAGAGAUGUAUCUUAUGCAAAAUCAAAUCAGAUCAUGCGCACUUGUAUAACUUGGAUAUGUUGCACACUUCUAAUUUCUUGAACAUCAAAACAAUUUAUGAAAAUAUUUUUUAAUCUAAAUUAGUUAUUAAUUACAAUUAUUGUUGUGUAUUGCACUAGUCGUCCGAGAGAUGAUAAUUACUUACUACUUGAUAUUAUGUGAUUGAUACACUUGUCAUUGAACUAAUCAUGCUAACAAUAUUCAGUAAUCAAUUGUAUCUUCUAUUUGUUUAAAUAUAUUUUGAAAUACUUCAACCUAAGUCCAAAAGCCUAUAAAUACAAAUAAAUCUCAAUAAGUUCUCUCAUUUUUCUCUUACUCAUUUUUAUACUCAGUAAUUUCUCUAAUUCUUAUAAACUUGAACGAUAAAAAAUAUUUUUGCAGAUUAACUAUCUCUGGAAAUUCAUCAACAACUCAGCUAUCUUCUACCUUAAAAAGCCGCACUCCUUACAAGAUUCAUUACUUGAACAAAAGAGAGUAUUUUGACAAACUGUUUGUUAAUACAAAUAUAGUUUAUACAUAAUUGAGCAGUAAGAAGAAUAAAGGUAUAAAAUUCAUUAGUUGAAUGCUGAAAACGAAUGAUGAUAAGUAACGACAUGUCAGACAGGAAUUCAAGUGAACCACGCCAUUUGGUAAUGGAUGUCACUGUUGAAAUAGGCAAGGCACCUUUAUUUCUUGAGACCUACUUUAGUAUAUUGGCUUUGACGAGACAAAGAGUUGUGGACCUUCUUGGUUUUUUCCUCUCAUCUAAGAACCAAAGUUGGUGAUCCAUAGUGCAAUGAAGAACGUUGUUGGUUGAUGUUGGAGAAGAAAUGAAGAGUUGAUGAGCUUGUUUGUGUCUUAGUAAUUGGAAAGAAUAAUGCACAAAAUGAUGGUCUUCGAGUAGGAUGUACACUCUCUUCCAUUAUAUAAAUCAUCCAAUUCCUUUCUCUUCCUUUAUAUCCCAGCAUUUAGUGCUUUCCUCUUCACCAAUCCAUUCCUUUUUUUCUUUCCUUCUCAACAUACUUAGCUUAUCAUCACAAACUAUAAUCAAUAAUCAAGUUGCUAUGACUACAAAACUUCUAUGCUUAUAUCCAUAGUAUAAAUUUUAUUUCUUAUUAAAAAUAGUUACAUCACUCUUUUUCUAUUAAUUUUUCUUAGUUUUCAUGACUUCAUUUUCAUUUUUUUUUCUUUUAACUCUGUAUCUUUCUUUUUAUUACACAUAAAAUGUUAUCUUAUUUCUCAUAUCCUCCACUCUCUGUCUCAUCUUGUUUAUCCUUUUCUACGUGACUAUCUUGUCUGCAUGACCAAUCCUCAUCACUACCUUCUCUACUAACAUCCUCAUCACAUAAAAUUUAGUGACUUGGUUGAAUAGAAUUUAAAAAAGAAACGCAGGCUUAUUGCGCGAAAGAAUUGAAACAAUAUUAAAUGAACAUAUGAAAGAUUACACGAGUAUUUUUAUUUUUUUUUCUUUUUUUUCAACAAAGAAAGAAUGAAUAAAUAGAAAGAUUUUAGAAAUACUCCAUUCUUAUUAAAAAAAAAGACAGAAAACACUCAUAAAAAAAAAUCAUAACACGUAUUGUCAUACCACUACAAGAAAAUCAUGAAAUAGAAACUAAUUUUAGAAAACAAAAAUAAUUAGUUAGUGAUUAAAUUAGAGACCAUUUUAGAAACUAAGAAAAAUUUUGAUUUUUAAAUUAGUUUCUAUUAUUGUUAAAUAGUUUCUAAAUUUGUAUCUAAUUAGCUACCAAAGUUUUAACUACCAAUUAUUUAUAUUCUAAAUUUGAUAGCAAAAACCUUGGUGGGCUAAUUAGAUAACAAUUUAGAAACCAUUUAACAAUAAUAAAAACUAAUUUAGAAACCAAAAUUUUUUUUUAGUCUCUNNNNNNNNNNNNNNNNNNNNNNNNNNNNNNNNNNNNNNNNNNNNNNNNNNNNNNNNNNNNNNNNNNNNNNNNNNNNNNNNNNNNNNNNNNNNNNNNNNNNNNNNNNNNNNNNNNNNNNNNNNNNNNNNNNNNNNNNNNNNNNNNNNNNNNNNNNNNNNNNNNNNNNNNNNNNNNNNNNNNNNNNNNNNNNNNNNNNNNNNNNNNNNNNNNNNNNNNNNNNNNNNNNNNNNNNNNNNNNNNNNNNNNNNNNNNNNNNNNNNNNNNNNNNNNNNNNNNNNNNNNNNNNNNNNNNNNNNNNNNNNNNNNNNNNNNNNNNNNNNNNNNNNNNNNNNNNNNNNNNNNNNNNNNNNNNNNNNNNNNNNNNNNNNNNNNNNNNNNNNNNNAGUACCAAACUCCCAGGUAUCUAUAACAAAUUCAUCCACAAUACCUGAAACAAACAUCUGAAAAAUAAUAGAAGUAGUUAUACAAAAGACAGAGUAACAUCUGAAAAAGAAUAGAAGUAGCUAUACAAAAGACAGAGUAGAACCUAUUAACACAUAAAAGACUCUGAAAAGAAUAAAAGUAGUUAUACAGAAAGAUAGAGUAGAACCUAUUAACACAUAAUUCUGUAGUUUUUUUUAUCGGCAACCCCUUUCAAGUACUAUUUUUCGUUACUUUUUCUUAUCAGCAAGAAAGAAUGAAUAAAUAGAACCACUUCAGGAGUGAUUCAACCCUUAUACAAAACAGUAGAUAAAGGCAAACCAAACCUUACAGACCACUCCCAACAGGAAAAACAAAACCACCACCUAUCAUAAAAUAACAGACACCUAACUCUACUUAAAACAACUACACUAGCAACCCAACCUGGCAAAGCAAAACAACAACAACUUCACCAACCACCAAACACCCCACGCAAACAUCCAACCAAAGAUUAUCAAAGUAAAAUAAAUUACAUCAUAUUUAGACAAGGCAAAGGAGCAAGACACCAAUCAGAGAAGAAAAUUUGAGUAGUGUGAUUCUUAGAAGUAACCCGAAACCAAGCCUUUAAUUGAGGCAAAGAGAAAAUUUCUGAAUGAUCCACCACUCUACCAUUGAAGGUGACCUUAUUCCUAUGGCUCCAAAUUUUACUUACCACAGUAAUCCAUACACUCUCCAAAACAGAGUUAACAAAUGUAAUGCAUUAUAGAUAGAAAACUGAAUGAAAUGUGAGAAGGAAUCAAGAUGGGUAAUCAUCAACACCAAACCUAACCAUGUAAAGCAUUGAUUCCGGACUAACCAAGCUAUUCUACAACCAAAAAACACAUAAUUGGUAGAUUCCUCUUGUGCACCACACAUACAACAUAGAAUACUUUAAACCGCAACCCCACGCCUAACCAAAUUCACUUUAGUAGUAAUUUUGUUUUCCAACACCCUCCAUGCCACUAUUUUGUAUCAUUUUCCUUAGACUUUGAUUUUGUUCUAGUACAUAACAUAGUUUCCCAUAAUUUAGGAGUAAAAAUUAAAGAUAAUUUAUAUAUUUUUUAAAUUUAUAAAUAUAUUUUUAAAGACAAAAUUGUAAUUGAAUUUUUUAGUUUCAAAAUACCUUAAAUAUAAUAUAACAAUUGAUGGUAAUGAUGUUAUGAAAAUAUUUAUGAGAGAAUUGUUCUUAACAUGACUUGACAACUCAUCUGCAUCAUAAUUAGUAGCAGCCUCCACUUGCGUCAAUCUGCAGCAGCCCUCCAACAUAAAAAGAAAAGAAGCUGUUGUAUGAUCCAAUAACAAAAAUAAUGCAGAAGUGGUAAACUCUCACAAUCCCAAUAACAACUCCAAUUUCUACAGCAAUUUGCACUUUAAUUAACACCUUGUUGAAGAUUAUGUACUUGUAUAUUAUAGGAUCAUGGCUCUCGAAAUUGUUUUUGAUAAUUCUACACCUAAAUCUUCAGACCUAUAUUAUGGUAUGAACUAUUUAUUUGGUAACUACCUAAUGGGAGGAGAAUGUACCUUAUCCUUUACCUGUUUUGUUAUAAAAAUUUCUUUGGAAAUCUUUCUUUUCAAGUAUGAGAUAAUGAUUAGUAUCUUUACACAGUUUAAAAUCCCGUUUAGGUUUAAGAGGUUAAAUCCGUCGCCUUUUAAUAAACGACUAAAUCUAAACCUGUUCUAAUAUUUAAUAUUUGCAAAUAUAGUUUCUUAAAUAAUUAAAUAUAUUAAUAAAACACUUUUGUAUCAUGUGAUAAUAUAUUUAAAUUGAAGUAUAUAUUGCAAACUUUAUUAGUAAUUAUAUUUUUAUGAUAUUACGCUUUUAAUUAUAUAAUAUUAAUUUGAUACUAUAUAUUAUUAAUACUUUUAAUAUUAUUAAUAUCAUUCAUAUUAUUAAUAUCUUUAAUAUAUUAAUAUUAUUAAUAUAUUAAUAUUAUUACAAUAUAAUUUUUAAGUAUUACGUACAAUGACAAACAAAUUAUAUUAAUAAUAUAAAUAAUUAAAAAAAAAAUUGAAAACUAACCUAUUUAUGUAUGAAGUUAAGUAUAUAUGUUUUUAUGAGUCACUCAUCUAUGUUUGUAAGUAUUGUUAGAUCCGCACUUUUGUGUUUCCAUUGAGACUCAACAAAUUCAUAUACUUUUGGAAGUAUCUUCUUUAAUAACUCUAACCAUUUUGUAAAACUUUUAUUUGUCCAUCAAUUUCUACUUUUAAAUUGAAUAAUCUUAAAGUUGCUAACAAUUUUGCUAAAUUAUUCUAUCUUGGAUUCAAUUUUUGUUCCAAAUUAGACUUCUAAGAAUCAUAAACAUGUGCUCUUUCAAAAUGUUAUUUGUAAACAUCACAUAUCAUCCCCUCUAAAUGAUCAUUCUUCUAUUUUUCAAAAUUUUAUAUUUUUUACAUAGUUUGUGUCAUGUUCAUAUGACAUAUUCUUGACAAUACAAAAAAUAAACAAGUUAUAACGCAUUUCUUCAAGUUCCUGACAUAUCUGAUUCAGACAACAAAUAAUAUAUCCCCUUGAUAUGAUUUUUAUUUUUUCAAGUAAAAUGUCACUACAUAAAAAAUUGGAUUUACCGACGGAUUUUUACCUAUGGAUCUAAAUCCGUAGGUAAAUUUAGCAUUACUUACGAAUAUUAUCUAUGAAUCUGAAUCCAUAGAUAAAUUUAGCAUUAUCUACGAAAUAUUACCUACAAAUAUGAAUUCGUAGGUGAAUUCAACAUUACCUACAAAUUACAUUACAAGAAAUUUGCAUUAUAUACAGAUUUGGAUUCGUAUGUAAAGUGAGUGUUACAUACGGAUCCAAAUCCAUAUGUAAAGUGCGCAUUACAUACGAAUUUUUACAUACGGAUCCAGAUCUGUAUGUAAAGUGAGCAUUACAUACGGAUCCAGAUCCGUAUGUAAAGUAAAUGUUACAUACGGAUUUUUACAUACAAAUCCAGAUCCGUAUGUAAAGUGAGCAUUACAUACGAGUUUUUACAUACGGAUCCAGAUUCAUAUGUAAAGUAAGUGUUACAUACUGAUUUUUACAUACAAAUCCAAAUUCGUAUGUAAAUUGAGCAUUACAUAGGAAUUUUAACAUACAGAUUCAGAUCUGUAUUAAAGUAAGUGUUACAUACCGAUUUUUACAUAUGAAUCUAGAUGUUUAUGUAAAGUGAGCAUUACAUACGGAUUUGGAUUCGUAUUGUUCUUGAUGAGAAUUAAAAACCAUGAAAAAACUAAAAUAUAAAAAUAUAAAAGAAGUUCAUAGAGAAUUGAAAUAAUUUUAAAAUUUAUUACGUUGUUAGAAUUAAAUUAGAAAAGUAAUUUGAGUUUAAUUAUUUUUUUAAUUUAAAUAAAGAAAAAUUAUAAUAUUAAAAUUAUAAAAAAAAAUAAAAAAAAUAAAAAUAAAAAUAUUAGUAUCAAUAAUAAUAUUUCAUAUUAAUUGUCUCCAUCUAAAUCAUAUUAGAAUUAUAACACCUUGGGCCAUAUGUGUUGUAAUCAUUAAAAAAACUAAAAAUAAAAUUAGAUGCGGCAUGAAUUGUAUGAAGCGGAAAUAAUUACAUAUAAAUUGUAUCCGUAUAUAAAGUAUUACAUAUAAAAUAUUUUUAAUAAUUACAAUAAUAAUAAUAUUGAUAUUAAUGAGAAUAUUAAUAUUAAUAUUUUUAUCAAUAAUAAUAAUAUUAUUAUUAAUAUUUAUAAUAUUAAUUCUUAUGAUUUAGAAGUGUCUCACGUCUACAUAUCUUACAACUAUAAUCUAAGAAAAUGACCAUCACAAUGGCAUAAGAACUACAAAGAAAGUACGUAAAGAAUAUAUAGAAUUUAUUGUGAUGCACUUAUAAAGCUUUUCAUCCAUUUUCCAAUGCAAUACGAAACUCUUUGUGGUACUACUAGACCCUGUCUUAGUGUUAUAACCGAAGAAACAAAAGGGGACUCAAUAAUGUGGUUUUCCCUCUCCUUUUCGCGUGUGAAGAAAAAAGCAAAUUCAUUUUGGUUAUCUUAACGUUUUGUCCUUUAUCUGAGUCAUGCCAUACAUGAGGUUCUGGUCACUAUAAAUUUUGACUACUUUUGUGGAUAGAUAGAUUAUCUACAAAUUAUGGGUUUCUAUGAAUCAUUCAUUCACGUCGUCACACUGUCGAUGCUUUUACUUUCUUUGGAUCGCUAUAUGUACCAUUAAUUCUACCUCUUCUACAAUUCAAUUCAAUGAUUUAUAUUCUAAAAUACAUUUUUUGUUGGAGAAUAGCUUUUUAUCCAAUUAACAGAUAUGAUUUCAUGAACACUCAGAAAGAGUUGCUCUCUUUUUGGUGAACAAAAGCUAUAUAGCAGUGAAUUAUUACAUUAAUUUCAUGAAUUUUAUUUUAGACUUCAUUAGCUGUGGCUGUCUUAAGAUGUCCAUAUUCACUUGGUGGGUUUCUUUUCCAACUUUUUUUUUAUGUAUAUCUGAAAAAUAGCAUAUCUCCUUGAUACCAUUUCAACACGGCAUGCCAGUUACUGCUUUGUAAUGUUUAUAUAUAUAUAUAUAUAUAUAUAUAUAUAUAUAUAUAUAUAUAUUUGUUAAUUUUUCGAAUUCAAAUAUGAUGAUAAAAUAACAUCUUUAGAUAUUAUAUAUCAUAGUUUUGUUAUGAAAAGAAAUCUCUACAAAUUAAGAAAUGUUUGCCUUGUGAAAUUUGAGUGAAUAGUAACAGUUAAUUAUUCACUCUGACAAAAUUUAUGCACCCCAAAUUAUAUUAACCAACCAAUAUAUUGCCCAUAAUUCACCAUGACUAUUGAUAGAGUCAUUGUAGAACUAUUUAUGAGACCAUAAAGGCUCAAUAAUUUGCAAACACACACAAAGCUUGACUGCACAUUAGAAAGUGCAUUUCGUAUUUGACCACCUCAAAUAAAGUUACAUUAACAUACUUUUAACAAAAUGUCACCUUUGCAGCACAUACUUUGCUCAAUCAUUCACUAAAAAAAAAAAAAAUUGUUUUAAUGGAAUUUAUUUUUUAUAUUAUUUAGGUUUAAAAUCUCUACUAAGUUAUUUAUCUAGGUUACAGUUUCCACUAAACUAUUAUGUUUUUUUAAAUCUUAGGAAAAGUCUUUCAGAAUCCCUGUUAAAUACUAUGAGUUUAAGAACCUCCGUAAAAUAUCAUGGGUUUCGAAAGCUCCGUAAAAUACCAUGAGUUAACUAUCCUCCUGACUUCUCUCUUCCACCGUAGACACACUGCUCUCCAGCUCAGGCUCAAUGACCGCCGACGGUUCCUAGCAAGGAAUCACAAUUCAACCUCACUUAUGUAUAUUAUAUCUAAGGAAAAGAAACACUAAAUAAGACAUCAUCUUCUUCUUACUCCAAUAUUUCUUCUUCUAUCACCUUACUGCCCCAACUUGGGUCAUAAGUCAUUAUUACCUAACUCGGCAACAACUGGUGUUUAUCACUACUUUAUAUAUCUUAAAUAAUUGCAUUAUUUAUCAUAUGUGGGUUUCAAAGUCAUGUGUGUUCUUGUCUAAAGAUGCAAGAACAUAUUACGAGGAUAAAUUAAAUUUAUUAUUUCUCACUUUCACAGUGAAUUAAUUAUUAUAUAAAUUUUAAAUUAAAGGUCGUAAUUUAAAAUAUUUCAAAAUUAUGAUAAUUAAAUAUUAAAAAUUAUAACUAAAACUAAGAUUGCAUAGAAAAUAUACGUAAAUCAAAAGUUAAAACAAAAUAAGUUAGGGUUUUUUUGAAGUAUGAGCUCGUAACAAAAGAAAACUAUGAAUUAUAUAAACAAACUACCAUCAAUCAUAAGAAAUAUGCAAAUACUAUUGAAGUACUUAUUAUCCAAGAUUAGUUCUUGAAAUACUUAUUAUCCAAGAUUAUUUUGCUGAGUUUUUAAAAAUAAAUUUGUGAAACUUUAAAAAACUUAUUUAUUUGUAUGUAAAGUUACACUUUCAAAAUUUUAUAGAAUUUAGUUAUAAAAUAUAUUAAAAUUAUAUAAUUUUUAAUUAUUUAUGUAUAAAGAGAUUUCAUUAUAUUUUUUUAAAAAAAUUUGAAAAAUCUGGAAUGUUUUAUUGAGGUUCUACGAUAAAUCUUUAGAAUUUAAUGAAUGUUAAAAAAAACCUCUGUUAUUUUGUUGAAAUUUUAGAAUAAACCUUUGAAACUUAACAAAGGUUAAAAAGAUUUUCAUUAAUUUGCUGAGGUUAUAGAAUAAACCUUUGGAACUUACUCAAAGUUAAAAAAUAACCUCCGUUUUUUGCUGAUGUUUUAGAAUAAACUUUUGGGAUUUAAUGAAGGUUAAAAACCUCCGUUAUUUUGCUGAGGUUUUAGAAUAAACCUUUAGAAUUUAAAGAAGGUUAAAAAACAUAUGUUAUAUUACUAGGAUUUUAAAAUAAAUCUUUGAAAUGUAAUGAAGGUUAAAAAAACCUUCGUUAUUUUGGUGAGGUUUUAAAAUAAACAUUUGAAAUUCAACGAAAAUUAAAUAAAUCUUCUUUUUUUUUAGGUUUUAGGAUAACUUUUGGAACUUAACAAAAGUUAAAAAAAUCUUUCUUAAUUAAAUCAAUUCCUAAGAUUAUAUUAAACUCUGCUAAAUAAUAUCCCGUUAAAACUUUUUUUUCUUUGUAGUGAUUCCUUUUUUUUUUCUUCAUACAUUCUUAAAAAAAUGGGGCAAAAUUAAUUUACUUUUUCUUUGAAAGAAAAAACUUUAGAUUAAUUAGUUCAAGCUCAUUAGAAUUAGAGUUAAGGUUUCUAACUUAAUAUUUAUAAUGAUACUUAUAUAUACUAUGUAUUAAUUAAUUAAUAACAUCUACAAAUGAGACUUGAAAUUAUACUUAUUUGACAUAUGAGUUGAGCCCUCAUCAAACAUUAGCUGAAUAUACACAUAUCUGUCUGCAUUUGGUGAAUAUAUAAAAUUUGUCUUUUGAUUAGUGGGGUUGCCCCACCGUUGCCUCCAAGAUAGAGAACUUUCAUCCAUAAAUACCCUUCUUUGUUAGCGUGUGUCCUCCACAUCAUCCAUCAGUUAUCUCUUCCUCAACCUUUUUCAUGGCAUCUGAUCACUCAUCCCUUAACCAAACCAAAUUAGGGCUUCCAAACAAUGACCUUGAGCAACAACAAACUCUGGAGGCUGAAACUGAGGACUUUGAUUACUCAAAGCGAUCUCAGUGGCUACGUGCUGCUGUCCUAGGAGCCAAUGACGGGUUGGUCUCAACAGCAUCCCUAAUGAUGGGUGUGGGAGCAGUGAAGCAAGACAUCAAAGUUAUGAUCCUAACAGGGUUUGCAGGGCUAGUGGCUGGGGCAUGCAGCAUGGCCAUAGGGGAGUUUGUGUCUGUGUACUCGCAGUUGGACAUAGAAGUUGCUCAGAUGAAAAGGGAUAAUGGAAGAAACAAUGGCAGACACAGAGAUGAAGAGGAAGAAGAUGAGAAGGAGAAAGAGAGUUUACCAAACCCUAUACAUGCUGCAGCAGCCUCAGCUUUAGCAUUUUCAGUUGGUGCACUGGUGCCUCUUCUUGCAGCCUCUUUCAUAAGGGAGUAUAAGGUGAGGUUAGGUGUGGUUUUGGGAGCAGUGAGCUUUGCUCUUGUGGUGUUUGGUUGGCUGGGGGCAGUGUUGGGUAAGGCUCCAACAUUGAGGUCAUGUGUGAGAGUGUUGGUUGGGGGUUGGGUAGCCAUGGCCAUAACUUUUGGACUAACCAAGUUGAUUGGGUCAAGUGGUCUUUAGUUAUGAAUAUACAUGUUUCUCCUGGUGAAGUGUGUUUUGCUAAGUAAUGUCCUUUCAUCACCUUUCUCCAGAGUCCCCUCAUUUUGCUUUUCAUAAUAAACCAUUUGAGGUGAGACCACGUGAAUACAACAAAGUUGGCAUGCCAAUAAUCUAGCAUUUAAAGCUGUAUCACAACACAACCUUGUAUACAUGUAUUGUUGUUUAUGUAUUAAAAAACCAAAAGGUUAUUGCUUCUUCUCCUUUCACUGCAAAACCUGCAAUUUAUUAAUGCAUGCAUCAUUAUGCAGAGUUAAUUUAGUCAAAUUAUAAUCUAUUUCAUUUGAAAUAAUUUGAAAUAGGUUGUAAUUGAACUAAAUUAAAAGUAAUGAUAUGUAAAAUUCAUGCACUAGAUUGUAAUUAGAAAAAAAAUUAAUAAAAUGGAACAACUUUAAAAUUGCAUGAACGAAAUCACAUUUUGAAUUGAUGUUCUUCCAUUUGCAUUUCUCAAACUAACAUUUUCCAUAUAAUUAUUGCUAAUAGAAAAUUUAACCCAUAACAAAAAGAAAAAAAAUUGUAUGUAUCAAACUCGAGUUUCAAGAAAAACUCCUAGAUCUUACAAGAAAAAGAAAAUUUAUUUUCUUUGCAAGCUAUUUUAUCCUAGUUUUCCAUUUGCAAAUUGGAUGUGGAUAAGUUUUAUAAAAGAAAUUAGUUUUAAAAAUGCUUUAAAAGUAAAAGAAUAAAAUAACUUCUCAUAAAUUUCAUUUUAAAAUCUCUUAUUUUUACACUCUAACUAAAGGGGCAAACAAAUUGUGUAGGUUAUUUCAGUUCCAUAUGGUAAUUUUAAUGGCUGAUUUUUUUUUACUUGUAUUUACAACUUCAACCGUUACAGUCUUGAACACAAGUAAAUCAAAAUUAAAAUUUAUUUAUUGAUAAACCUUGGUUACUUGCACACCUUAAUUUAAUUUUAAUAUAUAUAAUUGCAAAAUAUCAUUGCAAUAAAAAUUAGUUUUAGAAACUAAUUUAUUAAUUUCUAAAAUAUAAAAUUUUUCAUUAAUAUAAUUAGAGACUAAUUUAAAAUUUAAAAUAGUAAAUAUCUAAAAUUUUGAUAAUUAAUGUUAAAUAUCAGUUUAAAAAUUAUUUUAUAAAUUUUUAUUAAUAAUAGAAACUAAUUUUAAUAUUAAUAAUUUUUAAUUUAUGAAAUAGUAUCUAAAUUAAUAUAAUGAUUAAUUUUUUUUGUUUUUAAAUUAAUUGAUAUUUAAUCAUUUUGUUAUAGUAUAUCUUGACAAACUUUCCUUUCCUGGCCUAAAAUGUCAUAUAUUAAUAAACUCAUUAUUGAAUAUUCAAAUUCUAUUGAUUAAUUAUUAACUUGCAAUAAAGAAUUAAAUGAAAUUAUUAUUUUUUAUUAGUUAAACAAUGCUUCUUCAGUGAAGCUGCGAAGGACAACUUAGUGGUUCAGUUAUAUCGAUCAAGAAUGGAAUAGCAAAAUGCGGCCGCGAUGGUUUCUUCUCGAGGAUUCAAAAGCUUAAUAUUUCCUUUUUUGAAUCGCAGUUGUUUGAUGAUUGUACUUAUGCUUAAUUAAAUUUUAACUAUUUUGUAGUUUACUUUUUAUUUUAUUAAGUAUUUUAAAAAAUUUGUUAUCUUAUAGAUAUUUUUAUUUGAGUUUUUGUAAUUUUUAUUGACAAAAAAUAAAUUUAAAUUUAAUAAAAAGAGAAGCACUUAAUAAGUGUCCAAACCCUUAGAAAAAUGUUGUAAAGGACCAUGAGGUUUGCUCUACAUAGCAAAAGAAAAACCUCAACACCAAAAAAGAAAAGCAUAGCUCCAAAGAGUGUAACACAAAAAAAAAAUCAAUGCCACUCACUUAUCCACGUACUGAAAGGUUGAACCUGAACAAAAUCAGACUGUUUCUCCUACACCAUAUCAUUUAUGAUUUGCACCCAACACACUCACAUCAAAUGUCUAUUUUUUUUUAAUGAUUUUAAAUUUUUACCUUCCGAAUAUUCAUAUCCGUAAGUCAAAUUACAAAAUUCCAGAUAUACAAAUCCAGAACUAAUCCAUAAGCAAACAUAAAUGAGUUUCAUAUAUCAAUUCUCAGCAUCAUUUACAACACACAAUUCUAGAUAUAAAAAUUUAGAACUCAUUAUUCACUUUCAGAUAUAACCAUCCGGAAGCUUAAAUAAAAUAUAAAAAUGACCUUUCAGAUUUUAAAAUCCAGAAUGUAUAAAAAUGACUUCCGGAUAUUGAAAUCUGUAAGCAAAUGUGUAAAAAGGACAAAAUAGAAUUUUAAAUUUUUUGUUGGGUGCAAUUCAAAAUUGAUUGGGUGCUUGCCACAAAAUCACUAAAGCUGCACCGGAUCCCUACUUCUCCACCUUCUUCUUGCCUCAUCUUACCUAGUCCUUCCUUCCAGGACUAAGCCCACAAAAUAUACACCUACCCCAUUCUUUGACAUACCGCAAUACAUCAGAUAAGAUUUAAGAUCAAUACAUGAUUUGAUUGAGUAUAGAAAAAAACUGUUAACAUUUUCUUAUUUGUCAUCAUGACUAGACUUUUAAAUGUGUUAACGUAAAAAACCUAAAUAUGAUUGAUUUUACCUUUUUCAAAAAUUACUUUAUUUCUCUUCUUUCAAAUCUACCCUAUCAGUGUAAUUCACAUACAAUCCCGUUCUCUAUUCACAUGUUGAUUCGCCAGGUUUUCCUUUCUUAUGUGUGUUUGCUUUCUUAGUUUCCUUUUAUAACUCACCAAUUAAGUCUUGAGGGAAAGAAGAAGUUAACUAAUGAAGUAAAAGAAGUGAGAGAAUGAAGGAGUAAAUUGACAAGUGAGUUAGAAAUAUUAAAAACAAAUCAUGAUAAUCACGUCAUUUUAUUGAUGACAAAAAUCAAAACAGUAAGUUAUUUAGAUAAAAAUAAAAAUAUUUUGAACACUCAAUAAAAAAAAUUAAUAGAAAUUUAAUGAAUAAAUACUUAAAUUUAUGAUAUAUUUCAUAUUUAAUUAAACUUAUUUUACAAAUGUUUUAGGCGUAUGUAAUUUUAAAUUUCCAUAAUUUUACCUUUUCUGAUAUUUAUGUUGUGAUCUACGAAAAUCCUGUAUAACAAGCUAAUAACAAGACACAUUUCUCUCCCUUAUUUCAUACUCCAACAAUUUAAUAAUACAAGUGCAAAAGGUUGCUUCAAUAUAUUGUGUCCCGGGGUUUUGUUCAACCAAAACAUAGCACUUGAUAUGAUCAGACAAAAUCUCUUUCACUGGGAAGUGUGUAACUUUGAUCCCGCUAGAACAGAAACUAGUGGAGAUUGUUGUUAGAUUAUGCAGAUGCAGAAAAUAGUGUAUCAAGCCAGGUGCUGCCACCAGCUUAAAUGAUUGUGGAAAGGUUCCACGUCGAGAGAUUGGGUGUCAAGCACAAUAAAAUAGGAAUGAAGAAGCCGAUGGAAUUAGGAAUGGACAAAAUUUUCGUAUUCAGCAAAGAACUACGACAGAAAUUAACCCCAAAAACACAAGAAUGGGGUGACAGCAAAAUGUGGUGAUGUACAACAGAGGUGCAGAGUAUUUCACACGACCCGAGAACAGCUCUAAAUUAUAUAACUAUUAAAUAAAUGCUGAGAUGUCAGGUUACCCUACCCAACAACACUUAUAAAUGCUAAAAUGGCAAACCAAAAGUUCUAAGUGAAGAUUCUCCACCAUUGAUUUGAAAAUAAAUAAAUCUGACGGCCCUAAUAUACGCCGCGUGGGAGAUAUGGGUAGCUAUCCCAUGCUUCACCGUAUCAACAUAUGCAAACACAUGACGUGGCUUAGUUGAAUCUUUGGCCUUAAUACCAGUUUCCACAACCAAAUGCUUGGUUGUAUGGAACACCAAAAGGAUAUAUAACUCCCGAAAAAUAAAGUGCCUAUGACUAUAAAUGUAAAAAAAUUGUACAGAACACUCGUAAACCAAAAGUUAAUCAAUUUUUUAGUCAAAUUACUCCCGAAAAAUUUUCCUUUUCCUCACUGAACUGCAUUUGGAACCCUUAUUUGCUUCCAUGUAUACCACAGAUAUGUAUAUAAAUAUGAUAGUAAUUCACAAAAUUUUGACCUUGCCAGUUACACUUUCCGCACCCUUUAGAUCUGAGCUUCCCACCGGACAAAGCAUUGGAGUCUCGUAUGUUACUAUUUGCCUCUCCAUGGCACAGCGCCAUCCACCUGAAUCUUUGUAUCAUCUAUACUGGUCUCCAUGGGGAAUCUCACCGCAUCCUCAACAAAUCCUUAAAAGCGUUGCAUAAAUCCAAACAUUCGCCACAAAACCUUGUUUUUCGGAAUUGAAUACUUAAGCGCCCGCACAUGAAGUCUCCUCAUUGUAUCUUGAAAAGAUUCUUCAAUUUCACAAGCAACCUCCAUUCCUCCAUAGAUAGUUCAUCCUAUAUCCAUCAACAGAUGUAACUUAGACACAUUUUCAACUAAAUCAUAAACAGUUAAAUACAUUUGCUCAUGAUGCUUGUUAUUGCAGACUUACCCGAUAAUUUGCUUUGAGAAUAUCAAUAGAUCUCCGUGAAAUAUGGCUUACAAGUUCAUCGUCGAUCUCAAAAUGUCUCCCAAACAUUUUCUGUUGCUCUUCAGAAUUGCUGCCAACAAUCUGUAAAACAAAUUGGAGACUUACAGUAAGGUUGCCGCCACCAAGAAUACCCAAGGCAAAUCAUUCCAUUUCUCCCUAUUAUCCCCCCUCCAAACUUUUCUCUCACCAUUUUCUCAACAGCCAUCGUGUCUAAUUAUUGAUCAUGACUAAAUCGUGUAAAUGGGAUAUGAAAUUUUGUCAACGUAAUAAAACUAUUACACUUCAAAUAAAUUUAAAACAGACAUUAAUGAUCUUUUCCUUUUGACAUGUACAACUUACAUGUAGAAGCUUUUUGGUUCUUGUUUAAAACAAAGGCUUCUUCUAAUCAAUAUUUCAAAUUCCAUUUUCAUUGUUAUAAAUUUGAGAGUUAGGAGAGGUUCAUUAUAAAGGAUUUAAUUUCAGUCCAAGAACAUACCUUAAUGGCUACUUUCUGCCCCUUCUUGGCAUAAUCAACAGGUUUAUGGUUAUUCUCAAUGGAGGCAAUGCGACCAAUAUCAAUGAACUCUCUAGAAGGAAUGCAAAUUGGAGUCCCAAUCUGUCAAAUGGACAAAUAUUAGAUGCACAUUAAAGAAUCAAAACAAUUACCUUUGUGCAACAGGCUUCACAAAAUACCCGUCAUUAAACAUCAUAAACUCAAGCUAAAGAUGAUCUUCAAUGGUCAGAAGAGAGAUCAAUCCGAGAAAUGUUCAAAGCAUUUAGAAGUUAAAAUUAAACUAACUGCUGCUUGGUAAGGGUCAAAAGUCACAUUCGGCUCAUUUUCAUGCUUAAAAGAGGGAAAAUUUAUGGGGUGGAGCAUAAAUAAGUAGCAUUCCACUUCCACUUUUUCAAUACUUGUUGUACCAACUACCGAGCAUGUGUGAAACAAAUUCCAUGCAUAAAUUUCCACCUCACAUUAUAAUUACUCAAACCACAGCCUAGAUUAUACAUGGCACAGAGAAAUACAAUUGCUAAUUCCUUUGUCAAAAAUAGAUUUAAAACGAAUACUAAAACUGCUGGAUUCACUCCAGCCAAAAAGGACAUCGCCCUUUUGUGAAGAAAACAGUUAUUAACCAGAUAAUUGCAACCAUAUAAAAAAUCCCUCAAUAAAAAAUAACAAUACCUUCGCAAUUCCUUCAAGAAUAUCAACUCCCAAAACAAUUGGGUCCUUCUUGUUGAAAAUGCAAUUUGGUAAGAUUUUAAAAACACAUGGGAAGACUGCCUCAUCAGCAGCUUCUUUCUUUUUCUCCUCUUUGAUGUUGUCAAUAUAAGCUUUAAAUUGGUCAAAUAGAUGAUAAAUGAUAUCAGCAAUAAAUAUCUUCACACCCAAUUCAUCUGCCAGUUCCCUAGCCUCAGGUGUAACUUUGACAUCAAAUGCCAAUAUAGCUGCAUACUCUCGCUUUUUUUCAAGCAUUACACUGGCCUUCAUGACAUCUUUUUUGUGUACAGGACCAAUGCUUAUACCACUAACAGGGAUACUAACUUCUGGAGUUUUCAAAAACUCCAGUAAUGCUUCCAAGGAACCAAGGGUAGAUGCCUGUACACAAACACCUUCACCAGUCCUGUCAAUCCUGCUCAUGACUGACCGCAUAUCUUCCAUUGCUGAUUCUUUGACAUCUUCCAAAUCAUCAUCAGGCUUCACCACAUAUAAACCAGUGCCCGCAAUGGCAUGCUCAAGGCCCUGAAUGAAACACAGUAAAACCAAAGCUUAAGCAUCAUAAGCACAAGACAAUAGAAUAAAAAUAGAAAAAGAACUAUCAAUAUCACCAUGAAAUACCUGGGCAGUGAUUUUUAUACCCAUAGCAGCUUUGAUUUCUUUGUGAUGAAGAUAUGUUCCCUGAAAUUAUACCAUUAUUACUGUGUUGUGAAGUGUAAGAGAUACUAAGUAAUACUCUCUCUGCCUAGAUAGAAUUUGCCAAUAUAUAGAACACAUUACUCAGUAAACAAAUUGCUGAUGUUGAUACGAAAGGAUGAGAUAUUGACUUGCCCAAAUAUUUUUCUUGUCUAAAUUAAUCAUCUAAGACCCACCCCCCUCUGGUUUUUUAGCUCGGCUCCACCAUGUUAAAUAUAACGAUCAGUAUCUCUUCCAACACUUUUAAGAUCAUUGGAACUCAUUAAAACCAUACUUGCUAUGAAAUUAAUAAAUAAAGACCAUAAUCUCUUGCUCACAUUUAUAGUAGAUAGUUAUGCAGUAAUGUUCAAAUUUUCCUACAGGUAAAUAAAUGUGAAAUAAAGAAAGAAAUAAUUGUGUGACUAUACCUUGACACGAAGUUCCUUCAUUGGAUGAGGUGUCAAUAAAGCUCGAAUUGAGGUAACAAUUGGACCCUAUAACAAAAAUUUCAUUAGCCUUAACUAUAGAUUGGGUGCUAAAAGAUGUAGUGAGAAUUUAAGAUACUUACCUGCAUUCCACAGACAACUAUUUGUUCUCCUUCAUGAAGAACACCAUUAACUAAAACAACAUCAAUAGUAGUUCCAUGGCCUUCAACAACCUUAACCUCUAAAACAGUACACUGGUGACCACAAUAAACAAACAAUUAGGUCCAUACAGUUAAACCAUCAUAAAGUGUUACACUAACUUUAGUAUUAGGAUACAGUAAAGCUAACCUGUAUUUCCUCACUGUAUGUAAGUUUCUCAACCAUUGUUUUCUGGGUCCAUUGAACCAAUAGUAAUAACAAAUCAGGAAUUCCUUCGCCACUGAAAUAUCAAAAAGUAAAAAUAGUGUCAAUACAACAACACCCAUAUGACAAGCAGUAAGCAGACUGUGUAAGGUAACACUAAUUAAAAAGACAGUGUCUGUAAGGCAAUGUUUAGGCAUUUUCUACAUAUAGUGUUGGUGUCCACGGAUAAAUGGAAAUCUGCCCCCACUUUUCAUAUACCCAACCUCUCUUCUACCACUUUUUAGAUAAUUUCAGUCAGACCUCAAACAGUUUGAAACCAAUUUAAAACAUUAGGAAGAAGUUAAGAUUUUCUGUAACAUUCUGAAAUACUAGAAUUUAGAAGCAAUAGAUGAUGCUUCCUAAUAAUGGAAAAAAAUGUUAAAAAAGCAGAUGGACUCUUAAGAAGUAGACUUUGAGCUUAACUCAACCUUACAAAAUCGGCUUAUAAGUUGAGUUUUGCAACCACUUAUAUAUUAUGAAUAAGUCUUAUAUCUAGUCGAUGUGGAAUCUUUAACAAACUCUUCCAACGCCGAGACUAUUAAUUCGUGUAUAGAACUAUAUACUUAUGGAUGAUAUGAUAGAAUCAACAAACUCUCGCUAGGAUAAGCUUUAUAUAACUCUGACAUCAUCUUAAGAAGUACACUUUAAGUCUAACUCAACCUAACAAAAUCGACUUAUAAGGUGAGGUUUGCACUCACUUAUAUAUUAUGAAUCAAUCUUAGCUCUACUCAAUAUGGGAUCUCCAACCAAUUGAAAUUGUUUAAAACCAAUAAAAUGUUUGAUUUAGAAAGUUUGUUCUUCCAAACCGAUGACACAUGUAGUAAUAUUGACAUCAGUGUUAGUAAAAUUUAGUGUAUAUAAUUCAAUACUUUAUUAGAUAUAAACUCUCACACCCAUAAUCUAAGACUAAAUGUUUAAAAAAAAUCAUUCAGACAUCUAAUUCUCUUAGUAUUACCGCAUUAGGAAUGUUAGGUGUGUGUGAAGGAACAUGAGCCGUACAUCAGUCCCAAAAUCAUAACCCAAAAUCUAAUUCUCUUAGUAUUUUCCUUAUUCUUAAUGACAAAGGAGACAUCUACAUUCAUCAGACCAGAGAACUUGAUCCAAUGGAAACUUUCACCGCAUAAAAUAGAUGGUGAAAGACCGACUAUGUCUACCAAACAAUCCAUUGUUUCAAUUACAAUGCCAAACUUAUUUUAUUUCAGAAAGGAGGGUGAGGAGGCAGAAUAUUAUAAUUACAAGGCUACUGCAGUUACCUUAUUGCACUUGUAGGCACAAUGCUGAAAGUUUCUCCCAUUUCUUUGUUUUUAUAGUACAACUCGGUAUUCAUCCCUUGUUCUUUGAAUUGAGUAACAAUCUAGUAAUGAAAAAGAAGAAAAUUAGGUUAACAAACAAUAACAAUAGCCUGGUACAACUCACAAAGAAAUAAAAUCUUGUGCUACCUGAGUGAGCCUCAUAUUGAACUCAUUUUGAACAUCCUUAGUCUGCUGCUUCAAUGCUUUGACAAUUGGAGAAUUGCGACAUGUUUUCCAUCCAUAAAGCCUGUCAACCUACAAAGUGUCAAAGAGCAGUGGAACAAGUAUAAGCAUCACUUAUUAAAAAUACUCAAAAAAGUGUAAAGGCAGAAAUACUCACUUUAUUUAACGCAACAAUGAAUUCUGUAUUCCUCAUUUUUAAUAGAUUUAAUGAUUCUAUUGUUUGUUGCUCUAACCCAUGCAUAAUGUCAACGACCAAAAUUGCAAUAUCACAUAGGCCUGAACCCCGAGACCUCAAGUUAGUGAAAGACUCGUGUCCAGGGGUGUCAAUAACCAGUAGACCAGGAACUUUCAGCUUUGCAUCAGCUUUCAGUUCCUUCGUUCUAUCACGUAUGUUCUCAGCAGGAAAGUACGUUGCACCAAUCUGUUGUGUGAUACCUCCAGCCUCACCCUCCUGAACAUUAGUACCUCGAAUACAAUCCAGCAGCUUGGUCUUGCCAGUAUCCACAUGCCCCAUGAUACAGCAAAUUGGGGAGCGGAGGUUUUCAUCAUUAGGCUGAGGAGGAGGAGCAGCAGACUUUCUUGACCUAUUCAAGUCAGAAUCAUGCUUCUUAUUUCUGUCCGUAACCACAACAUUAGCUUCCUUUCCAUUUUCAGUUUCAUCAGUGACAGUUGUACUAGUAGCCCCUGUUGCAUAGGAGAAAAACAAAGAUAACUUUUACAUUAGAAGGAAAGUAGUUACAAGUAAAGAAUAAAAGUGUAAAACUUCAUUAGGGAAACAAAAGUACAAGUAAACAUCCAUUCACACAACCCCUUUCUAUACUGGGAGACACACAAUAGUAACAAGUAACAACCGAACACAUAGCAGAGGGAAAUAUACUAGUGUCAAUCAAACACCAUCUGUUUUAAUCUAAAGCAAAGGUGGAUAUAAAACUACUAAAUCUUAUCAUAUACCAGAAGAACAUGCAUCGCAAUGCCAGAUUCCGGUUUAACACCAAUUCCGGUAUCAAAUAGAAUAUCUCAGCAAUUUACUACUUCAUGAAAGCAGGUGAUAUUUAUUUAACAAAGAAAUCAAUUGCAUUGGGGGGAAUUCCAAAACAAAGUUCUUGGUCAAAAAUUUAUAGAACCAUAGUUUUUAAUUCCCUAUACUAAAAUAACUUCACAUAUACGUUUCCGCUAUAGCUACCGGAUCGCUAUGUCUCCAUGUUUAUACUUUCCAAUCAUCAAAGAGGUUUCUAGCAGUGUGAGAACAAGCAAAAAUGUCAAUAAAAAAAUGCAAAUCUUACCAGCGUUCUGAGUAGGUACGGCAUUUUUAAUCUCUUUUUUUAUAACAGGUUUAGGUUCUGACUCUUCGUCAGCAAAUGCACCUUUGGAAUUCAGAUUAACAUCAUCCCAGCUUUUUGCAUCCCAUUCAUCAUCAUCUUCGUCAUCUUCCACUACAUCAUCUUCAGCAGUGACAUGAAGUUCAACUUUGUCAUCCACCUGAAUCGACUCCACUUCUUCAAUGUUUACUGGUUCCUCUGAAACUACAUCAGUAGUAAUCUCCUUCGCUUCAACAAUUUCAGCUGUCUGAGCAGCAGCUCCAUUCUGAUUUCUAUUAUUUUGUUUUGACUUCUUUGUCUGGUAUAUGGGUUUUUUGGCUGGAGCACCAGAGUCCCCAGAAGGGAGAGUCACACCCCCAGUGCUAUUGAGAAUCUGCCUCCUCAUUGCCUCCAAACGACGGGCUUCUUCCUUCUGCUUACCAGUUAAAAGUUUACCUUCUUGCUUUUUUUUCUGGAGUUUUUCCUUUUCUCUUUCCUUCUUCCUACGUUUAGCUUCUUCUGCCUGUCUCUCAAGUUCCUCUUGCCUGCGUCGCUCCUCUUCUUCCUUCUUUAACCUCUCUUCGUCUUCUCUUUUCUUCUUUUCUUCAGCCUCUUUUCUUCGAGCUAGUGCCUCUUGCAUCUCUCUAACAUGCUUUGGCACUUUCUUAUCAGCUGCCUUAGCCUUUGAGUCAUUCUUCUUUGGUUCAAUUGCCUCAGCUUUAACUUCUGCUGAUUCAUUUUCCGGUGCACUUCCUGCUGCAGCGGCGGCAGCUGCCUUCUUCUCCUUUUCCUUUUCCUUCUUCUUCUUCUUCUUCUUUGCAGCAGCUGACUCUACCACCUCCUCUUCCCCAUCCUUAUCCCCAGAAGCAUCAGCAGCAACAGAACCUACUUCGGGAGUAGGCUGAACUUUAUCAUCCUGUGGUGCAGAAGCAGUUGGUUUUGGUAUAGGAGCCUCACCGAGCUCUGCAAGAAGCUUAUCCAAAUCUUCUUCCUCUUGAGCAGUUCUUCCACUCUUUUUCUUAUUCUUCUUCUUAUUUUUGGAAGUUUCAGCAACUCCUUCACUCUUAUUUACAUUGUUGUUGCUAGCAUCAGCACUACCAAUACUGGGUGCCUCAGGCUCCACUACAUCCACAUUUUCAUCACUCCCUUUGGCAGCAGUACUACUGCCCUUCUUUUUAGACGACUUCUUUUUACCUGAAAACGAAACUAAAGAAACAUCAUCCUCUUCCUUGUCAUCACCAUCCUUACCAGAUUCGGGUACAGAAACAUCAUCCCCAACAGAAACACCUUUGCUACCGGAACUUGCAGCCUUCUUGGAAGACUUCUUUUUCUUGCCAGUGAAAGUAAUUGGUCCAAUGUCAUCGUCAUCAUCUCCACCACCAUCCUCCUUGCCCUCUCCAUCAUCAAUUUCAGUGAUAACAGUGGCUGAAAACCCAGCACCACCCUUCUUACUCCCUUUGGAAGACUUCUUCUUCCCCGUGAAAGCAAUAACAGGUUCAUCGUCAUCAAAAUCGUUAUUCUUAUCAUCCACCACAUCACCAUCCCCACCAUCAUCAAUAGCAUCAAAAGCCGAGGCAGCGAACAAACUACCACCGCUUUUCUUCGAACCCUUCGAGGACUUUUUCUUUCCAGUAAAACUAACCACCGGCUCAUCCUCCUCCUCCUCCUCCUCACCACCAGCAUCAUCAACAUCAUCAUCAUCGAUAGCAACAAAAGCUGAUGCAUUGAACAAACUACCACCUCCUUUGUUCGAUGCCUUCUUACGCGACAAACUAACCACAGGUUCAUCCUCUUCAGAUUUAUCUUCGUCAUCACCUUCCUCAUCACCAAGCACACCAAAGCCAGAUGCAGUAAACGCACUGUUACUACCGCCUUUCUUGCUUUUCCCCUUCUUCUUCCCAGCAAACACAACUUCAGGCACAUCCUCGUCAUCAUCAACAUCAUCAUCAUUAUUAUUACCUUUAGCAUUGCCUUUCUUACCCUUCUUCUUUCCCGCCGCAGCGGGUUUAUCUUCCGGCGCCGGCUCCUCAGAGAGUCCCGUUCCAAUGGCAUACUCAUCGUCGUCGAUGACUACCGCCUUCUUCUUGGAUUUCCCGCCACCUCCUUGCUGCGAGGCGUUCUCAUCGUCCCUCGCCGUAGGCUUCUUCCUCCCCAUGUCUGAUUAGGGUUUUCUCUUCUCCCGUGAGUAUGAGUACAAACGACGCCGCGUUGGAAUCACGGAACUGCGAAAUGGAAAGGAAAAUCGCGUCGAUGGAAUAAGAAUAAGAUCUAUAAGCAAAAACUCUAUGCCAGAGAAGAAAAUAAAGAAAACGAGGGAGAUUGGUGUAGGGCGCACCGUACGUGAAUCUGACGGCGACGCAGAGAAUCUGCGAAGCAAGGGAAAGGAAAACGGCGGUUGCGAUUGGGUUCAGAGUGACGAGAAGAAGUGAUUGUUCGGAAUCGAUAGAGCGGCGGUGAAGGUGAAGGAAUGGGAACAAAGAUUUGAGCCCUUAAAGGAGUGUGAAUGUGAAGGUGAAAACAAAUAUUAAUUGGAAUGUAUAUGUGUAUGUGUAUUAUACUAAUGAUAAAUGUAAUAAAAGAAACACAGCGUUAUUCUAGGGUUGUAUUUCUGUGUGUGUCUCCUAUUUAUCCCAAAUUCCUACAUUACAAAUUUCCACUUUGGCUUCUACACACAUGCAUAAAACAAAUAGAUUAAAAAAUACAUAAAAAUAAAAUCUGAGUCUUAAAUUAUGCUGAAAAAUAAUAAAUUAAAAAAAUAUAUAAAAAUAAAAUCGAGUGUUAAAUUAUUGAAUACUAAUAUUUUCGCAAAUGAUGACUUAGCUAUGCUAAUUUAUAAGAAUGUUAAAAAUAUUUUUAUAUUUAAUUAUAAAGUCAACAUGUUGAGCGAAAAAAUUUUGAAUUUUAGGAUUGAAAUUAUAAAGUUAACAUUAAUUGUCAUAUUAAUUAUAUUAAUUGUGUAGAUAUGUGCGUUUUGUUCUCUUAUAUUAUGUGUUGAGAGUGGAAAUAAAUAUCCUCUUAUGCAUGAGAUUGCUUAUGGUUUGUCCUCUUUAUUCAAAUUUGUAUUAAAUUGACGUUAUUAUCAAUGUAAUUAAUUUAGUUUGGUAUUAUUUAUGUCAACAAACAAGUUAUUGUUUACUUAUGUGUGUCAAAUGAAGAGUUUUGAAUAAAUUGGUUGAAGGAGCGUUUAAAGAAGUUGAAUGUGGAUUUAUAAUGAAGAAACAGAGAAAGAAUGAAGUUGGUAAAAUGAUGGUCAAAGUCGUUGAAUUGGUGCUCAAAGCUAAGGAGCUAGAGGUAUUCAUUACCACUAUGGAGAAUGAGGUGAAGGAGUUACAUGAAUUGUUGAUUAAAAAGAGAAUUGAGGUCACUUUAUCAUGCACUGGCUGUUAAAAUGUAAAUCAAAUUUAUCACUAUGCAGAAAAUUGGUAAUAGGUCCCCACUUAUAGACUCAGAGGUCACCAAGUAUACCUACAAGGUCACCACUAAUUAUGACUAAAUCCAUUGACAUACAAGUUCACCUUGGUGUCCUCCACUGAGGUCACUUGAAGCUCGGAUACAGCAGAAUUAGUGUCGUUUCAUGCUUCCGACACACCUCCAACGUGGACACGUGACAGAUGCGUGCACAACACCGCGUCAGACGCAUUCCUAUGGGCCAGAUACGACCCUAUUUAGGGACACGUCGAAUAGGACGUUGUGGACUCCUUGGACACGCACUAGAGAGGACGUAUCCACUCUUUUAACACCACAAAAUCUCAAAUGAAAUCACAAAAUCUCAAAAUCUGAAACAAAAUCACAAAAUCUCAAAAUUUAAAACAAAAUCACAAAAUCUCCAACAAAAUUUCAAAUGUGGUGAGAGGAUUGUUGAACGGAGAAGAAGUCGUAAAAUUGUGGUGUGGGUGAGGAUUGUUGAACAAAGAAAAAAAAAAGAAGAAAGAAAGACGAGGAAGAAAGAAUAGACCCUUUAGAGAGGUAAGUAACUUACCGUGUGUUCUUCUCAGAUUUAUUAUUAUUCAUUGGCCAAUGUUUCCCUUCUCACUAUGCAUUGGAACUGUAAGUUAUUUCUUUGGUAUUAAAUGCAUACCUGCCAUCCAUUGUCGGUCCCAGAGGAACGUACAUAUGCUUUUUGUUUUGUAAUAAAGUAGUCACUUUCUCUUUCAAAUAUUUACAUAAAAUACAAUGUCGAUUUGAUUUUUCAUAUAUUUUAUUUUUUAUAUUUAUAAUUUGAUUUUUAUUAAAUGAAUUUAUUUGAGAUUUCUAUAUUUAAAUAAAUAUUUUAUAUUUAAUUUAUUUUGUUAUAGGAAAUUAAGAUGAAUAAUAUACCCAAUCAAACCAUCGAACAAGAAGAUGAAACAAAACCUUUGUGGAGAUAUGUUUCAAGAAGAUUAAAACUACAUUUUAAUUUAUAUAUAGGUCGUGUCCCGUGUCCUAUAAUUUUCAAUUUAGUCGUAUCUCUGUGUCUGUGUCUGUGUCCAUGUUCGUGGUCGUGGUUGUAUCCGUGUCUGGGCUUCAUACACACACAUCAUGCACUGCCAACACGGGUUAAAAUGUAAAUCAAAUUUAUCACUGUGUAGAAACUUUUGGUAGUAGGUUCCCACUUAUAGACUCAAAGGUCAUCAGUUAUGCCUUAAAGGUCACCAUUAACUAUGACUAAAUGCAUUGACAUGCAAGUUCACACUGGUGUCCUUCACUGAGGUCACUUUACACACCUUAAUAGGUCCUUGUGGACAUAAAUUACAUAACUUGACAUUCAUUAAUGGUCUUCAUAAGAAGGGUGAAUUGUUAAUAGCUAUGUUGCACAUAGGCUUUUGUUUGAGGACCAAAGACCACUCAUGGAAACCUUAAAAGGCACAUAAAAUCCUUUUUUUCUUAUGUCUUUCCAACAAGGGUUAUUUCUUAACCUGCUAACAUGUAGCUUUGUCCUUCCUCCAACCUGCUAACAUAGUCCUAACCUAAAAAAUUUUAACAAUAUCUAAAGUGUGCACAAAAAUUACAACAAGGUGUUAGCACUUAUUGCCACUGACUUCACUCACACAUACAUUACAUAACAUCACCUUCAAUGAUCACCAAAAUCACAAUUUACAAAGCAUCUUAAUUAUGCACAAACUUUGUAGAAUGUCACCACUUAUCCAUACAAUGAUCAUCACAUACAAUGAUAACCACUUACUCUCACAUUAACAACAACAACACGCAUUAAAAUAAAUGCCAACAUUUUGCCUACAAAAAUCAUAGAACUAUUUCGUGGUUUAAAUAACUCAUUUGAUCUUUUAACAAACCCAUACAAGACAACGUCAAAAUUCAUAAACAUAAAAAUGAAAUUUCUUGUAUUAAUAUACUGAACAUGUUUUUGUACAUUGGACAAUGCAAAAGUGCCUCUAUAAUAUAUUGUUCAGCUUGUUGUACAAAUCAUAAUUACAAAAUUUGAAUAACUUUAAGUUGUGUAAAAAAAUUGUACAAUUACAAAACACCCAUUAUUAGUGUGACCCACCCAAAUUGAAAUCCCUCAAAACACUUUCUCAAUGCAUAUUAUGGUCAUUUAACAACCAAUUGCAAACCAUUUCCCAAGAAAUUGUUGAAGCUCCUCCUAAAAUGUACAUGUCUAACUGAGUUUUUCAUUAACAUCAAACUGAUAAUUAAAAGUGCAAAAUCGAUGAAAGUAAUAGCUAUCGUGAUGUAAUCAGAAAAGGUCUUCCCGUCAAAGUCACCCAAACCAUCCCACACCUCCAUAUAUUUCACAAUUAAUAGUCCACAAUUAAAACUGCAUACAUCAAACAACAUAUAAAAAAAACACCAACUAACAUCAUAUUUAUAUCAAAUGAGAAUAAAUAAUAGUGUUUAUUUCAAUACUAAUUUGUUUGGUUGUAUGAGAAUGUUUUCUUUUGUUAGUUUCAUACCAGGACCACAAAUUCCAACAAACUUGUUAAGCAUUCCAUACAGAUGCUCAAGUCGAUGAACCUACAACCUAUAAUAUAACAACAUUCAUAAACAAAAUCGACCUUCAUCAAUUAUGUUUCGUGGCCCAUUUUAUGACUAAGGGAGUCCAACACAUGCAAUUGCCUAUUGCGGCAAUUCAGCGUGUACAACCAUCAUUGGUCAUUGUAAAUUGUUGGGACAAACACCUACAUGUGGAAAUUAAAUUUUUUGUCAACAUCAUUAUAAACAACAAAAGUUAUAAACUUAUUAAACAACAAAAGUGAUAUACACACAAUAUUAGUAAUAUACACUUACAAAAUCAAAAUAUAAAAAAACUUUUUGCAUAAAAGGAGGUGUAAUCCCCUUGGUCCACAUUUUCCCUCCCAAUAUCAAAUUAAUUUAUUCAAUUACACAACUCUAUAACAACCAAAUAAGUUAAUGCACUUAUAAAAAACUUUAGGAAAAUAACAACAAAAUUUAAAUCCACACUUCAUUGACCGCAAAAAAAGAAUUAAAGGAAAACCGCUUAACCAAUUCAUUUAUUUUAAAUUGAUGAAGAAUCAUCAACUCGCUUAUAAUAACAUAAUCUACAAACACAUUCAACUUAAAUAAUUUUUUGAACAAUAACUAAAUACAACACACAACUCUAUGUAAAUUUGUAUCAUGUUGUCAACUUUCCCCUCUGAACAUAAUGAUUGCAAGUCCAACCCGAUCAAUAUGUUGUUUUCUAUGUCAACAACAACACUACAACAACAUCAACACAAUUUUUUCAUGCAAACACACAAACAAAAUAAGUUGAUUUAUUAUUUAUUGUACACCUAUUAAUUAUCUCUUGGAGAAGAGUGAUUGAUAUGUCCAACACAUGUUCUACUUCAAGCAUCCACUUAAAAGAUGCUUGAUGUAUUCUUUGGCACUGAAAGACAAUCAAACUACGAUUGGUUUUCACAAUAUGUUCACUGUACACUGUAUGCUCACUAUUAACUACAAAAUUAGAACACAAAAUAACAAAUUUUUUAUUCAAUAGUUUUCCAUUUCAAAAAUAAUUCAACCACUAUCAAUCUAACAUUAUAAACAAUCAUACAUGCAUUUCAUUUCCUCCAUAAGACAUUUUUUUGAACUUGAAGAUGACAUUUUCCAAACCUUCAAACUGUUCAUUUCAUAAAAAAAUCACCACAUUUACCAAAUUAAAUAUUCCAAAAACAUAAAAAAAAUAAACCAGCCACAAAUGACUCACCUUUCUAGAAAUCAAACAGAGUGAAGACAUAAAAAACAAAAUAAAACACCACGCCCACCACCAACAACAAAACAAAAUCAAUUAAAUUAACCAAAUCGCAAAAUAACCAAAAAAGUGCAAAUUUAUAACACCUUACCAAUGUUUGCGAACAAACAACCUUACGUCUUUGAAAUGCCUUCGUCGUUCACCAAUCACAAACUCUCUUCUUCUACUAUUUCUCUUUGUGAAUAGCACCUUGAAACUCUUUUCUUCUAUUCCUUUAUCUACUUAUUGAAAUUCCCGCUUUUGCGACUUUGGUAUCGCAAUUAUUGAAGCGUUGCUUUGAUCGAAACACCUUUACAAACUCAAAAACCUUUGUUUCCUCUCCAUUGUUUAAGUAUAAAGAGUUACACCUUAAAUAAAAAUUACCAUAUUCAACUAUAUAUAAGAAUAAUUUAAAAAAAUAAAAAAUUUCUAUAUUUUGGGAUGAUUGAAAAUUUUAUUUCUCUUGUGUUUGAUUCAUGGUUAAUGACUUAUUAAUUGUGUUAUAUGUAGUUAAAACUUCUUAAUGUUAUAAUUUGGAAUAAGUAUUGAUAAACCUGUUAUAAUCAGUAACACACAUGUGAUAAAAAUUGCAUCAAGCUUUUAAGAUCAAUCAAAAUUUAUGAUGAUAUAUUUUUCAUCGACUCAUGCAUUAUCUUUAUUCAUUUUUAGCAUUUAAGAUUUUACAGAAGAAAAAAAUGAAAACCAAUUAGAAUAUUAUGUUGUAUUUAACUUGGAUUAGUUUCUCUACUUGUUUAUCGAUUGGACAAACAAGUUUGAUAUUUUAGGAACAAUUGGUUCCAGAAAGGGAGUUGAAGGAGUUAAAACUCAAUUCGUAGCAAAUAAAGACAAUCAAGAAAAGCAUUUAACACAAAAUAGAAGAGCACGACACAACAAAUUUUAAUGUUGGUUCAUCCUAACCUUGGACUAAGUUUAGUUCUCUCUUAACCAAAUCACCCAAUAUGUUCUCCUUAUCAAAUGAAUAAUUAUAAUGAGUACACAAACCUCUUCAAGUUAUCAUUCCUAAUAUUCCCUAAGACUAAAACCUCUUAAGGCAAAAGAAACACUCUCAAAUAAAACACAUAUUAAACUCAAAAUGGUAUACUUCACUAAGUGAAGAAUUAUAAAGUUUACCAACAAUCCAAAUGAUUAGAUGUCUUGUAUUUGUUGUUGUAUUUUUUGCAUUCUUAGGUAUUUUUUUUUGUCUUUGUCUUGGAGUCAUUUAUAAUUUUCUUCAAUUUGACCGUUUGAGUGUCUGCAAAACUUAUAAUUUUUGUCUUAGCAUAUCUUCUCCUUUGUUACUAUAAAAACACUUCUAAUCUAAUUGAUUAUUUUGCAUCUGGAACUUUAAUUUACUUAAAAAAAAUUAAAUAUAUAUUCAAGAUAUAUUAUAAUAAAAACAUAUCAAUCAUAAUUAUAUAAUUGAAAAACUUCUUUAUCACAAACUUCAUUUAAAUUUAAGAUUCAGGCCAUUUCCAAACUUCAUUAGAGUAAAUUUUUUAUUCUAAAUUAUUUAAUAAGAUUAAAAAGCAGUUCAUUAUAGUUUAAAAUUAUAAAAAUUACAUCAAUUUGAAAUUAACAACUCCUAAUAAACUUAACUUCUAAUAAAUUUAGCUUAAUAGAUAGUCUAAUGUGUUAAAAAUAGUAAGACUGUCUAAUAUACAGUAACCUUAAUAAACACUUUAUAACUUGUCAUUUACAUAAGAUUGUGAUUUUAAGGUGAUUAAAUCAUAUAGUGUCUUAAUAUAUAUAACUUUUUAAAAAUACAUUGAGAUAUUAGUUAGGCACCAUAAAUUUUUAUACAACAAUAUUUGUUAAUCUAUUCAUUUUUCCCGAAAAUACUUGAAAUUAAAACUUGAACACAAGAGAAAAAUAACAAUUUAACACCAUUCUUAAUUUUUAAAUUUAAGUAUUAUCAUGUUAUUAUUCGCCAAUUUUAUUACCGAAUAAUAUCUAUGGAAAAAUUGAUUUUUUUUUUCAAACCACAGUUUUUCAUACAUAAAAUUGAAAAGCAUGACUUUACUCAAGUGAUUUGAAAAUAUUUCUCCAUAGAUCAACAAUAUAUAUAUUUUUAAUUUUAUUCAUAUUUUAAAUUUAUUUAACUUUUUAUUCCAAGUAGGAAUCUUAAGUUUUGCUUUAAAUCGUUUUCAUCAGUUUUUUUUUAUAUUAACUCUCAAAUUUCUAAAUAUUUAAUUUAUCAUUUUUCUUACUUUGUUUUCUGAGCCUAUUUAAAAUGAUGAUAAUGAUGCUUGCUAGUAAAACAUAACAUUCAGUAACACUUUUAUUCAACAAAUUUUAGCAAUUUAAAAUCAUUUAAUUUUUAGUCUCUUAACUUUUCACAUGCGCCUUGUGCAAAGACAAUACAGAAACUCAGUUGAGGAUGGAACGACACCAUCUCGAUGUCUCUUUCAGAAACAUUAUAAAUUACUCCUCUCAUUAAACACAUUAUGGACAAGCAUUCCCAAGAGAACUUCACAAUUUCCUGCACAACAAUCUUCAAAAGGGUGAAAAGGAGAAGAAUGAUAAUCUUAAAAUACAUGAAACAAAUACAAAGAAAACUGCAGUUUUCAAUUAACAGUAAGAACAAUGAGAAGCAGCCGCUGAGAUGGUAGUCCACCGUCAGUUUGAAAACUAAACCGUGUGUGGCAUAACAUGGUCAAUUUGGAAUGCGACUAAAACAAGUUAACUAUCACUGCAAAUUCACAAGUAUCCUCUGAAACUUAUGAUAGCUAAUCAUUGUUGAAAGUGACAGACUAACUAUGUAAAAGUUAAUACCCCCACCAGGAAAAAAGUAAUUCGAAGUUUAACAUACUUGAAACAUUAGCUAUAUAGUUCACAGCUUUAAGAAAAGACAAAUCAUCUUAUUUUUUUGGAAGAGAUGGAUAUACAAAUUCUAGAUCUAGCUUAUGUUAAUUCAUUUCUCAAGCUCAAGCCAAACAGGCAUAAAACUAUUCGGGUAAACAGUCGACUUCCUUUCAAAUGGCAAAAACACGAAACUUCAGUUACAAUUGGAAAAACUAGAAACGUAAAUAAUAAAAACGUGUAGACUGAUAGCACAGCUCAUUCUAACUUUUUAGGUACACAAAAUCGAAAUUGGAACUUCCCAUUCACACAGAACAAUAUCUUCAUUGUCCCCUCUGUUUUGUCAAGACAUGCACCCUAUUUUAUAUAAAAAAAGCAGCACCUAGAUUACAAAAACUAAUGCAAGACAAUGGAGAACCAAGAAAUGAAGAAAAAAUGAACCUACUAAGAAUGAAAGAAGCAUUGACAAAAUGGAAAAUGCAGCUUACCAUUCUUUUAAUGAGAAUCUAAUACAGAAAUAAUUCAGGUUAAGACUUUAUCUAUUGGGUAGCUAAGAAGUGUGUUACAGGCCAUCAAGGGCUUAAAUGGCUCACAACCUACAGAGUAGGUGUUUCUAGAUAAUUCUGCUCCCACUACAUCUUUUAGAAUGUGGUAUUUAUUGGAAAAGAGGGUAGAAUUGAUAUCUAAGAGCAUGCAUGGAUAACCAUGUCGAAUGUACUUUAAGUAAAAGAUAGCCUAUAGUAUCUUUUAUUCUGAAAUUACUAUUGGAAGGAUGCAACUGUUAUCCAAACAAUGCACUAAACUAAGCAAAUCAGACGCACAAUCUAUACAAGAAAUUUCAAGAAACAUCAUCAUCAAAAAGAACUCUAUAAAACCGUUUUCUUUCUUCAGGGUCAAACAACCCUACCACCUUACUAUCUCUACCAUUACUAUCACCAUCAUCAUCAACUUCGUGACUUCUCCUUCUACCCUUUGCACCAUCUACACUAAUCAAUGGAACUCCUAACUUCCUCCUCUUUUCCACGUUGAGGAGGCGCCGCCUCUGAUUGUACUCAUGAAGCCCCUCCUGCAUCAACUCCCCAAACUUCUCCUUCACAACCACCAAAGGAUCCUUAUCCACAAGCUGAGACCCGACAUAGGCCUCUCUAAGAAGCACAGUGUAAAUCUUAUACUUAUUGGAAACAUAGAAAAUCCCAGGGUGCUUGAGCAACAACACAUUCAACCUAUCAGGCAAAAAGAACUCCCUCCUAAAAUGCCCCAACUUCACAAUUGAAGCCUUCUUCCAAAGAGUCAAAGACAACAACUCAUGCACCAAACCAACAUUCCUCUUCUCCAUCUCCUUGGACCCCUCCACCAAACCUCUAGGAUCCGAAUACGGCGAAAUGUAAGGAAUUUCGUCAAAUUCGCGAAAUCUCUCCCAGGAUUUCACCCAACUGGACGGCAAGGAACAUGAAAAGCGUGGCGGUGUACCGAGCUUCACCGCGGAGGCUUCGACGGCGGAGACUGCGAGUUCAGCGUCCCAAUGCAGCAACUCAAUGGCCAUGGAGCUCCUCCUGCCGCUCUCGUUGACGAUACGGAACAAAUUAGGGUAGUUGGGCAGGAUCCUGAUUACGUAAUCGUCGGGGAAGCCGAAAGCGCGUUUGAAUUCGUUGAUUUUGAGGACGGUGAGUCUGUUGCGGGGGGUUAGCAUGAGGAGUUUGGCCAAGCGGCGAGCGAAGAGAGGUUGGAGAGAGUCGGCGAGGGAGUGUUCCUGUUCGACGAGGUUCAUCAUGCGUUUGGUGAGGCGGCAGCGGUUAUCGUGGAUUUGGAAGCAGCAUGGGUACCUAGAGAGCCAGUUGAGGGCUUUGCCCUGGAGAUCGAGGGUUUUGAACUUCUUCUGAAGGGUUUCGAUGGGGAUUUCGCUGUUGGGGUAGCGAAGGAUGAUGUUCUUUAUCUGGUUGUUCACCACCCAUCGUCGAUUGCGUGAGAGUGCUGAUUCUAACUCCGAUUCCUUCUUCAUCGACCAUAGAGACAAUCUUCGGAGGAAAAACCAUUGUUCUACCAAACAUACCCUGGCCUCCAGAUGAUUAGAGAUUCCUAUUCUCAACAUUGAAUUCACAAUCAAGAAAUGGAACCAAACUCUACCCCGUUUUACUUACACAUUAUAGAAUAAUAGAAUAGAACUCGAUUCCAUGCCAUUCAAGAAUCAAAUCACCAUUUCAUUCAUCUCUGAAUAUGGCUUUCUUUUCCAUUUGGCGAAUGUUGUUGUAAAGUUAAUAUGUGAAUAUCACCUUUUUAUUCUAUUUUAAAUGAUUCAGGAAUGCAUGUGGAAGAGACUCAUGUUUCCCACAAAAAGAAAUGUCAUCAAUAGAAAAAUAAUUCCCGUAAAAAAACAUCCCCGUAUAAUGAAUGCUAGUGCCAUAAUUCAGACACAAAUACAACAAAUAAAUGUAUACACCAAUAUGAUACAGCAAUGCAACUAUAUGUAUACACACACAAAUAUAUAGAGUUAAUUAAUAUAUAAUUUACUAUAAAUGUCACUCUUUCAUAAAAAAUCAUUUCACUAUCUAAUUAAUUAAAAAAUGCAAAUGAAUAAAGUAUCCAAGAAUAUCAAUGUUGGACACAGAAUGACUAAUCAGAUUCAUUACAACACACUAAUCUUAUUUAACAAACCCACUAUAAUUUCUUUUUGCAACUACGUAAUUCUUCCUCUCCAAAGUUUUAGUAUACUUUUUCUGAACUGUAAGAUUUAAAUUUAAAAGGUAUAUUUACCUUCGAAAUUCUAGAGGUUAAAAUACAAAAUUAUAUUUCAAAUUCUUAAAUUCUUUAGAAUGUAGUUUUAGGUCACGAAUUAUAGAAUUCGAAAAAAAAAAACUCAUCACCCUUUACGGAAAGAUAGUUUUAGAAUUAAAAAGUAAAAGAAUAAGAAAUUUCAGAGGUAUAUGAAGAAGACGCCUUAUAAAAAUUUCAAGACUUGAGACACUUUGAAAUGCUGAGGCCGGUUGAGGUUGAAGAGAAAUUUAGUGGUUGACACGCAUGAAACAAUAAAGAAGGCGUUCAUCCGAAGAAAAAGAUGUUCCACAACAGAGGAGGCGAUGGUGUUAUUAUGACUGUUCAUUUUCCCAUAUUCCAGAAGGCAAGCAUGAUACUUUACUAUUACAACAAUUUCAGAAACAAUAACAGAACGUUUAUUACUAACCCCUCAAGAACUGUAUAUCUUCCUAAUUGGUGGCAAUACAUUUUGGAUGUUACACGCAGGCUUGACAAUAAAUAUCUCCACCCCUCUUUUUUGUAACUUACGAAUGGCAUGAUAAAAUAUAAGAUAACGUUCAACAUGCAUCAAUCCACAUUACAUAACAGCUAUGCACAUAUUGGAGAAAAUUUGGAGAUCUGAACCCCAUUCAUGUGCCUCGAGAUACCACAUCAAAAUAAAACGUAAAAGCUUUAUCUACUCUUAACUGAAAUGAUCGUGCUUUUUCCCUGUAAAACACCUGUAACCACCACAAAUGACUCCAAAUAAUGUCUCUCAAACUAUACUGGGAGGAUCCCCAAACCAGCUGCAGGUAGCACGGGCCCAGCGUGUCCUUAUGCAGUCCACCAAAGGCGCAUGCUGAGAAGGCUCCGGUUUCGAUACUUCAUUGUCCUUCCCAGCAGAGUCACUAGCACUAGGCGCAGAUGAAACUUUCACAUCUGCCAUAAAUUCCUCAGGCGUCCACCUUGGGGGAACUGAAACUCUCAAUUUUGUGAGCCGGGGUCUUUGCAGGGGAGUUUCACCCGCAGAAUUUACUUGACUGCCAUUCAGAUCUGAUUUAGCAAUCCCAUUAAAAUGGUAUAGAUCAAAGACCUUCUUACCCAUCAAUCCUGAUGAAUCCUUCAAACCUCCCAAACUUUUGUCUAGAUCCAAAAUUACUUGCCAGAAUUCACUCCACACAAUGAACCCAGCAGAGCAAAGAUGUUCCAGCUUCUCUGGUGGAAAUUUGAUAUCUGUUUCUCUGAGGACUUGAUGGAAACCUUCCACACUAAUGAAACCACCACCUCCACUCUGAUCUUGUGCAUCAAAAGCUUUGCGUAUUUGUGUUUCCCUUCCUUCCAAUUCAUUCUCACUUUGGACGCUGGGGUCUAGAGCAAACAGCACAGUGUAAUGAGAUUCACUCCCCACAACCCAUAUGGGCCACUUUGGAGAUUUCAGAUGCUGACCAACCUUGCAAAAAUUCAGGGAUUCUAAAAGUGUGAGAAAUCCAACUUCCACAUCUCGGGAAAUACCUUUCAGAAACAUCCCUCCACCUAAAUCCAUCCUUCCAUCAAACACAUUAGGGACAGCCUCCCCACAGAGCAGUAGGUUCACAAUUUCCUGCACCACAAGAUUCAUAGAAAAAGAUAAACUCAUAUAUUCUAGUUGUAGAACAUUAUUUAUAAGCAUCAGUUAAGGAUGGGCCCUUUCCAAUUAUAUGUAGUCUGUAUACCUGAGAGGCAUGCCCAAAAGGUGCUGUAACCAGUGGUAGGCUGGGAUCAUCCCUGUCGCUUUGAACCAAGUCCUAAAGGAGAGUAAAAUAUUAAAUGCAUUGACUAAGAAUUUUUAAAGCCAAAAUAACAAGUGAGGCAAAUUCACUUAUCCAGUAGAAUUUAUGACAUCUAACUUAGCAUUUUAUUCCUCACAUUUAAGGAUGGGAGAAAAAGAUCGACUCAAAAUUUUCUAAAAAACAAAUAAAUAGAACUAAUUUAUUUUAAAAGGAUGUAGUAACAAUUGCCACUGCUUUACACAGCUUUGAACCUAGAUCAGCUCAAAAUUUAAAGGAGACUAAGAUGAACUUUGAAUGUUAAAAUCCUGGAUCUAACUCGAUGUUGAUCCUUCAGUACCCAAGCUAAUACAAGCAUAUGAAAGAUGUUGUCAUCCACAUUAUUUCAAUCCAGAUUCCAUAAUAUUUUGGUAUCAACGAUACUAAUCAGAGGGUGUGAUUGAACAUCACACUUUAGAUGUUGUGUUGAAUCGAUAUUUUAUGAUUACUAAUGUUUUUAGGAGCCUUGUUAUGUUAGGAGUGUUAUUGGGCUAAACAUUAUAUUGGUUGUAUCAUGCUUGUAAUUGAACUAGGUUAUAUUAUAUUAUUAUAAACAAGAUUGUAAUGUUACCGCUUUAUUACCACACUAUAACAAUUAUUUAGAGUCAUAUUAGUAAAUAAAGUAAAUUCUCCAAUUUUACUUUUCCACCCAAUUACUAUACUUUCAACAUGGUAUCAAUAAUAUUAACAUGUCAGAAGUAUUAACCACAUUCUGAAAAUAGCCCAUUUCUGGUCAAAACAAACAGCAUCUUCCAGUAAAUUUUUUGAAUUUAGAGUUUGACAAACAAAUCAGAGAACCAAACCUGAAAAUCUUUUAGAUUAUGUUUAAGAGAAGCUUAAAGUUGAAAAAAAAAGACCUCUGGCAAAAUCAUUGAGCACCCACCACCACCACUCUAAGACCCCUUUGGGUGCAGGUAUGCUCCAGGAGCUCAGGGCCCUAUCAAGGCCCUGAAUGAAUUGAGUUCAAGGGCAGGGAUGGGGAAUGGCAUCAAGAGACCCUGAUAUUUUUUUAAAGCCAAUUCAAGCCACCAGCAACACAUUAAUUAGCUCGGUUGUCACUGGCCUUCUGCCAAUUUCCAAGCAUUUUUAAAACUCACAUUCAUAUCUCAAAUACAUUGCAUUUUUACAAUCCAAAAGAUCGGGACAACCAAAACCCAAUAAAGAAUUCUAUCACACUGUCAUUGAUUUAAAUUGAAUAAUAGGAGCAAGCAAUUAGAAGUACAAACUCAAUCAACCUAAUAAUACAGUUAGCAAAUCACCCAGCAGAAUUCUUCUAUUUAUAGAAAAAGAGUUCACAUAUUCAGUCACGAGUAGUUCAUUCUGAGUAGGAAGAAAAGAAAAUAGAGGGGAAAAAAUAGUCCAAUAUCUCUUGCUUUAAAAGACAGUAAAUUCAGGGACUGUAAAAUGCAAUUUGAAAAGUAACAGAGCUUGAAGCAGGCAAACAUACCAGUCCUCGUGAGAUUAAAGCAGAGAUUAGGAAAAGCAAUGCUCCCAUUCGACUUUGGAAGAAGGGAAGAUUUGCUUCAAGCCGUUGCAAUGCAGUCAUUUGUGAUGUGC